rnacentral:lncRNA from 1 species
AAAAAGGAGAAAGUCUCACAUCAACGAGGCUAAUCAAUGAGCUAUGGAGAUGCCCAUCGAUUGAUGUUAAUGUAAGGAGUAGGGAUUGCCAUGCAACGGAUGCACUAGAGCUAUAAAUAUAUGAAAGCUCAACAAAAGAAACUAGUGGGUGUGCAUCCAACUUGCUUGCUCACAAAGACCUAGGGCACUUGAGGAGGCCCAUUGUUGGAAUAUACAAGCCAAGUUCUAUAAUGAAAAAUUCCCACUAGUAUAUGAAAGUGACAAAACAAGAGACUCUCUAUCAUGAAGAUCAUGGUGCUACUUUGAAGCACAAGUGUGGAAAAAAGGAUAGUGGCAUUGUCCCUUUUCAUUUUUCUUUUUUUGGGCCUUCCCUUUUUUUAUUUGGCCUUUCUCUUUUUUUGGGACAAUGCUCUAUUAAAUGAUGAUCAUCACACUUCUAUUUAUUUACAACUCAAUGAUUACAACUCGAUACUAGAACAAGAUAUGCCUCUAUAUGAAUGCCUCCGGCAGUGUACCGGGAUAUGCAAUGAACAAAGAGUGACAUGUAUGACAGAAUUAUGAACGGUGGCUUUGCCACAAAUGCUAUGUCAACUACAUGAUCAUACUAAACAAUAUGACAAUGAUGAAUGUGUCAUGAUAAACGGAAUGGUGGAAAGUUGCAUGGCAAUAUAUCUCGGAAUGGCUAUGGAAAUGCCAUAAUAGGUAGGUAUGGUGGCUGUUUUGAGGAAGAUAUAAGGAGGUUUAUGUGUGAAAGAGUGUAUCAUAUCAUGGGGUUUGGAUGCACCGGCGAAGUUUGCACCAACUCUCAAUGUGAGAAAGGGCAAUACACGGUACCGAAGAGGCUAGCAAUGAUGGAAAUGUGAGAGUGCGUAAAAUCCAUGGACUCAACAUUGGUCAUAAAGAACUCACAUACUUAUUGCAAAAAUCUACAAGUCAUCAAAAACCAAGCACUAUGCGCAUGCUCCUAGGGGGAUAUAUUGGUAGGAAAAGACCACCGCUCUUCCCCGACCACCACUCAUAAGGAGGACAAUCAAAGAACACCUCAUAUUUCAAAUUUGUUACAUAACGUUUACCAUACAUGCAUGCUACGGGACUUGCAAACUUCAACACAAGUAUUUCUCAAAUUCACAACUACUCAACUAGCACAACUUUAAUAUCACUACCUCCAUAUCUCAAAACAAUCAUCAAGCAUCAAACUUCUCUUAGUAUUCAAAACACUCAUAAGAAAGUUUUUACUAAUCUUGAAUACCUAGAAUAUUGGGAUUAUUUAAGCAAAUUACCAUGCUAUUUAAGACUCUCAAAGCAUGAGAGACCAAUAGUUUCUAUAAAACAAAUCCACCACCGUGCUCUAAAAGAUAUAAGUGAAGUACUAGAGCAAAACUAUAUAACUCAAAAGAUAUAAGUGAAGCACAUAGAGUAUUCUAAUAAUUUCUGAAUCAUGUGUCUCUCUCAAAAGGUGUGUAUAGCAAAGAUGAUUGUGGUAAACUAAAAAGCAAAGACUCAAAUCAUACAAGACGCUCCAAGCAAAACACAUAUCAUGUGGUGAAUAAAAAUAUAGCUCCAAGUAAAGUUACCGAUGGAAGUAGACGAAAGAGGGGAUGCCUUCCGGGGCAUCCCAAGCUUUGGAUUUUUGGUGUCCUUAGAUUAUCUUGGGGGUGCCAUGGGCAUCCCCAAGCUUAGGAUCUUGCCACUCCUUGUUCCAUAAUCCAUCAAAUCCUUACCCAAAACUUGAAAACUUCACAACACAAAACUUAUUUAUAUUGGUGUUAAACCUACUGUAUUCCAACUUCUCUAUGGUUUAUAAACUAUUUUACUAGCCAUAGAUUCAUCAAAAUAAGCAAACAACACACGAAAAACAGAAUCUCUAAAAAACAGAACAGUCUGUAGUAAUCUGUAGCUAGCGCAAGAUCUGGAACCCCGAAAAUUCUAAAAUAAAUUGCUGGACGCGAGGAAUUUAUAUAUUAAUCAUCUGCAAAAAUAAUUAACUAAAUAGCACUUUCCAAAUAAAAAUGGCAGCAGUUCUCGUGAGCGCUAAAGUUUCUGUUUUUUACAGCAAGAUUAACAAGACUUUCCCCAAGUCUUCCCAACGGUUCUACUUGGCACAAACACUGCUUAAACACAAAAAACACAACCAAAACAGAGGCUAGAUAAAUUAUUUAUUACUAAACAAGAGCAAAAAGCAAGGAAUAAAAAUAAAAUUGGGUUGCCUCCCAACAAGCGCUAUCGUUUAACCCCCCUAGCUAGGCAUAAAAAGCAAGGAUAGAUCUAGGUAUUGCCAUCUUUGGUAGGCAAUUCAUAAGUGGCUCUCAUAAUAGAUUCAUAAGGUAAUUUAAUUUUCUUUCUAGGAAAGUGUUCCAUGCCUUUCCUUAACGGAAAUUGGAAUCUAAUAUUUCCUUCCUUCAUAUCAAUAAUUGCACCAAUCGUUCUAAGGAAAGGUUUACCAAGAAUAAUAGGACAUGAAGGAUUGCAAUCUAUGUCAAGAACAAUAAAAUCUACGGGCACAUAGUUCCUAUUUGAAACAAUAAGAACAUCAUUAAUUCUUCCCAUAGGUUUCUUAAUAGUGGAAUCCGCAAGGUGCAAGUUUAAAGAGCAAUCAUCAAAAUCACGGAAACCGAACAAAUCACACAAAGUCUUUGGAAUCGUGAAAAUACUAGCACCCAAAUCACACAAAGCAUAGAAUUCAUGAUCUUUAAUUUUAAUUUUAAUAGUUGGUUCCCACUCAUCAUAAAGUUUUCUAGGGAUAGAAACUUCCAACUCAAGUUUUUCUUCAUAAGAUUGCAUCAAAGCAUCAACGAUAUGUUUGGUAAAAGCUUUAUUUUGACUAUAAGCAUGGGGAGAAUUUAGCACGGAUUGCAACAAGGAAAUACAAUCUAUCAAAGAGCAUCUAUCAUAAUUAAAUUCCUUGAAAUCCAAAAUAAUAGGUUCAUUAACAUCUAGAGUUUUGAUCUCUUCAAUCCCACUUUUAUCAAAUUUAGCAUCAAGAUCUAAAAACUCCAAAUUUUUGGAACACCUUCUAGGUAAAGGUGGAUCAUAUUCAGUCCCAUCAUUAUCAAGAUUCAUAUUGCAAAACAAAAAUUUAAUAGGAGACACAUCAAUAACUUUUAGAUCUUCAUCUUUAUUAUCAUGGAAACUAGAAGAACACGCUCUUAUAAUCUUUCUUAGCACGCAUCCUAGCGGUUCUUUCUUUGCACUCAUCAAUGGAAAUUCUCAUGGCUUUGAGAGACUCAUUGAUAUCAUGCUUAGGAGGAAUAUAUCUAAGUUUUAAAGAAUCAACAUCAAGAGAAAUUCUAUCAACGUUCCUAGCCAAAUCAUCAACUUUAAGCAAUUUCUCUGCAAGCAAAACAUUGAAAUUCUUUUGUGAAUUCAUAAAUUCCUUAACACUAGUCUCAAAUUCAGAGGGCAUCUUAUUAAAAUUUCCAUAAGAAUUGUUGUAGGAAUUACCAUAAUUAUUAGAGGAAUUACUAGGAUAAGGCCUAGGAUUAAAGUUUCCUCUAUACGUGUUGUUACCAAAAUUAUUCCUACCAACAAAAUUCACAUCCAUAGAUUCAUUAUUAUUCUCAAUCAAAGUAGACAAAGACAUAUCAUUAGGAUCAGAAGAAACACUCUUAGUAGCAAAUAAUUUCAUAAGUUCAUCCAACUUUCCACUCAAAACAUUAAUUUCUUUUACCGCAUGCACUUUUUUAUUAGUAGAUCUUUCAGUGUGCCAUUGAGAAUAAUUAACCACAAUAUUAUCUAGGAGUUUAGUAGCUUCGCCUAAAGUGAUUUCCAUAAAAGUGCCUCCCGCGGCCGAAUCUAAAAGAUUUCUAGAAGCAAAAUUCAAUCCGGCAUAAAUUUUUUGUAUAAUCAUCCACAAAUUCAAACCAUGUGUUGGGCAAUUACGUAUCAUUAAUUUCAUCCUCUCCCAAGCUUGUGCAACAUGUUCAUGAUCAAGUUGCUUAAAAUUCAUAAUAUCGUUUCUAAGAGAGAUGAUCUUAGCGGGAGGAAAAUACUUAGAGAUAAAAGCAUCUUUGCACUUAUUCCAAUAAUCAAUACUAUUUUUAGGCAAAGACGAAAACCAAGCUUUAGCACGAUCUCUAAGCGAAAAAGGAAAUAGCUUCAAUUUAACAAUAUCAUUGUCCACAUCUUUCUUCUUUUGCAUAUCACACAAAUCAACGAAGCUAUUUAGAUGGGUAGAGACAUCUUCACUAGGAAGGCCGGAAAACGGAUCUUUCAUGACAAGAUUCAGCAAGGCAACAUUAAUUUCAUAAGAUUCAGCAUCGGUAAGAGGAGCAAUCGGAGUGCUAAUAAAAUCAUUGUUGUUGGUUUUGGUAAAGUCAAACAAUUUAGUGUUAUCUUGAGCCAUCGUGACAAGCAAGCAAUCCAACACACAAGCAAACGAGGAACGGGCAAAAAGAGGCAAAUAGAGAAAGAGAGGGAGGAUAGAAAGAGAGAGGGCGAAUAAAACGGCAAGGGUAAAGUGGGGGAGAGGAAAACAAGAGGCAAAUGGCAAAUAAUGUAAUGUGGGAGAUAAGGGUUUGUGAUGGGUACUUGGUAUGUUGACUUUUGCGUAGACCUCCCCGGCAACGGCGCCAGAAAUCCUUCUUGCUACCUCUUGAGCACUGCGUUGGUUUUCCCUUGAAGAGGAAAGGGUGAUGCAGCAAAGUAGCGUAAGUAUUUCCGUCGGUUUUUGAGAACCAAGGUAUCAAUCCAGUAGGAGGCUACGCGCGAGUCCCUCGCACCUACACAAAACAAAUAAAUCCUCACAACCAACGCGAUAAGGGGUUGUCAAUCCCUACAUGGCCACUUACGAGAGUGAGAUUUGAUAGAUAUGAUAAGAUAAUAUUUUUGGUAUUUUUAUGAUAAAGAUGCAAAGUAAAAUAAAAGGCAAUGAAAAUAACUAAGUGUUGGAAGAUUAAUAUGAUGGAAGAUAGACCCGGGGGCCAUAGGUUUCACUAGUGGCUUCUCUCGAGAGCAUAAGUAUUCACGGCGGGUAAACAAAUUACUAUUGAGCAAUUGACAGAAUUGAGCAUAGUUAUGAGAAUAUCUAGGUAUGAUCAUGUAUAUAGGCAUCACGUUCGAGACAAGUAGACCGACUCCUGCCUGCAUCUACUAGUAUUCCUCCACACAUCGACCGCUAUCUAGCAUGCAUCUAGAGUAUUAAGUUCAUAAGAACAGAGUAAUGCUUUAAGAAAGAUGACAUGAUGUAGAGGAAUAAAUUCAUGCAAUAUGAUAAAAAAACAUCUUGUUAUCCUUGAUGGCAACAAUACAAUACGUGCCUUGAUGCCCCUAAUGUCACUGGGAAAGGACACCGCAAGAUUGAACCCAAAGCUAAGCACUUCUCCCAUUGCAAGAAAGAUCAAUCUAGUAGGCCAAACCAAACUGAUAAUUCGAAAAGACUUGCAAAGAUAACCAAUCAUACAAAAAAGAAUUCAGAGAAGAUUCAAAUAUUGUUCAUAAAUAAACUUGAUCAUAAAACCACAAUUCAUCGGUCUCAACAAACACACCGCAAAAGAAGAUUACAUCGAAUAGAUCUCCACAAGAGAGGAGGAGAACUUUGUAUUGAGAUCCAAAAAGAGAGAAGAAGCCAUCUAGCUAAUAACUAUGGACCCGAAGGUCUGAGGUAAACUACUCACACUUCAUCGGAGAGGCUAUGGUGUUGAUGUAGAAGCCCUCCGUGAUCGAUGCCCCCUCCGGCGGAGCUCCGGAACAGACCCCAAGAUGGGAUCUUGUGGAUACAGAAGGUUACGGCGGUGGAAUUAGGGUUUUGGCUCCUUCUUUGAUCGUUUGGGGGUACGUAGGUAUAUAUAGGAGGAAGGAGUACGUCGGUGGAGCAACAGGGAGCCCACGAGGGUGGAGGGCGUGCCUGGGGGGGGGGGGUGUAGGCGCGCCCCCUACCUCAUGGCUUCCCUGUUGGUUGCUGGACGUAGGGUCUAAGUCUCCUGGAUCAUGUUCGAUCCGAAAAUCACGUUCCCGAAGGUUUCAUUCCGUUUGGACUCCGUUUGAUAUUCUUUUUCUGCGAAACUCUGAAAUAGGCAAAAAACAACAAUUCUGAGCUGAGCCUCCGGUUAAUAGGUUAGUCCCAAAAAUGAUGUAAAAGUGAAUAAUAAAGCCCAAUAAUGUCCAAAACAGAAGAUAAUAUAGCAUAGAGCAAUAAAAAAUUAUAAAUAUGUUGGAGACGUAUCAGCGCACUCCGCCCAACCAUGUUGUCGUCUGAAUAGCCGCAGCUAGCACAUGCACUAUACUACGUCGUGCAUAGACAAGGCUCCUCCCUUGUGCUCCACCGCCAUAGAGACGUGCUCGUCCUCCCCAGGGCCUCUUUGUCUAGUUCGUGCGCCCCGCCCGACCAUGACAUAGUCCGGACAGGCGCUGCCAGCAUAUUCGUGCCGCCACUUUGUGCACAAUCAAGGCCGCCACCUCAUGCUUAAUGACCACUGCAACGUGCUCGUCCUCACUGAUUACGACGUCGAGAUCAUUUGGAACUCUACUGCCAACGACAGUGACACGCGGGCACGGCUUUGCGACACUAAGAACCUCGCCAUCGAGAACGCUCGGAGUGAUCGUCCUAUGGCAGAAUUUUGACCACCCCAACAACACCUAGCUCCCUGCUCAAUGCGUCGGUGGAGUUCAUGCCGCCGGUACGGGAUGGCAAGAGGAGGAAAUGUGGUCCUAAAUGUGGGCCCAAUCAAUCAGAUUGUCUAUUAAAAGAAGUUGACUGAUAAAUUUGGGCUCAGUGUUGAUAAUUAGUUCAGAAGUUGUGGUUAUGUGUUAAAGAAACUCAAAAAUUAUGGUAAAGUGUUAUAAGUUGACCUGAAGUUGUGGUUUUUUGUUAAAAAACUCAAAAGUUGUGGUAAAGUGUUAUAAGUUACUCUGAAGUUGUGGUUUUGUGUAAUUAACUCUUUUUCUCUCUUCUCAUCUUCUUGCUGGAACCUACGAAAGAACUUAAUGUCGAGAACAGUUUGUCUCACCUCCCAUGGUGGCCACUAGCCAAAGUAGCAGGGGAGGUACCUAGGUUCACAAAAUUUACCCGGGGCGGCUGCCCCUACAUGACCCCACGCUGGCGCCGCCCCUGCCCUAUAUUUAGGAACGAAGGGAGUAUGUUGUUAGCACCUAGUUACAUAUCUGGAGAAUCUACUUAUUUGUAUUAUCCUAAAAUUGGUAAUUAAGUUAAAAUUUGUAGUCACCUAUUCACCCCCUCCUCCUCUAGUCGAUCGAUUUAGUCCUGUCAACUAAAAAGAUUGACACGUCGAUGUUUUGAAUAAGUUCAAUCAGCUCGAUGGAGCGCAGUCUAGUCCUAUGUUAGGAAACAUUGAGGGAGGUUAGUCGUGGAUCCUAGUCGGAUGGGGAUAUUCAGAUUUCACUCCAAAUGCCCUUUCUCAGCAUCGGUAUGAGGGGAACGUGGCUCCUCGGAUCCGACCCUAGAGCUUCUCGAGUGGGGCUUGAAGCUCUAUUGCCCACCCAUUAAUUCUUAUUCAAGUAAGAGUGAAUGAUUACAUGCCCGUGGGGACUUUGUAUAUGAUUGGAGGCUUUGACAAAUGAUUAUGGUUACCCUUAAAGCAAGGAAAAUGGUAAUCUUCAGAUAUUGCUUCAUCAACUUGUAAUAUUUCAGUUCAUAUACUUUAUGUAACUUCUAUGCACCGAUGUUAGCGGGAGAGAUAAUAUUGGUGAGCCUAUGAAUUCCGGUCCAAUUUUCCUCAUAACCGUCAAUUUACUUUUGUAUGCACUUUUAUUUUCAGCCUUUAUUUAUUUCUAAAAUACAAAAAAUAAUUCCAAUCACAAUAUACAUAAUUGUUACAACUAGGAAAGCUAUUGCGAACCAACCUGUGGUUGAGAUGGUUAGGUGGACAGUGGUAUCCCCAACCCACCAGGGUUCAAAUCCUGGUGCUCGCAUUAUUCCUGGAUUUAUUUCAGGAUUUCCGGCGAUGCGCUUUCAAUGGAAGGAGACGUUCCCUUCGACGACGAGGCGCCUACGGUGACUUCGUAAAUCUCAAGAUGAUAUGUCGGCUCAGUCUCUCGGAGGUGCUCAUAGGGAUAGGGUGUGCGUGUGUGCAUUCAUAGGAUGAGUGUAUGCGCGUAUAUAUGAGCGCUUGUGUCUGUACUGAUGCUAAAAAAAAAACUAGGAAAGCUAUUGAGGUUACCCUUAUUCGAGUUGUUGUUCGCACAAGUGAAAUUUUAUGGGUGUGUCUAGGGCACAUCUAGAUGUGCUCUAGUUAUUGCACAUUUAAGUGUGUGAAUCAAUCAUAAAGAGUAAAAGAAAAAAGAAAAAGAAAAUAUCCACACGAAUCUCAACGUAAGAUCAAUGACAUAGGACUUAGAUGUGCAAUACUUAUAGCACAUCUAGAUGUGCUUUAGCAAAACUGAAAUUUUAUUUGUGUUGCAGAGUUGAUGAUUGAUUUAGGAAUCAAUGCUUCCACAUAUUGAUACAUUAGUAUCUCACUAAGGAAAAACUUGGUGCUACCUACAUACCUUGAACUUGGGGCCCAACAACUGCAACAAGGCAAAUUAGCCGGAGCAAUAAGCACCCAUUGGGUAGGAGGGGUUGGCACCAAAGCCCACACGUACUCCUUAGGGCUUCUCUUGGUCCUCCUUCCGUGCUCGAGCCACCGAGAAUGACAUUCACGACGCAGGUCUCUUGAAGCCUGCAACCAUUAGAGUUUUUUCAUUCACCAUCAUCAUGACAUUGACGUUUGGAUCAUGCAGGUUCUGCUCUUGCUUCAGGUGCUCAGGUGGAACGAGGAGGACACCCCUUUAGGGCAGGCUUUGGCGCCCCGAACUCCCUCUGGUUUUUUUAACGAAAAUGCUGAUGAAGCAGCUUUUCAUUGAUAUGGAGGGUUUGAAGAGAGUUAAUUUACAACAAUGUUACAUGAGCAGGCCUGCACUAGGUGUACAUGCCAUCUCCGUUUCCUGUACUAAGCUUUUCUAGUCUGGUUCUCUUGGUCUGUUGAGGAGGGAGAUGGCCUUGCCCCGUCCCGCCCUUUGCCAGACUGCUGCCUCUUCAAUCAAUCGUUCAACUACAGUCCUUGGCGGUGAUGGCUGGUUUUUGAAUAUCCUAGCGUUGUGUUCCGAACUCCCUCUGGUCACUCAUCCCUUCUGCUAAAUUAAUGAAAAGCCACUUUAAAAAAAAAGUGGGGGGCUCUACUGAGAGCGGCAAGCCAAUGUUGCGACUGUGGAUGGUGCUGCUGUGCGACGGCAAAUCACGGGCUACAUAACAGUUGGUGGAGGAUUUUUCUUUUCGCGGCAUCGUGUGGCGAGAGACUAGCUGGACCUGCGAUCCUGAGCAUAACGCAGCUGCAAUUGACGGCUGGGGAGACCGAUCGAAGCCUCUGAUCGAUCAACCGACUCCUUUUGCUUGAGGCACCAGGGCUACUCUUUCUUCAUCAUGCAAAAGCACGCUGCGAAAAAUAGUCAACUACUCCUUCUGUCUCAUAAUAUAACAACCUCCGUGCCGCUUCCGCGAGCGGCCCGGGCGGAACCCUAGAUCGCCGCCGCCGCUCCCUUCCUUCGCCUUCCUUCUCCCUCGCCGCCGCCAGGGGACGCUGCCGGGCAAAGCCUGCGCGUGCGUCGGCGGCGGCGGGGCUCCCUCCCUCCUCGCGAGGCUCCUGGGCGGCGCUGGACGGCCGGCCCUCGCGGCGGCGCUCGGCUCGGCGGCAGGUCGGGUCGCCGGCGGAUCUGCGGGGCUCCCCUUUGGUGGCGCUGCGGUGAUGGCGGCGGCGUGGUCUACGUGGGGCGGCGAGGCGCGGGCUCCUCCUCCUCCCGAUCUGAUGGCGCUGCGGUGGCGCCGGUGCUCGGGCGUGCGGCGGGGUCCGCGAGGGUGGUCGGUGCGCGAUGUCUCCCUCCCCGAUCUGAUGGCUCCACGGUGGCGCCAGUGCUCGGGCGGCGGUUGGCGUCGACAAGCGGUGGCGGGCGCUGGGAUCUUGGCGGCGCUCCUGCGUGUGCAGGCGGCGGCGGUCCCUGUGCGCGGUCGGCAGCUUCGUCUCCGACCCGGACGGCGCGGGGGAUGGCGGCGGCCCGGCAUGGCCGGCGAUCUGGACAUGACCCGGACGGCGCGGGGGAUGGCGGUGGUGCCGGUGGCUCGCUGAUCUGCCGGUACUCCAGGGUCGGCCUGGUGGUGCUGGUGGUGACGGCGGCCCGUGCACGAGAGUUGGAUUCCUUCGAACUGAUCUGGGUGAAAACUUGCCUUCGGCUUCUGCUAAGGCCGGCGGUGGCGGCGCUAUCUGCGUCGUUCCCUUCUUGAAGGCAUCGCCGUGGAGAAGUUCAAGGCCACUCUCUGCUACCUCCGGGGGAAACCCUAGAUUGGAUGAUCGGAUGACGGCGGCGCUCUGGUGUCGUUCCUCCCUUGGGGGAGUCAUUUUUGGAGGUACACACGUGAUCGAGGGACCAGAGGACGGAUUCUUUGGUGGAGUGGUGCUUCAUCCUACACACUGAUGGCGACGGAUCUUGACGGCGUGGCGCAGUGCAGAUUCAGAGUUCGCUGUGGGAGGAUGGCCUCGCGCAGGAGGACGGCGCUGUCGGGCGUCGUGGUGGCGUCGAUGGCAGAGAGAGCUGGCACGGUACAUGCAACAGUACAGCUCUGAAGAUGGAUUUGUGGCAGGUGGCUGCGGCGGCCUCAUACCCGGCAGGUGUCCUGGUUGAGGAGUGCGCCGGACUGGUAGGUGCCCCAUACCCGGCAGGCGUCCUGGUUGGAAUCUCAGGUCUUAGAUGUUUAGGUUUGGCUGCGAUGUCUGUUUGGUAUUAGGCCCAAACUAUCUGCGCCCCUUCAUCAAUUGGAUAGGUGUAGCGACAGUUGUUGCUUAGACGGUGGCUUUAGUUUUGCUAUUGUAUAGUUUUGUAAGAUUUUAUGAUAAUAAUUAAUAAAGUGGCCGUAUGCAUCGUCCAGAUGCAGAGGCCGGGGGUCAUCUUCCUUUUCUAAAAAAAAACGUGAAACGUUCUUAUAUUAUGAGAUGGAGGGAGUAGUCAUUUUGCCCACUACAGAAUAUUCAGUUUUCUACAGGGAUUAGAGCCAUCGCAAGGGAUAGGUUCGGAGCAGCUACUGCAACUAUUUAGUUCAACGCGGUAGAUAUCCAGCAACACACUCUGGGUGGAGUAUCAAACUGACAAGUUAGUAAGAACUAAGAACCAGUCUCAUCAUCUCGGGUAGGAGACGGCCGGUGAGUCAGGUAUCCGCCCAAACUCAGUGAGACGGUAUAGAUGCGUUAGGCCAUUCCCAGAGAACUUCAUCCUCGUUCGGGGAAGAUUCACCUUGAUCUCUCGCCAUUCUUCUGAAAACAGCAAUCUGGGAAGCAUAGCCAGGUUCGUCGCUCGAGCCGCCAACGCCACUGAACUCCACAGUGUAGUUGUGGCUUGCAGCGAGGCCAAUAGCCCAGCGCUGGAACUGGGACCUCGUCCACUCGAACUUGUGGUCAUGGUUGCGGAACUUGCAAGGUCCAGCGUUUUUCUCCUGCUCCUCUUCCUUGUUUGGCAAAGCUGACCUCUGGAGGAUAGGGUUGUAUUCGUAGUUGGGUGUUGAGACAAUGAGCACCGCCGGACAGAAUGAGCUCAAUACAACGUUGCCGAAUAAACUUGCUUGGUCCUCCUCCACAUGCUCAAUCACCUGCAGUUUACUUCGGUUAGUCAAAAAAAGUCCCUAAACAAAACCAACAUACAAGAAAUGUACAAGCAUUUCCGGGUACAUUUUAUGUAGCAUAGGUUACUGAUUGCAAACGUCCUUCAGGUAUGUUGUCUUUCACAUAAAGGAACUAACUCCCGCGUUCACUCCUACAGUAAUUCUACAUCAAAUCCACACCAGGAACUAACAGCCCAUAUGCCCAGAUCAAUUCUAGAACAAAACCAAGCCUAACGUUUUACAUACAUAUAACAAAACCAAACAAGAAGAUACAAACAGUUCAAAAGGAGUACUCGGCUACCUCAAGACAGCUGCCAAUAUCAAACCCAUAUAAGCGAGAAUCAAAAUCUGUUACUGAUCCAUGAUAGAGCACAGCUGUUGGAACACUAGUUUGUAACAAGAGUUUCUUGCUAAGCUUCUGAUGAAGGCUCUGCAAUGUCAGAUAGAGGUGAAACAAAUCCAAAUAUAAAUCAUUACAAACAACAACAACAAAGCCUUUAGUCCCAAACAAGUUGGGGUAGGCUAGAGGUGAAACCCAUAAGAUCUCGCAACCAAAUAUAAAUCAUUGAAAAGGAAAAAAAUGGUUCAAAGAGUAAACAACUAUUUGAGCAUGACUUUGAACCUUUCCCGCUCUCGUAAGACCCUUUCGAGAAAUAUCAACACCAACAAUUUUUUCAAGGGUUGUUGGAUGCUCUAACAGUGAAUCGAGAAGACUACCAGAUCCACAACCAAAAUCAACCUGAAAAAUUCAGCUUUAAUAGUGACAAGCCAAUACUUGUAAAUAAGGAACUAGGAUGAAAGUAAUAUUCACCAAUGUUGUAGCAUGCAGCUGGUUGAUGUGCCGAACAGCAAAUUCAACUCUCUGUUUAGAUAAAGCAGGAUUGAACAAGGCCUUCUCCAUUCUAUCUUCUAAAGGUUCAGUUACUUGCAACACCUUUACGGAGAACUCCAAGACGCAGCUGUCUGCAAAGAUGUUCAAAUGUAGGAAGGAUGUUGAAUCCCAAUUCCAACAAUCAUAGAUAACUGUCAGAUUGAGCUAUUGAUAUAGGUAGCUCACCUCUAGAUAUCUUGGAAAGGUCCAGUGACAACUCACUAGCUGCAGCGAGGCUCAAAUCCCUAUCAGACAGUUGAUCUACAAAGCAUGCACUUUGAUUAACUGAGAGUUGAGUUGCACAUGAUUCAAGCUGAUUCCUAACAGCUCCAGCCCCUAUCUCAAACUCAAACUCAUUAUUGACUUCUAGGAGAUAUCUCGUUCUGCUGUCCUUCAUAAACAGGUGAACACUGUAGCUUAUGCAAGCCAACGAUCUAUGGGACGGAAAAACACCAGAAUCUUGACCAUCAACGUCUGUUAAAAAAUGCACUGCUUUCAAGCUGCUGAUAUGAUGUAUCCAUAGAAAAGUAUCCAACUGCGCUGCAUGUUCUUGAAUGACCACCACUUGUCUUGCCAUAGACAGAUAAGCACAUUGCAAAUUCUUGUAAAAAUAUAUUUGGAUAUAUCGUGAGGCCAUCAGUGCUCUUAGGAAGAUAGAGCUUCUCCACAGGCGUGUUCAGCUGCUUAAAAUAACGAUUGAACCAAAUCAAGACCUUCAACGCAGAAUUCUGAAUAGGACCAGUUUCCUUGCUCCAGCUAUAAUCUGUGGAAUACUCUAGUAAAAGCUCCCUCUUCUUUGAAUAUAUUUUGACAGAGCACUUGAACAUGUCUGGGUUUUCCUUGGCAAUCCUUCCAUCAUUUGCGCACUGAUCUCCAGCGGUUGCUUUUGGUGACCCCAUCUCUUCAGAGCCCACAGCUGUUCCUAAGACAUUACAGGAUGCACUUACCCCAUUGGCAGCGAAAUGGGGUUCUGAUAGCCUCUGGAGGCGACAGAAAGAACAAAGGAGAUCUCGUGGAGAGGGGCCUUUCCAACUGGUACGAGUAUAAACACACGGAAGCUCUGCCACAAGAAUCGAGUCCUUGGAGAUCUUGUAAAUUCCAUCAGGUAAUUUUCGCAGAAGAAUCCUGAGGAUCCAAAAGCAUGUUACAUAAACAAAAUAUAAAAUAUGGCGAGAAAGAGUAGUUCCUACAAGACAGAGAAAAACAGUCUCAAAAUCGAAGAUAACUAGAACACAAUGGAGAGAAAUUGAUGAAUGACCGGCAUCUACAGCUAGAUUACGAUUCCCUAUAGAUCGUUAGCUGGUGUAUCACUUAUUCAUAGAAGAUUGCAGUUUUGCUGCAAACACAUAGCAUACAAGUGAAAUCGUCAACAAGCUUGUACCUGUAAUAGGUACAUAGAUUGACAUGAUCAGUUUGAAGUUCUGUAUCUCUCCUUGUGUAUCCAACAUUUGCCAAAACUGCAUCUCCAUAAAUUGUUUGGCCAGAAAUGUAGGAAGCUCGCUUAUUUAUUACGCAGUUCAUAUUGCGAUCUCCACGAUCAUCCACCAAUUGUUUUGAUAAAUCAGAAACAAAUUGUACAUCCGGAGCUGGGAAAAAAAACCUCAUCUCAGAAGAUGCUUUGUCAACUGUUCUGCAGUAAGAAAAAUGCUUUAAACUGUCAGCACAACCAAUUUGCUGUAAAGGUUCAGAAAUCAAGACUUCACCAAUCACAGACUCUGUACUGACCUUGAGACAAGGACAUGAGAUGAAUCAGUUGCAGAGAGCUUCGAUGCUAUAUCACCCAUGUAAUGUUCAUUCUCUCAUAUAUUAAGGCUUACCAUCUUAGGUUCAUCAUCCAACACACAUGGAAUAAGAACUGCUUCUACUCUUAUGGGAUCUGAAAUACCAGACCAGCGCUGAAGUGCCAAAUCAACAGCCUCAGGGGAAUAAGGCCUUUGAAUCUGAAUCCAAAAGUUUCUGUUACUAACAGAUACACCAAGAGAUUGUUUGGCAGCAUUAUAGAUCAUUGAAAGAACCAAGAGAGGAUCAAAUUCUGCCUUAGGGUCAAUAACUUUACACAAUGUAUGGACCUUAACAUCACAAGCAACAAUGGCUGAAAUAGGUAGCUUUCCAAGGAGGCCCCCAGUCUUCUGAGUGUCACACUCAAGUGCCCAACAAGAGGAUGAGAUGAUGCGGGGAAGUUCUGAAAUGAAGCAUAGAAGCCAUGUUAGAAUAGGUAUUGUUGGAAAUAUUAGCACUUUCUCGAUUAAUCUAAUUGACGAGUAGACAGUAAACAUGGCAAAUACGGUAUGCAUCUCAUACCGAUAUUUAAGCAUGUGAGCACAUACAGUACAUAGAAUCGAACCAUCUAUGAACAUCAUAUAUACGGCUAGCACACGAACGAGCAAAUAGGGGAUGAACGACUCAUACCCUCCGGUUGGCCAGGCCAACAUGGCGGCGGCGGCAGCAGCCUCGGCAUCAGCCAAUGCCUUCUUCUUGGCGAUUUCGUCGUCAGCCAUGGAGUCGAUGUAGAGGAAGUAGUGAAAGCAAAGGCGGACGAAGACGGGGACGGAUCGGGAGCAGCCGCGUCGAGACGCUCCCCAAAAACCUUAUUGCCGUUCUCCCGGGCAGGAUCUUGAACGACAGGGUUCCGGAGGCACCUGCUCUCCCGACCAACCGUGCACGCGGUCGUCGGGAUGGGAUCGCUGGAGACAGCUCAGUGAGAGGAACAGUAGAUGACGGCUAGGGUUGUACGAUAGGGAGUGAGUGAACUGAGUUAGGGUUCACUCCACUAGCCAACGCCUUCUUAUAUAGGCCUUUGAGUAGAUGGGCCUGGGCUCAGGCCCAUGACCGAGUCUGCGAACAGCCCACGGUCCAACGUCUCGGACAGUGGCACUUUCGUAAGCGACUCGUUAAUUAAUACAAGAUCAAUUAACCAUUCUUGACCGGAAAAAAUAAGCUUCGGCUCGGCUCAUUCCCGCAACCCGUGGCGCGCGCGCGCUUCGUGACGAGGCGAGCGGCGGAAAAGGAGGAGCGCGCGUGUGCCGCUCCUACUCCCAAGCUCCCAAUAGCAAGUGAUGGAGCAACCCUUAUAAAGAGGUCUCACUCUUCUUACUGUAGCAGUAUGGUACUAAACUUCCCACACUUCCCACCACUUGUCGUACACAUGCAUGGGCCUUAGAGAUUAACCAGGGAUUAUUGUCUUAUAUGAGCCUAAGCCCAUCCAUAAUCCAACAACCCCCACCAGAUCUCGAGGCACAUAAGUUUGUCAACUGUUCCAAACAAUGUUUGAUAUACCAGAAUUUUUAGUGGAGACUGUUAAAUUGAACUUCCACCUAAAGCAAUGGGAUUAGACUUCUUCACAAACUGAACAAUGGACUAUGCCUUGAAUUGUCAGUUUGGCGUGUAGAAGUUUCGCCCAUUGUCAGCUGAUAUGUGGCUGCCGAAGGCUAAACCCCACGGGUGGAGCUUCUUAGUCAUACUCCGUACCUUCUCAUGAGCUUCCUAGAUAUCACCCAAUCUCAUAGACUGUGACCAGCAGUCGGGCUCACAUAGGUGUGUGUUCCUUCAAAGAAUGCUCUGUAGGUUAGCAUCUUGCUUACAUAAGCUUUGGAACACAUUAAGACAAAAGUCAGCCAGCCUUAUAGAAUUGAGAGUAUUAUUGCAUCUCCAACGGAGUGGAUUAAUUAAGGAUACUCUCCUCAGUUGACCGCUGGAUUGUUGUCCUGGGUCCUAAUUCACGGGAUCUCCGAUCACAUAGGUUGGGUUACCCACAUGGCAACUUACGUGGGUCUCAUACCCAUCUCCCUCGAUGCAUUUUCUAUCACAAUCCGUGAUACCCUUUUGUAAAAGGGUCUGCCAGAUUCUUAGCCGUCUGGAUAUAAUCCAACCCUAUUACUCCGGAGUUUCUUGAUUUUCUGACAGAUUUUAAUCUUCUUCUUAUGUGCUUUGUGGAUUUCAAGUUGUCCUUUGAACUCUUAGCCUUGGCAAUCACUGUUUGAUUGUCACAGUUCAUAAGGACAGCGGGGACUGGUUUAUCAACCACCGACAAAUCCAUCAAAAGCUCUCGAAGCAUUCUGCUUCGACACAUGAUGUGUCCAAUGCUUUGAGUUCCGCUUCCAUAGUCGAUCUUGUUAAGAUCGUCUGCUUGCAAGACAUCCAGGAAACAGCACCGCCACCAAGUGUGAAGACAUAUCCACUUGUGGCUUUCAUCUCAUCAGCAUCAGAUAUCCAAUGUUAGGACCCCGAUUCCAAGUCACAUCGAUCUAGCCGGUAACACCUCAUAACACUUUGCGGCCUCACGCACGGUAUUCCCACGGGUGACGCCUUAUCAUGGCCUGGGACCGUUUGCGCCUUUUGGCUCACAUAUAUGAUAGUGUCGCUAGCAUCCAUAUGACAGAGAACCCGGGCCGACAUGGCUAGUCGUGAACCCAAAGCGGCACUAACCUAUGGGAACAGGCAUACAUGAAUCACAUCGAGCAUGUCGGUCAGCAGCGUGUGAAUCCGGGCUGUAGCACUGGCUAACAGGACUCCGGGAACCCGGGCUGUAGCAGGCUAGGCAGGACUUCGGAUGUCACCGCGUGACAUUUCCCCGAAGGGACAGACACAGGAACGAAGUGAAACACAUGUCGGCCAGUCAAGUGUUCUGAGCAGUAGUGCUGGGCUAGCAGGACUCCGGUGAACCGGGCUGUAGCGGACUACUAUGGCUCAUGGAAGCACUAGACUACAUUUCCCCAUAAGAGAGCUGCCAAGGAUAAACAACUAGAUUGUCGGAUCCCACACAUACCAAGCAUUUCAAUCAUACACACAAUAUGCUCGAUAUGUGUAAAUACAACAUAGCAUCACAACAUAACUCUACGACUCAAACAUUUAUUCAUUAGGCUCCGAGGAGCGAGAUAUUACAAACAUGGGUCUCAUGACCCAACAAUCAUAGCAUACAAAUCAAAGCACACGCGGAAGCUUAACAUGUCUGAGUACAGACAUCUACAAAUGAAAAAGGCUAAGAAGCCUGACUAUCUACCAGAUCCUGCCGAGGACACAAGAUCGUAGCUGAGGUAUCAAGCUAAACGUCGAAGCCCACGCGGAACUACUAGCGAGACUGAAGUCUCUCUGCAAAACAUAAAUUAAGCAAACGUGAGUACAAAAGUACUCAGCAAGACUUACAUCAGAACUAGCUACAUAUGCAUCGGCAUCAACAAAGGGAUGGUGGGGUUUAACUGCAGCAAGCCAGCUUUGACUCAGUAGCUAACCUAAACUACGACUGCAAGCAACUCUUUUGAGGUGGCGCACACGAGUCCACAUAUUCACCAUAUCAAUACACCACUACGGAUCCGCUCCCGUCUCCCUACGAGAAGGCCAUCCAUAGCACUCACGCUUAUCUUGCGAGUUUUAGAGUAUCCACUUUCACUUGUCUAUGAACUAUGCAAGGGGUCCAAGUUUCCAUAUCCGAGGAAUCCGGCUAUUCGAAUAGAUAAUGAUAACCCUACAUGGGUGUACUUCUUCACACACGCUCCCACCACUUAUCACCAUAUACACGUCAUGUAUCUCGGCAACCUUCAAGCGGAAGCCUGGCGAGGGUGUCGGCCACGGCCUACCUAAACACUCAAGUCUCUAGUCCAGGUUUAUUGCCUAUCCAGGUUCCAUCCGCAGGGAGUCCGGCCGAGGUUUCCACAUACGGCCCUGAACGAUGUGAACAGGGUUCCCGAGACACCAAACGGGCGCCCGGUACACCGUGCCAUGGUGUAUCUACCGCAUCAUAGCCCACCCCUAGGGUCAGCACUACGCACAGCCGCCAACACAUAACCUACAAACACCAGAAACUAGUUGCAACUCCUGGACAGAGUACUAGGGUGAUUAAGAAGCCGAGAGGGUCAAUUAAGGAUCCCAAUGAGUGGUAGUAGAUGUUCAUGGAUCACAGACACAAAACUCAGUUCUUGAGGAUGGUUUCAAUGAGACAACCCACCAUGUACUCCUACAUGGCCUCUCACUGCUACCUUUACCAAAUCGUGUUCACACACUUAGCUCACACACAGUAGGACAUGUUCACACACCUCCGAUUCAUCCCCGAUGAAUCAGACCUGACACAACUCUAUGCAAUAGCAGGCAUGACAAACAAGCAUGAAUGAGUAGGCACAUCAGGGCUCAAACAACAACUACUCAUGCUAGUGGGUUUCAUCUAUUUACUGUGGCAAUGACAGGUCAUGCAGAGGAAAAGGGUUCAACUACCGCAGCAUGUAACAGUUGAAUCGUUGUUGUCCUAAUGCGGUAAAAGAGAGCAGGAGCGAGAGAGUAGGAUUGUAUCGGAAUGAACAAGGGGGUUUUGCUUGCCUGACACUUCUGAAGAUAAUAUAGUUCUUCAUCGGUGUCAUCGAUCACGUCGUCGGAAACAUCGUCGUCUGAGAGGGGAUGGUUAGCGGCAAACAGAGAAGGACACAAUAAAUGCAAUGCAACAAUAUGAUGCAUGAAUGUGACAUGGCAAUAUGCUGUUGAUUGGCCUAAUGCAACUAGCAAUCAUAUUAAAUGAAGUUGGUUUGAACCAAGGGUUCAAAUUCAAACUCCAUAUGUGCUUAUUUAAAUGUCAAUUAUGCAAAUUGCCCUGUACAGCAACCCUAGGUUGUUCAAACAUGCAUGAAAAUGCCAUAAACGGAUUCCUUGAAUUUUUCUGAUAAUUUUUCAUAUAUAAUUUAUUUCAUUCUGAGUUAUAGAUAAUUUUCUAUGAAUUUUAGAAGUUUUGGCUAUUUUCUGGAAUUAAAUAAAUCAUUUAGAUUUAUUUAAAAAUACAGAAAAGCAUUUACUGCAUCAGCCUUGCAUCAUGCUGACGUCAUUUGGUCAACAGACGCAGUCCAGGUCAAACCUGACCAGUGGGACCCACUGGUCAGUGACCCAGUGCUGCCUAGGGUCACAGACAGGUGGGGCCCGGUCAACGGACACGUCAGCAUAGUCAAAACUGCACGUGGGGCCACUGCAAUUAGCUUAACCUUAAUCUAUUUUAGUUAGCCGGUUAGUUAGGCGGUGGGGCCCGGCUGUCAGUGGCUUAGAGGCUUAGUUAGCGGGGUGUUUAAUCCCCAAACAGUGGCUAUCACCGGCGGCUAAUCGCCGACGUAACCAGGACGAGGCGACGUUGCCCGCCCGGCCAACUCCGGCGACGGGAGCAAGCGGGGCUGGUCUCAUUGGAACGGCCGCGAUGCGGCGCGUCCAACGAUGGUGAUUGCAGGGGUUGGGGUGGCCGAAGACGAUGACGAGGAGCUCGGCCGCGGCGGCCGGCGUUCGGAUGUGCGCGGGAGCACGGCUGCGCUGUGUAAACGGGCGAGGCAAAGCACUAGAGAUGCUCUAUGCGGUGCAGCGAGCUCGGUGGACACGCGCCCGGGACCAAAUGGUCAUCGGAGCGUCGGUGGCGGCGAGCGCAGGCGGCAGCGGAGUUCGGUCGUCGGCGAAACGGCGACUAUGGCGUGCAACCGAGAAAACAGGGAGGGAGAGAAGGAGGAGCAGCUCAUGGCGGUUGCAGUAGGCGUCGAAGUGGGCUCGGGGAAGGCCGGAGCUGAGCGGGGCGGCGAGGCGAAUCUCCGGCGGCCGAGGAGGGGAAAAGCGGCGGGGGUGGCGCUUCGGGGCCCUUCCGGUAGCUUGGCUCAGUGAGGAGGUAGGGAACGAGGUGGCGGAGCUCGAGGAUAGCUCGGGGCGGCUCGGGGAACACGGUGGACGCGGUGACGGAAAGCGGUGGCGACGGUCUCGCUCGGCCGUGCGCGUGAGAGAGAGCAGAGGAGGGGAGGGGGUCCAGAGCAAGAGGGGAGAGACGCAGGGGGUCAAGGGCGUCUCCGUGGCACGUUCAGAAGAGCCGGGGCGUCGCGGUGGAAGCAGGAGCUGGCGCGCGCGCGACGAGCACGCGCCCUGUCUACUGGCACGGGGAGGAAGACGACAGAGGGGGCUGCGGUGGUGGGUUGGGCCGGUGAAGCUAGGCCGGCAACAGGUAGGUGGGCCGAGGUAAGUCCAGGUAACUCUCUCUCUCUGUUUCUGUUUUUUUGUUCUGUUUGUUUUUAUUUUAUCUUUGCCACUGCUUUUAAAAUUCAAAACAGUUUCAAAAACAGUGUCAAUUAUCCUCUAAUAAUUUCAUGUUGCAAAAUGGACUUUUCCAAAUGCACAUAAAAUAUAUCAGAGGUAUUUGGAGAUAUAUCAUAUAUAUAUUUGGGUAUAUUUCCAAAUUCAAAUAGGAUAGUGAUUUAAAUUCAGUGCCCAAAAUAUUCCACAAAAAUGUUCCCUAUUUUUGGUUUCGUCUCAAAGCCUUGCCAAAAAUUAACAAACAUUUAUGAAGGCAUUUUGGAAACAAUGAAUGCAAUUUAAAGGGUUCUUGCCCUUCUUUUAAAUUGAUUUCUGAGGCUUUCACUUUCCUCAUUUCAAGUUUCUUGAAAUUAACAGGAUGCAUGAUGCUCACUGAUGCAACUAUCUCCAAACAAUUCUAGGGCUGUGACAACUCACCCCCACUAAACAAGAAUCUUGUCCCGAGAUUCAAGACGGGAGGUACGAAGACAGAGGGGGUACAAACUAACAUGAUCUUCAUGAUCCAUUGCUUCAGAUCGAUCUUGGCGUCCUUCCUUUCAAGAUCUUCAUCCAACACGAUGACGACAGACAGGAACUCUACCAGAAUCGAUCUUCUCGAAGAUCGGGCAACUCAAGAUCAACUCUUAGGGUGAGAUAUAAAACUUCUCUUGAGCUGAGACACGAAACAUACAUUCGGGGGGAUGGGGUGUAACAGAUGACGAAGGUCCACUAAGUAGGCAACAAAUCCACGCUCGAUCACGACGUAGCGAGGAGUUAACUGCCAUGAUUCCACAACGGGGCACCUUGGGGAAGGUGACUCGUAGAUCUAUCACCUUAAGUGGCAAAAAGAAUUACUUUUGAUACAGAGAUCAAUGAAACUCUCUACACCAGCCUAAGACAAAUCACCAACAGACAUUUGGCAGAGUUCAAAGGAAUGGCAUACCCGGGCUCGAAUGGGUGAUGUGGACUACCUUGUUGAAGACAACACAACGAAUGAUUUUUGCUUAUCACCGGAAAUGGAUGGGACUCAUGGUAAGUACACUUCUGAAGAUGAUCCUUCUUCGGCAAUUGAGAAUGGCAGCCCAUGGGAAACUGGCACAAUGGCCAUGCAAGCUGGAAACAAAAUGCUAAUGUUGGAAAUGUUCCAACCAUCAUAUCUGCCUGAGAUUCAGAUCUGGUUGAUAACAUGAUAUUUCAGACAACAUGCCUGGAAAGAAGGGUUGCAACACAAAUUGACGAGAUGACGUUGCAAGAUUCUCAGGGAAUGAACUACGAUAGCAAGCUCCAAAACAUGAGCAGGUUUUGCUACAACAUGUGAACACGCUGUCCCAGACAAGCAUGACCACACAGUAGUCUUAUAAUAAAACACUACCGAGUUCAGGUUGGGAACCAUCAUCGAGGAUAUCGAAGUCCUUGUGCACUUAUCGAUGAACUUCUUAUCCUUGAGCAAGUCAAUCAGUGGCUUGGUGUGCUAGGAACACAUAUAGAAUGGAGGCGGCCAACCUAUCAAACCAUAGGGCAGUUAGCACGUGCAUGACUAACUUGGGAUGAUUCCAGAGGAGGCAAAAUAAACUUUCUCGAAUUCACGGCGGCAACUGAAGGAAAUAUGCCCUAGAGGCAAUAAUUAUUUAUUUCCUUAUAUCAUGAUAAAUGUUUAUUAUUCAUGCUAGAAUUGUAUUAACCGGAAACAUAAUACAUGUGUGAAUACAUAGACAAACAUAGUGUCACUAGUAUGCCUCUACUUGACUAGCUCGUUAAUCAAAGAUGGUUAUGUUUCCUAACCAUGAACAAUGAGUUAUUAUUUGAUUAACGGGAUCACAUCAUUAAGUGAAUGAUCUGAUUGACAUGACCCAUUUCAUUAGCUUAGCACCCGAUCGUUUAGUAUGUUGCUAUUGCUUUCUUCAUGACUUAUACAUGUUCCUAUGACUAUGAGAUUAUGCAACUCCCGUUUGCCGGAGGAACACUUUGUGUGCUACCAAACGUCACAACGUAACUGGGUGAUUAUAAAGGAGCUUUACAGGUGUCUCCAAAGGUACAUGUUGGGUUGGCGUAUUUCGAGAUUAGGAUUUGUCACUCCGAUUGUCGGAGAGGUAUCUCUGGGCCCUCUCGGUAAUGCACAUCACUUAAGCCUUGCAAGCAUUGCAACUAACGAGUUAGUUGCGGGAUGAUGUAUUACAGAACGAGUAAAGAGACUUGACGAUAACGAGAUUGAACUAGGUAUUGGAAUACCGACGAUCGAAUCUCGGGCAAGUAACAUACCGAUGACAAAGGGAACAACGUAUGUUGUUAUGCGGUCUGACCGAUAAAGAUCUUCGUAGAAUAUGUAGGAGCCAAUAUGAGCAUCCAGGUUCCGCUAUUGGUUAUUGACCGGAGACAUGUCUCGGUCAUGUCUACAUUGUUCUCGAACCCGUAGGGUCCGCACGCUUAAGGUUACGAUGACAGUUAUAUUAUGAGUUUAUGCAUUUUGAUGUACCAAAGUUUGUUCGGAGUCCCGGAUGUGAUCANNNNNNNNNNNNNNNNNNNNNNNNNNNNNNNNNNNNNNNNNNNNNNNNNNNNNNNNNNNNNNNNNNNNNNNNNNNNNNNNNNNNNNNNNNNNNNNNNNNNNNNNNNNNNNNNNNNNNNNNNNNNNNNNNNNNNNNNNNNNNNNNNNNNNNNNNNNNNNNNNNNNNNNNNNNNNNNNNNNNNNNNNNNNNNNNNNNNNNNNNNNNNNNNNNNNNNNNNNNNNNNNNNNNNNNNNNNNNNNNNNNNNNNNNNNNNNNNNNNNNNNNNNGAAGAAGAGGAGAGGCAGCCAGGGCUUGGGCCGCGCGCCCCUCCCCCCUAGUCCGAAUAGGACAAGGAGAGAGGCGGCCGGCGCCCUCCUCCUUCUCUCUCUCUCUUUUACACCUCAUGAAUCCUAUUCCAACUAGGAUUGGGGGAGAAGUCCUACUCCCGGAGGGAGUAGGACUCCUCCUGGCGCGCCCCUCAUGGUCGGCCGGCCUCCCCCCUUUAGUCCUUUAUAUACGGAGGCAGGGGCACCCCAGAGAAACACAAGUUGAUCCACGUGAUCAUAAUCUUAGCCGUGUGCGGUGCCCCCUUCCACCAUAGUCCUCGAUAAUAUUGUAGCGGAGUUUAGGCGAAGCCCUGCUGCAGUAGUACAUCAAGAUCGUCACCACGCUGUUGUGCUGACGGAACUCUUCCCCGACACUUUGCUGGAUCAGAGUCCGGGGAUCGUCAUCGAGCUGAACACGUGCUAAAACUCGGAGGUGCCGUAGUUUCGGUGCUUGAUCGGUCGAGCCGUGAAGACGUACGACUACAUCAACCAAACGCUUCCGUUGUCGAUCUACUAGGUAUGUAGAUCACACUCUCCCCUCUCGUUGCUAUGCAUCACCAUGAUCUUGCAUGUGCGUAGGGAAAUUUUUGAAAUUACUACGUUCCCCAACAGUGGCAUCCGAGCCAGGUUUUAUAUGUUGAUGUUAUAUGCACGAGUAGAACACAAGUGAGUUGUGGGCGAUAUAAGUCAUACUGCUUACCAGCAUGUCAUACUUUGGUUCGGCGGUAUUGUUGGAUGAAGCGGCCCGGACCGACAUUACGCGUACGCUUACGCGAGACCGGUUCUCCCGACGUGCUUUGCACAUAGGUGGCUUGCGGGUGACAGUUUCUCCAACUUUAGUUGAAUCGAGUGUGGCUACGCCUGGUCCUUGCGAAUGUUAAAACAGCACCAACUUGACAAACUAUCGUUAUGGUUUUGAUGCAUAGGUAAGAUUGGUUCUUGCUUAAGCCCGUAGCAGCCACAUAAAACUUGCAACAACAAAGUAGAGGACGUCUAACUUGUUUUUGCAGGGCAUGUUGUGAUGUGAUAUGGUCAAGACAUGAUGCUGAUUUUUAUUGUAUGAGAUGAUCAUGUUUUGUAACCGAGUUAUCGGCAACUGGCAGGAGCCAUAUGGUUGUCGCUUUAUUGUAUGCAAUGCAAUCGCUAUGUAAUGCUUUACUUUAUCACUAAGCGGUAGCGAUAGUCGUGGAAGCACAAGCUUGGCGAGACGACAAUGAUGCUACAAUAGAGAUCAAGGUGUCACGCCGGUGACGAUGGUGAUCACGACGGUGCUUCGGAGAUGGAGAUCACAAGCACUAGAUGAUGAUGGCCAUAUCAUAUCACUUUUAUUGAUUGCAUGUGAUGUUUAUCUUUUAUGCAUCUUAUCUUGCUUUGAUUGAUGGUAGCAUUAUAAGAUGAUCUCUCACUAAAUUAUCAAGAAGUGUUCUCCCUGAGUAUGCACCGUUGCGAAAGUUCUUCAUGCUGAGACACCACGUGAUGAUCGGGUGUGAUAGGCUCUACGUUCAAAUACAACGGGUGCAAAACAGUUGCACACGCGGAAUACUCAGGUUAAACUUGACGAGCCAAGCAUAUACAGAUAUGGCCUCGGAACACGGAGACCGAAAGGUCGAGCGUGAAUCAUAUAGUAGAUAUGAUCAACAUAGUAAUGUUCACCAAUGAAACUACUCCAUCUCACGUGAUGAUCGGACAUGGUUUAGUUGAUUUGGAUCACGUAAUCACUUAGAGGAUUAGAGGGAUGUCUAUCUAAGUGGGAGUUCUUUAAGUAAAUUAACUGAACUUAAAUUUAUCAUAAAACUUAGUACCUGAUAAGUAUCUUGCUUGUUUAUGCUUGUUUGUCGAUAGAUGGCUCGUGCUGUUGUUCCGUUGAAGUUUAAUGUGUUCCUUGAGAAAGCAAAGUUGAAAGAUGAUGGUAGCAAUUACACGGACUGGGUUCGUAACUUGAGGAUUAUCCUCAUUGCUGCACAGAAGAAUUACGUCCUGGAAGCACCGCUGGGUGCCAGGCCUGCUGCAGGAGCAACGCCGGAUGUUGUGAACGUCUGGCAGAGCAAAGCUGAUGACUUCUCGAUAGUUCAGUGUGCCAUGCUUUACGGCUUAGAAUCGGGACUUCAACGACGUUUUGAACUUCAUGGAGCAUAUGAGAUGUUCCAGGAGUUGAAGUUAAUAUUUCAAGCAAAUGCCCGGAUUGAGAGAUAUGAAGUCUCCAAUAAGUUCUAUAGCUGCAAGAUGGAGGAGAACAGUUCUGUCAGUGAGCAUAUACUCAAAAUGUCUGGGAAUAAUAAUCACUUGAUUCAACUGGGAGUUAAUCUUCCAGAUGAUUGCGUCAUUGACAGAAUUCUCCAAUCACUGCCACCAAGCUACAAGAGCUUCAUGUUGAACUAUAAUAUGCAAGGGAUGAAUAAGACUAUUCCCGAGCUCUUCGCAAUGCUAAAAGCUGCGGAGGUAGAAAUCAAGAAGGAGCAUCAAGUGUUGAUGGUCAACAAGACCACUAGUUUCAAGAAAAAGGGCAAAGGGAAGAAGAAGGGAAACUUCAAAAAGAACGGCAAGCAAGUUGCUGCUCAAGAGAAGAAACCCAAACCUGGACCUAAGCCUGAAACUGAGUGCUUCUAUUGCAAGCAGACUGGUCACUGGAAGCGGAACUGCCCCAAGUAUUUGGCGGAUAAGAAGGAUGGCAAGGUGAACAAAGGUAUAUGUGAUAUACAUGUUAUUGAUGUGUACCUUACUAAUGCUCGCAGUAGCACCUGGGUAUUUGAUACUGGUUCUGUUGCUAAUAUUUGCAACUCGAAACAGGGACUACGGAUUAAGCGAAGAUUGGCUAAGGACGAGGUGACGAUGCGCGUGGGAAACGGUUCCAAAGUCGAUGUGAUCGCGGUUGGCACACUACCUCUGCAUGACUAACUUGGGAUGAUUCCAGAGGAGGCAAAAUAAACUUUCUCGAAUUCACGGCGGCAACUGAAGGAAAUAUGCCCUUGAGGCAAUAAUUAUUUAUUUCCUUAUAUCAUGAUAAAUGUUUAUUAUUCAUGCUAGAAUUGUAUUAACCGGAAACAUAAUACAUGUGUGAAUACAUAGACAAACAUAGUGUCACUAGUAUGCCUCUACUUGACUAGCUCGUUAAUCAAAGAUGGUUAUGUUUCCUAACCAUGAACAAUGAGUUAUUAUUUGAUUAACGAGAUCACAUCAUUAAGUGAAUGAUCUGAUUGACAUGACCCAUUCCAUUAGCUUAGCACCCGAUCGUUUAGUAUGUUGCUAUUGCUUUCUUCAUGACUUAUACAUGUUCCUAUGACUAUGAGAUUAUGCAACUCCCGUUUGCCGGAGGAACACUUUGUGUGCUACCAAAUGUCACAACGUAACUGGGUGAUUAUAAAGGAGCUCUACAGGUGUAUCCAAAGGUACAUGUUGGGUUGGCGUAUUUCGAGAUUAGGAUUUGUCACUCCGAUUGUCGGAGAGGUAUCUCUAGGCCCUCUCGGUAAUGCACAUCACUUAAGCCUUGCAAGCAUUGCAACUAAUGAGUUAGUUGCAGGAUGAUGUAUUACAGAACGAGUAAAGAGACUUGUCGGUAAUGAGAUUGAACUAGGUAUUGGAAUACCGACGAUCGAAUCUCAGGCAAGUAACAUACCGAUGACAAAGGGAACAACAUAUGUUGUUAUGCGGUCUGACCGAUAAAGAUCUUGGUAGAAUAUGUAGGAGCCAAUAUGAGCAUCCAGGUUCCGCUAUUGGUUAUUGACCGGAGACAUGUAUCGGUCAUGUCUACAUUGUUCUCGAACCCGUAGGGUCCGCACGCUUAAGGUUACGAUGACAGUUAUAUUAUGAGUUUAUGCAUUUUGAUGUACCGAAGUUUUUUCAGAGUCCCGGAUGUGAUUACGGACAUGACGAGGAGUCUCAAAAUGGUCGAGACAUAAAGAUUGAUAUAUUGGAAGCCUAUGUUUGGAUAUCGGAAGUGUUCCGGGUGAAAUCGGAAUUUUACCGGAGUACUGGGAGGUUACCGGAACCCCCCCCCCCCGGGAGCUAUAUGGGCCUUAAUGGGCCAUAGUGGAUGAAGAGGAGAGGCAUCUAGGGCUUGGGCCACGCGCCCCUCCCCCCUAGUCCGAAUAGGACAAGGAGAGAGGGGGCCGGCGCGCUCCUCCUUCUCUCUCUCUCUUUUCCACCUCAUGAAUCCUAUUCCAACUAGGAUUGGGGGAGAAGUCCUACUCCUGGAGGGAGUAGGACUCCUCCUGGCGCGCCCCUCAUGGCCGGCUGGCCUCCCCCCUUUAGUCCUUUAUAUACGGAGGCAGGGGCACCCCAGAGAAACACAAGUUGAUCCACGUGAUCAUAAUCUUAGCCGUGUGCGGUGCCCCCUUCCACCAUAGUCCUCGAUAAUAUUGUAGUGGAGUUUAGGCAAAGCCCUGCUGCAGUAGUACAUCAAGAUCGUCACCACGCCGUCGUGCUGACGGAACUCUUCCCCGACACUUUGCUGGAUUAGAGUCCGGGGAUCGUCAUCGAGCUGAACGUGUGCUAAAACUCGGAGGUGCCAUAGUUUCGGUGCUUGAUCGGUCGGGCCGUGAAGACGUACGACUACAUCAACCAAACGCUUCCGUUGUCGAUCUACUAGGUAUGUAGAUCACACUCUCUCCUCUCGUUGCUAUGCAUCACCAUGAUCUUGCGUGUGCGUAGGAAUUUUUUUGAAAUUACUACGUUCCCCAACAGCAACUUGCAUCGAUUGCACGUGAACCAUAGGAAGUCACUUCUUUCAUCCAGACAGAUACUUCAUGAACGAGGCAUGAAAAAAAUGCUUACACAAGUUUCCAAUGCUAGCUAGAUGUUCAACACGAAUCAUGGAGGAGACAAAAUGCUGCUGAUGGACUCAAGAACAACUCAUCGGAAUUUCCAUAUCACUGAACUUCCACCAUCAUGUGAACACGGUGAUAGCAUUGGUCAGACCAAAGAUGUAAUGGUGUAUGCUCGAGGGAUCAACCACGAGUAAGACAACAUUACGAACAUCGUUGGUUCUGAUUUGACUUGACGAUAGCCCAUACUCAAGUCAAGGUUUUGACAAGGCAAUAGAUCCAACAACUGAUCACGAGGACCAAUCAAUGGAGAUAUCAUCUUUCUUCAUCACACACACACACACAAAAAAGAUAUCCCUUAACAUGAACUAAGUCAGACAGGCUUUAUCUUCCAACUCUCCAAGUUGUUGUUUAGCUCAACAAACUAGCUCAGGGAUAUCCAACAUAGAUUCUUGGAGAAGGGGUGAUUUAUAAGAAAACCCAUUUAAUCACGAACUCAACAUCCGGUCAGGUGACAACCAGGUAAUACUUUCGAGAAGAUCUUCAGAAAAUCACGAACCACCGAUAUGUUACUAAGCUCGAGAACAAUCUUGCUUUUCAGGGCAAGACGAUAUGAUCAACUAAGCAAGGAUAGACACAGUCCCAACUCUUGAUCGAAGAGUGCACCAGGAAAAUGGACUAGGUAGCACGAUCAAUCUUAGAAUGAUGAUUCAAUAACCAACACGCUAAGAAUGAGAAUAUUGUCCAUUAACUACCAAGCAACAAGGUUGCUAGGAGUACCGAUUUCACACAUCACAGUUCACUUGUCGGCAUUCCAGUUAUGGCAACACGGGACCGAGGAAUGAAUGAUGAUGGUGAGAGUAUCGCUGCAUCAAAAAUUCAUAAGAGAAGGUGCAAUUCUCAUGACGUUCCUGACAUAAAAGUGGGUAAUACUUCAGGGUAGAACAGAAUCAAAGCUUGAUUGCAUUUGAUCUGUGGAAUACAACUGCUUUGACCCAAUCCUAGAAAUGGAUGAGGUACUGAAGUUUGUUUCUCCUAGUCACUCUGAACUAGAAUGGCUUGACGUACCACAAGAAUAAUAAGCAUCGAUAACACGGAUGCACAAUUACUCUUGACUAUCAAUUGAUAGAUGAUGGUUGGAAUACAAAUGAAGAGGGACAACUCAAGGGAACAUAUAUCUUUCUGAGUUGUGGAUACAUAGGUUAGUAUGUUGAUCAAGCUCAACAUUUCUCCCGGAUAACCCAUGCAGAAAGGUAGAACUCGCAGAUUCACAAUGUAGAAUGGAGAACUCAUUAAGAGCACUCUGGUUGUGAUCUUUUGAUUCAAACAAAUUUCUGCCAAGGAUGAUUCAUGGUAUUUGGAAGAAUGAUAUACCACGGACCUCGAAGACUAUCACAAAGAUUACUAAUAUCCUAAAGGUACGAGCAACACUAUCAACACAAGGUAAGUAGAGUGGAUCUUGGGUCAAGAACCCAGGAGUAGAAUACCUACUACUAAAUGGCAUCGCGGAAUGCUUUCGAGAAUGGUGGCCAGAAUCAUCACACUGGGGAUACAAAGCAUUGCUAGAUUACUAGGUGACUCCCUAAAACACCUACGGUCAUAAUAAUAGCUCCAACAUAUAUGUCGAGACAAUAAAUUACCUCAACGCACCAGUUAGUGUGCUUAUUCUGACCAUAAAGGACAUCGGGAACGGAAAGAAAGGAUUGCAAAUGCAUCAGAUUAUCUAGAAACCUAGGAUGACUCGGCCAGCAUAACGGCUGUAAAUUCUCAAAAGAUUUGAGACAUCCUGCAAAAUGGUGGCAUAACCACUCAACAACACAAUAUCAAGGUUCCGAGAUCAACUGUCAACACACAGAAAUAGUAGGAACUGAACUAAGAAUUGAAUCCAUCAAUCCUAUAAGUCUAUGGAUUAGUAACAUGUCAUCCUGAUAGAUAGAUUAGAAGGCCUAGUUCUUAAACCCCGUAGAAGAGAAGAGGAUGACUCAGAUCAGAAGGCCAUAAGGUAAAGGAGUAAAAAGAGCCUUACGUUCCCUUCCACAAUCAAUUCCCCUACAUAACUAAAGCAUUUCUAGACACAACUUCGGCCGGUUUGGCCUGGUAAUCCUACAGGCAGUCAUGCUCUGAUACCAAAACUGUCAGGACCCCGAUUCCAAGUCACAUUGAUCUAGCCGGUAACACCUCAUAACACUUUGCGGCCUCACGCACGGUAUUCCCACGGGUGUCGCCUUAUCAUGGCCCGGGACCGUUUGCGCCUUUUGGCUCACAUAUAUGAUAGUGUCGCUAGCAUCCAUAUGACAGAGAACCCGGGCCGACAUGUCUAGUCGUGAACCCAAAGCGGCACUAACCUAUGGGAACAGGCAUACACGAAUCACAUCGAGCAUGUCGGUCAGCAGCGUGUGAAUCCGGGCUGUAGCACUGGCUAACAGGACUCCGGGAACCCGGGCUGUAGCAGGCUAGGCAGGACUUCGGAUGUCACCGCGUGACAUUUCCCCGAAGGGACAGACACAGGAACGAAGUGAAACACAUGCCGGCCAGUCAAGUAUUCUGAGCAGUAGUGUUGGGCUAGCAGGACUCCGGUGAACCGGGCUGUAGCGGACUACUAUGGCUCAUGGAAGCACUAGACUACAUUUCCCCAUAAGAGAGGCUACCAAGGAUAAACAACUAGAUUUUCGGAUCCCACACAUACCAAGCAUUUCAAUCAUACACACAAUUUGCUCGAUAUGUGUAAAUACAACAUAGCAUCACAACAUAACUCUACGACUCAAACAUUUAUUCAUUAGGCUCCGAGGAGCGAGAUAUUACAAACAUGGGUCUCAUGACCCAACAAUCAUAGCAUACAAAUCAAAGCACACGCGGAAGCUUAACAUGUCUGAGUACAGACAUCUACAAAUGAAAAAGGCUAAGAAGCCUGACUAUCUACCAGAUCAUGCCGAGGACACAAGAUCGUAGCUGAGGUAUCAAGCUAAACGUCGAAGCCCACGCGGAACUACUAGCGAGACUGAAGUCUCUCUGCAAAACAUAAAUUAAGCAAACGUGAGUACAAAAGUACUCAGCAAGACUUACAUCAGAACUAGCUACAUAUGCAUCGGCAUCAACAAAGGGAUGGUGGGGUUUAACUACAGCAAGCCAGCUUUGACUCAGUAGCUAACCUAAACUACGACUGCAAGCAACUCUUUUGAGGUGGCGCACACGAGUCCACAUAUUCACCAUAUCAAUACACCACUACAGAUCCGCUCCCGUCUCCCUACGAGAAGGCCAUCCAUAGCACUCACGCUUAUCUUGCGAGUUUUAGAGUAUCCACUUUCACUUGUCUAUGAACUAUGCAAGGGGUCCAAGGUCCCAUAUCCGAGGAAUCCGGCUAUUCGAAUAGAUAAUGAUAACCCUACAGGGGUGUACUUCUUCACACACGCUCCCACCACUUAUCACCAUAUACACGUCAUGUAUCUCGGCAACCUUCAAGCGGAAGCCUGGCGAGGGUGUCGGCCACAGCCUACCUAAACACUCAAGUCUCUAGUCCAGGUUUAUCGCCUAUCUAGGUUCCAUCCGCAGGGAGUCCGGCCGAGGUUUCCACAUACGGCCCCGAACGAUGUGAACAGGGUUCCCGAGACACCAAACGGGCGCCCGGUACACCGUGCCAUGGUGUAUCUAUCGCAUCAUAGCCCAUCCCUAGGGUCAGCGCUACGCACGGCCGCCAACACAUAACCUACAAACACCAGAAACUAGUUGCAACUCCUGGACAGAGUACUAGGGUGAUUAAGAAGCCGAGAGGGUCAAUUAAGGAUCCCAAUGAGUGGUAGUAGAUGUUCAUGGAUCACAGACACAGAACUCAGUUCUUGAGGAUGGUUUCAAUGAGACAACCCACCAUGUACUCCUGCAUGGCCUCUCACUGCUACCUUUACCAAAUCGUGUUCACACACUUAGCUCACACACAGUAGGACAUGUUCACACACCUCCGAUUCAUCCCCGAUGAAUCAGACCUGACACAACUCUAUGCAAUAGCAGGCAUGACAAACAAGCAUGAAUGAGUAGGCACAUCAGGGCUCAAACAACAACUACUCAUGCUAGUGGGUUUCAUCUAUUUACUGUGGCAAUGACAGGUCAUGCAGAGGAAAAGGGUUCAACUACCGCAGCAUGUAACAGUUGAAUCGUUAUUGUCCUAAUGCAGUAAAAGAGAGCAGGAGCGAGAGAGUGGGAUUGUAUCGGAAUGAACAAGGGGUUUUUUCUUGCCUGGCACUUCUGAAGAUAAUAUAGUUCUUCAUCGGUGUCAUCGAUCAUGUCGUCGGAAACAUCAUCGUCUGAGAGGGGACGGUUACCGGCAAACAGAGAAGGACACAAUCGAUGCAAUGCAACAAUAUGAUGCAUGAAUGUGACAUGGCAAUAUGUUGUUGAUUGGCCUAAUUGCUAGCAAUCAUAUUAAAUGAAGUUGGUUUGAACCAAGGGUUCAAAUUCAAACUCCAUAUGUGCUUAUUUAAAUGUCAAUUAUGAAAAUUGCCCUGUACAACAACCCUAGGUUGUUCAAACAUGCAUGCAAAUGCCAUAAACAGAUUCCUUGAAUUUUUCUGACAAUUUUUCAUAUAUAAUUUAUUUCAUUCUGAGUUAUAGAUAAUUUUCUAUGAAUUUUAGAAGUUUUGGCUAUUUUCUGGAAUUAAAUAAAUCAUUUAGAUUUAUUUAAAAAUACAGAAAAGCAUUUACUGCGUCAGCCUUGCAUCAUGCUGACGUCAUCUGGUCAACAAACGUAGUCCAGGUCAAACCUGACCAGUGGGACCCACUGGUCAGUGACCCAGUGCUGCCUAGGGUCACAGACAGGUGGAGCCCGGUCAACGGACACGUCAGCAUAGUCAAAAAUGCACCUGGGGCCACUGCAAUUAGCUUUACCUUAACCUAUUUUAGUUAGCCGGUUAGUUAGGUGGUGGGGCCCGGCUGUCAGUGGCUUAGAGGCUUAGUUAGCGGGGUGUUUAAUCCCCAAACAGUGGCUAUCACCGGCGGCUAAUCGCCGGCGUAACCAGGACGAGGCGGCGUUACCCGCCCGGCCAACUCCGGCGACGGGAGCAAGCGGGGCUGGUCUCGUUGGAACGGCCGCGAUGCGACGCGUCCAACGGCGGUGGUUGCAGGGGCUGGGGCGGCCGGAGACGACGACGAGGAGCUCGGCCGCGGCGGCCGGUGUUCGGGUGUGCGCGGGAGUGCGGCUGCGCUGUGUAAACAGGCGGGGCGAAGCACUGGAGAUGCUCUACGCGAUGCAGCGAGCUCGGUGGACACGCGCCCGGGACCAAAUGGUUACCGGAGCAUCGGCGGCGACGAGCGCAGGCGGCGGCGAGCGCAGGCGGCGGCGGAGUUCGGUCAUCGGCGAAACAGCGACUACGGCGUGCAACCGAGAAAACGGAGAGGGGAAGGAGGAGCAGCAGCUCACGGCGGUUGCAGUAGGCGUCGAAGCGGGCUCGGGGAAGGCCGGAGCUGAGCGGGGCGGCGAGGCGAAUCUCCGGCGGCUGAGGAGGGGAAAAGCGACGGGGGUGGCGCUUCGGGGCCCUUCCGGUAGCUUGGCUCGGUGAGGAGGUAGGGAACGAGGUGGCGGAGCUCGGGGAUAGCUCGGGGCGGCUCGAGGAACACGGUGGACGCGGUGACCGCAAGCGGCGCGACGGUCUCGCUCGGCCGUGCGCGUGAGAGAGAGCAGAGGAGGGGGAGGGGUCUAGAGCGAGAGAGGAGAGACGCAGGGGGUCGAGGGCGUCUUCAUGGCGCGUUCAGAAGAGCCGGGGCGUUGCGGUGCAAGCAGGAGCUGGCGCGCACGUGACGAGCACGCGCCCUGUCUACUAGCACGGGGAGGAAGACGACAGAGGGGGCUGCGGUGGUGGGCUGGGCCGGUGAAGCUGGGCCGGCAACAGGUAGGUGGGCCGAGGUAAGUCCAGGUAACUCUCUCUCUCUGUUUCUGUUUUUUUGUUCUGUUUGUUUUUAGUUUAUCUUUGCCACUGCUUUUAAAAUUCAAAACAGUUUCAAAAACAGUGUCAAUUAUCCUCUAAUAAUUUCAUGUUGCAAAAUGGACUUUUCCAAAUGCACAUAAAAUAUAUCAGAGGUAUUUGGAGAUAUAUCAUAUAUAUAUAUUUGGGUAUAUUUCCAAAUUCAAAUAGGAUAGUGAUUUAAAUUCAGUGCCCAAAAUAUUCCACAAAACUGUUCCCUAUUUUUGGUUUGAUCUCAAAGCCUUGCCAAAAAUUAACAAACAUUUAUGAAGGCAUUUUGGAAACAAUGAAUGCAAUUUAAAGGGUUCUUGCCCUUCUUUUAAAUUGAUUUCUGAGGCUUUCACUUUCCUCAUUUCAAGGUUCUUGAAAUUAACAGGAUGCAUGACGCUCACUGAUGCAACUAUCUCCAAACAAUUCUAGGGCUGUGACAUCCAAUUCGAAUCACUAUACCCCUCAAGUACCAUCGGGUACUCAGAAUAGUGAAUCUCGUAGUUCAUAGUACCUUGCAAAUAGCGCAUCACUCGCUCAACAGCAUGCCAAUGCACAUCUCCCGGAUUGGAAACAAACCGGCUCAGUUUGAGAUGUCAGGACAAGUAGCACAGGCUAGGUACCUCAGUGAACCAACCACUUGAGAAUAUCUCAAUUGAUCUACAGCCGUGCCUUCGAACUUUCGAAUCCGCACGCUAGGAUCAUAUGGUGUCGCAGAAGGUUUGCAGUCCGAAUAUACAAAACGACUCAAGAUCUUCUCAACAUAGCGGGGUUGCAAAAGUGUAAUUCCACCCUCAGUAUUUCUCAGUAGCUUGAUGUUCAAGAUAACAUCAGCCACACCCAGGUCUUUCAUCUCAAAGUUAUGAGAUAGAAAAGCCUUGACCUCCUCAAUGACUUUGAGGUGGGUCCCAAAUAUCAGUAUGUCAUCGACAUACAGACACAGUAUAACUCCUUCUCCCCAACCAUAGCAAUAGUAUACACAUUUGCCAGCUUCGUUAAGAACAAAGCCAGCAGAUGUCAAAGUUGUAUUAAACUUCUCAUGCCAUUGCUUAGGCGCUUGUUUCAGGCCAUACAAAGAUUUCACUAGCUUACACACCUCUCUUUCCUGACCAUUUACUACAAAGCCAUCCGGCUGUUGCAUGUAAAUUUCCUCGUCUAGCUCUCUGUUAAGGAAAGUCGUCUUAGCGUCCAUCUGAUGAACGAGAAGACCAUGCGAGGCAGCCAGCGAGUAGCACUCGAAUGGUUGUCAGUCUAGCCACAGGUGAGUAAGUAUCGAAGAAAUCCUCUUCUUCUUUCUGGGUAUAACCCUUGACCACAAGCCUAGCCUUGUACUUCUCAACAGUACCAUUGGGCCUAAGCUUCCUCUUGAACACCCACUUGCAUCCCAAUGGUUGGCAACCAUAAGGACGGUCAGUGAUCUCCCAUGUCCCGUUAGCCAUGAUGGAAUCCAUCUCGCUACGGACAGCAUCCUUCCAGUAGUCAGCAUGCGGAGAUGCAUAAGCUUCUGAAAUGGAACUGGGAGUGUCAUCAUCCACGAGGUACACGAGGAAAUCAUCACCAAAAGACUUUGCAGUCCUUUGCCUCUUGCUCCUGACAGGAGCUUCCUCGUCAUCCUCCAUGGAACUUUCCUCACUUUUGUUUUCAUAGUAUUCCAUCGGAAUGACAGGUUCAGGAGUCUCAUCAGAUUCCAGUCUAGAAGUGCUUUGCAUAUCUCUCAUGGGGAAAAUAUCCUCAAAGAAUGUAGCAUCCUUAGACUCUAUAAUUGUACCAACCUUCUGGUCAGGUACCUCGGAUUUGACAACUAGAAAUCUAUAGCCAACGCUUUCUUAGCAUAGCCCAAAUUAACGUAGUCUGCGGUCUUCGGACCAAGCUUACACUUUUUGGGGAUCGACACAUUGACUUUCGCCAAACAGCCCCAAGUGCGCAAGUAAGAGAGUGUAGUUCUUUUCUUUUCCCAUUGCUCAUAGGGAGUAGUCUCAUUAUCCUUUGAGGGAACUGUAUUUAGGACAUGACAUGAUGUCAAUAUAGCCUCCCCCACCAUGCCUUGGAUAAACCCGAUGUAUCUAACAUGGCGUUAGCCAGAUCAGUUAGAGUAUGGUUUUUCCGUUCGGCAACCCCGUUUGACUGGGGUGAAUAGGGAGGCGUCCUCUCAUGAAUAAUACCAUGUUCCACACAGAAUAAAUCAAACUCACUAGAAAAGUACUCUCCACCACGAUCAGACUGGACUUGUUUUAUUUUCUUCUCAAGUUGGUUCUCAACUUUAGCCUUAUAGAUUUUAAAGUAGUGUAGAGCCUCAUGCUUUAUAUUUAACAAAUACACAUAACAGAAUCUAGUGUAAUCAUCAAUCAAAGUCAUGAAGUAUUUCUUUCCACCUUUAGUUAACACACCAUUCAUCUCACAGAGAUCUGAAUGUAUGAGCUCUAGUGGUGCCAGGUGUCUCUCCUUCACAGGCGUGUGAGGCUUACAAAGUUGCUUUGCUUGCACACACGCAUGGCACUUAGAGCCCUUGGAUAAAGUGAAACUCGGGAUUAGAUUCAUCUUAGCUAGCCGCGUCAUACAACCGAAAUUUGUGUGACAAAGAUGUGAAUGCCAAACCUCACAUUCGUUCACAUUGGAAUGAAUUUGAUUCACGACUUUAUUACAGAAAUCCUCCAGGGAAAGGUGGAACAAACCACCACAAUCAUAUCCUUCUCCAACAAAUAUUCCAUUACGAGAUACGACUACUUUGUUAGAUUCAAAUACUAACUUAAACCCUUCUUUACAUAGAAGGGAGCCACUAACGAGAUUCUUCUUGAUGGCGGGGACAUGCUGCAUGUUCUUUAGUUGCACGAUCUUUCCUGAAGUAAACUUCAGAUCUACCGUGCCAACACCAUGAACAAAAGCAUGCGAGCCGUUCCCCAUCAGGACGGAACAAUCUUGUGUGACCUGGUAAGAAGAAAACAAAGACAGAUCAGCACACACAUGAAUAUUGGCCCAGUGUUAACCCACCAAUCGGUGGACUGACAAACUGGAAGUACGGUAAACAGAUUACCAUACCCAUAUGCCCCAUCAUUGUUGCUCAAAGUGACAUUGACAGACUUGGUGUCCUGUCCUGACUUCUUAUACUUGUUUGGGCACUUGUUGGCCCAAUGUUCAACCGAACCACAAGUAAAGCAGCCCUCAUCCUUCUUGUUCUUCUUGAAGGUCUUCUUACCCUUCUUUUUAAAGGUAGUAUUCUGCUAGACAGAGUUCUUUCCCUUGAACUUGUGGGAGUUCUUCUGCACCAUAUUAGCGCUAGAAGAACCCUCUGGCCCUUUCACGUGUGAGUCCUUUCUCUCGAGUUCUGCUCAACACUUAGAUGACCAAUGACAUCCUCAACAGACAAUUCACGUCUCAAGUGCUUGAGACAAGUAGCAAAGUUCCUCCAUCCAGGAGGGAGUUUUGCAAUAAUGCAACCUGCGACAAACUUGUCCGGUAACUCACACUUCAGGAGCUCCAGCUCCUUAGCGAUGCAUUGUAUCUCAUAGGCCUGGUCUAGUACAGAACAGUUAUCAACCAUUUUGUAAUCAUGGAACUGCUCCAUAGCAUACAACUCGCUUCCAGCAUCAGUUGCACCGAAUUUAGCUUCGAGCGCAUCCCACAAAUUCUUGGCAACACACAUAUGGAGAUAUGCGUCUAGAAGCUUGUCUCCGAUCACAGUAAGAACGGCUCCCAGAAAGAUGGUGGUUGCCUCCCUAAAUGCAUUCUCCUGUUCAGGAGCAAUCGCUACCGUGGGAGACACACCACUAACCCAGAAUAUGUUCAUUCCUGUGAGCCACAAGGUGGUCCUCGUCUGCCAACGCUUAAAAUGCGUUCUAGUAAACUUUUCCGGUUUUAGAGUAGUGGCGAACCCAUGAGUCGAAAAGUGCCUAAAAUAAGGUUUUCGGAUUGUUGGAAAUAUUAGCACUUUCUCGAUCAAUCUAAUCGUUGAGUAGACAGUAAACAUGGCAAAUACGUUAUGCAUCUCAUACCGAUACCUAAGCAUGUGAGCACGUAUAGUACAUAGAACCGAACCAUCUAUGGACAGCAUAUAUACGGCUAGCACAUGAAUGAGCAAAUAGGGGAUGAACGAGUUAAACCCUCCGGUUGGCCAGGCCAAUGCAGCGACGAUAGCAGCAGCCUCGCCAUCAGCCAAGGCCUUCUUCUUGGCGACUUCGUCGUCAGCCAUGGAGUCGAUGUAGAAGAAGUAGUGGAAGCAGAGGUGGACAAAGAAAGGGACGGAUCGGGAGCAGUCGCGUCGAGACGCUCCCCAAAAACCUUAUUACCAUUCUCCCGAGUAGGAUCUCGAUCGACAGGGUUCCGGAGGCACCUGCUCUCCUGACCAACCGUGCACAUGGUCGUCGGUAUGGGAUCGCCAGAGACAGCUCAGUGAGAGGAACAGUAGAUGACGGCUAGGGUUGUACGAUAGGGAGUGAGUGAACUGAUUUAGGGUUCACUCCACUAGCCAGUGCCUUCUUAUAUAGGCCUUCGAGUAGAUGGGCAUGGGCUCAGGCCCAUGACCGAGUCCAUGAACAGCCCACGGUCCAACGUCUCGGACAGUGGCACUUCCGUACGCGACUCGUAUUAAUACGAGAUUAAUUAACCAUUCUUGACCGGCAAAAAUAAGCUUCAGCUAGGAUCAUUCCCGCAACCCGCGGCGCGCGCACGCGCGUCGUGACGAGGCGAGGCAAGGUGAGCGGCGGAGGAGGAGGAGCGUGCAUGUACAACUCCUAUUCCCAAGCUCCCAAUAGCAAGUGAUGGAGCAACCCUUAUAAAGAGGUCUCACUCUUCUUACUGUAGCACUAUGGUACUAAGCUUUCCAUACUUCCCACCACUUGCCAUACACAUGCAUGGGCCUUAGAGAUUAACCUGUCUUAUAUGAGCCUAAGCCCAUCCAUAAUCCAACAGGUAUUGAAUAAUCGGAACUCAGAAGGAUAGCGUAGACAAAUAAAUGUGUGCUUCAAUUAACAUCUAUGUUGGGGAAUGUAGCAGAAUUUAAAAUUUUCUAUGCAUCACCAAGAUCAAUCUAUGGAGUCAUCUAGCAACGAGGGAGAGGGGAGUGCGUCUACAUACCCUUGUAGAUCGCGCGCGGAAAUGUUCAAGAGAACGGGGUUGAUGGAGUCGUACUCAUCGUGAUCCAAAUCACCGAUGACCUAGCGCCGAACGGAUGGCACCUCCGCGUUCAACACACGUACGGUUGGGAAGACGUCUCCUCCAACUUGAUCCAGCAAGGGGGAAGGAGAGGUUGAUGAAGAUCUAGCAGCACAACGGCAUGGUGCUGGAAGCAACAGUGAUCUCGGCAGGGCUUCGCCAAGCACAGGGAGAGGGAGAGGCCAAGGGCUGGGGUGCGGCUGCCCUCCCUCCCCCCCACUAUAUAUAGGGUCCCCAGGGGGGCGCCGGCCCUAGGAGAUCCAAUCUCCAAGGGGGGCGGCCGCCAAGGGGGUCGCUUUCCCCCCAAGCCAAGUGGGGCGCCCCCACCCCUAGGGUUUCCAACCCUAGGCGCAGGGGGAGGCCCAAGGGGGGCGCACCAGCCCACUAGGGGCUGGUUCCCCUCCCACUUAAGCCCAUGGGGCCCUCCGGGAUAGGUGGCCCCACCCGGUGGACCCCCGAGACCCUUUCGGUGGUCUCGGUACAAUACCGAGUACCCCUGAAACUUUCCCGAUGGCCGAAACUUGACUUCCUAUAUAUAAAUCUUCACCUCCGGACCAUUCCGGAACUCCUCGUGACGUCCGAGAUCUCAUCCGAGACUCCGAACAACUUUCAGGUUACCGUAUACUAAUAUCUCAAUGACCCUAGCGUCACCGAACCUUAAGUGUGUAGACCCUACGGGUUCGGGAGACACGCAGACAUGACCGAGACGACUCUCCGGUCAAUAACCAAUAGCUGGAUCUGGAUACCCAUGUUGGCUCCCACAUGCUCCUCGAUGAUCUCAUCAGAUGAACCACGAUGUCGAGGAUUCAAUCAAUCCGUAUACAAUUCCCUUUGUCAAUCGGUACAUUACUUGCCCGAGACUCGAUCGUCGGUAUCCCAAUACCUCGUUCAAUCUCGUUACCGGCAAGUCACUUUACUUGUACUGUAAUGCAUGAUCCCGUGAUCAACCACUUGGUCACAUUGAGCUCAUUAUGAUGAUGCAUUACCGAGUGGGCCCAGAGAUACCUCUCCAUCAUACGGAGUGACAAAUCCCAGUCUCGAUUCGUGCCAACCCAACAGACACUUUCGGAGAUACCUGUAGUGUACCUUUAUAGUCACCCAGUUACGUUGUGACGUUUGGCACACCCAAAGCACUCCUACGGUAUCCGGGAGUUGCACAAUCUCAUGGUCUAAGGAAAUGAUACUUGACAUUCGGAAAAGCUAUAGCAAACGAACUACACGAUCUUUGAGCUAUGCUUAGGAUUGGGUCUUGUCCAUCACAUCAUUCUCCUAAUGAUGUGAUCCCGUUAUCAAUGACAUCCAAUGUCCAUAGUCAGGAAACCAUGAUUAUCUUCUGAUCAACGAGCUAGUCAACUAGAGGCUCACUAGGGACGUGUUGUGGUCUAUGUAUUCACACAUGUAUUACGAUUUCCGGAUAACACAAUUAUAGCAUGAACAAUAGACAAUUAUCAUGAACAAAGAAAUAUAAUAAUAACCAUUUUAUUAUUGCCUCUAGGGCAUAUUUCCAACAGUCUCCCACUUGCACUAGAGUCAAUAGUCUAGUUACAUUGUGAUGAAUCGAGCACCCAUGCGGUUCUGGUGUUGAUCAUGUUUUGCUCUAGGGAGAGGUUUAGUCAACGGAUCUGCCACAUUCAGGUCCGUAUGUACUUUACAAAUAUCUAUGUCUCCAUUUUGAACACUUUCACGAAUGGAGUUGAAGCGACGCUUGAUAUGCCUGGUCUUCCUGUGAAACCUGGGCUCCUUGGCAAGGGCAAUAGCUCCAGUGUUGUCACAUAAGAGAGUCAUCGGGCCCGACGCAUUGGGUAUGACUCCUAGGUCGGUAAUGAACUCUUUCACCCAGAUUGCCUCUUGUGCUGCCUCCGAGGCUGCCAUGUACUCCGCUUCACAUGUAGAUCCCGCAACAACGCUUUGCUUGCAACUGCACCAGCUUACUGCCACACCAUUCAAAAUAUACACGUAUCCGGUUUAUGACUUAGAGUCAUCCAGAUCUGUGUCGAAGCUAGCAUCGACGUAACCCUUUACGACGAGCUCUUCAUCACCUCCAUAAACGAGAAACACAUCCUUAGUCCUUUUCAGGUACUUCAGGAUAUUCUUGACCGCUGUCCGGUGUUCCAUGCCGGGAUUAUUUUGGUACCUUCCUACCAAACUUACGGCAAGGUUUACAUCAGGUCUGGUACACAGCAUAGCAUACAUGAUAGACCCAAUGGCCGAGGCAUAGGGGACGACACUCAUCUUUUCUCUAUCUUCUGUUGUGGUCGGGCAUUGAGCCGUGCUCAAUUUCGUACCUUGCAAUACAGGCAAGAACCCCUUCUUUGACUGAUCCAUUUUGAACUUCUUCAAUAUCUUGUCAAGGUACGUACUCUGUGAAAGACCAAUGAGGCGUCUCGAUCUAUCUCUAUAGAUCUUGAUGCCUAAUAUAUAAGCAGCUUCUCCAAGAUCCUUCAUUGAAAAACACUUGUUCAAGUAGGCCUUUAUGCUUUCCAAGAAUUCUAUAUCAUUUCCCAUCAACAGUAUGUCAACCACAUACAAUAUGAGAAAUGCUAUAGAGCUCCCACUCACUUUCUUGUAAAAUUAGGCUUCUCCAUAAGUCUGCGUAAACCCACCAGCCUAUCCAAUACCCUACGCCAUGACCUUAGAUGUUCGUACCCCAUGAUAUUCAAUGACACCCGUCCAUGUGUUUAUUCUAUUCUAUUCUAUUCUUCAGGUAUUCCUUUGAAUAACUCAUCUUUUCAGGUAAGACAAUUUGAAGAUCUUCUUAGUCAGCCUAUACAAUGGCAUUGUACAACAAUUUAAUUUGGAAAAGGGAUGUAGCGCAGCUUGGUAGCGCGUUUGUUUUGGGUACAAAAUGUCACAGGUUCAAAUCCUGUCAUCCCUACCUAUUACUUAUUUCUUCUUUAUAGGCAGUAGCAACGAGAUCAAUUAAAGUAAAGUGGGUAUAACUUGAAUGAAGUAACGUUGCACUAUGACUCAAUCCAGUUGGAAGAAUAAGCUUAUAUAUCCCAAUCCAUCGGGUCUAAGUCCCCUUCCAAUCAGAUUCAUAAACACCUAACAUAACAACAGCCCUGAAAUGAACCAUAUCGAGCACAGGUCUCACUCUACAAGUCAAGUUCGAUGAGCUCUUAGCGGACCUGUGCCUACUAUCUACUAAGUGUGUGCUAGGGAAAGAAAGCAAGCUGAGGAUUGAGGAAUAAAAGCUCGAAGACAAAGAGAACUUCUCCGGGUACUCAAGAUAUUGUGUUUGGAGAGGUGUAGAUUGUAGAUUCCAGCCGAGAAGACCAGGAAAUUGGUUACGACGACGUCGAGUUGGCGGAGGAGGAAGACUCGGCAUGAAGGCCAGAAAAUGGUGUGGAAUGUAGUGGUAAUAGUACGCGCCCCGCUCCGAAACAAAGAAAAAGGUGCGUGCCGCACUCACGAGGGACUGCCAGUGAGAUACUGGAGGAAGGUGGGGAUGACAGGACGAUCACAAUGUCUGGCAAUCUCGUCAUAUAUUUGAUCCCGCCGAGAUAGAGGAUGCUUUGUAUGCCAGUGUGUAGGAAGGAGAGUUGGAAGAUAUACCUAGAUCCCCCAAUAGAGAAAAGAGCGAGAAGGUUACUCAAAGAAACUUUCAAAAAGUGGACCCAACAAGCAAAGCAACGGAUUGGGCUGCACUGCCUUUCGGCGUUUUAGUUAGGCGCAUCCUCUUGCGGGAUGAAAAUCUGCCAUAGCACGCUCCGCGCCUUUGAAGGAACAUUUGCUCGAUGAUGUUCCGGGUGGUCCACAGGGUUCAUAACUACCCCUCUUACUACGGGGCGAGAUUUGGGUAAUUUGUUUUGUAGAAGGACUCACUUGACCAACGCUUGGGCACAGGCUUACCUGGUUGACCGCCCACAUUCAUUCAUUGUUCGUUCUAUUGUGGAAUCGAACCACAGAGCUAGCGCAAUUGGGACUUAGAGUCCCAUGCGUGAAACUAAAGAGGAUUUUCAGUCCUCUGCUCUACCAGCCAGAACCUAGGAGGACACUUCACACCCGAUUUGACACAGCUAGACUGGAAACACUGGAGAAGAGCCUUUAGAGGAUCAAGAGUGAUUCCUCAAAAAAACAAAUGGGAUUUUGAGGGAGGGCUGAACGCGAUGUACUGAAGGGUUCGCUUUCACUGAUCGGUGCCAGUCUUUCCUGCUGUGAAUUUCCCAGGUCGGGAGGGGCCCUUUCCUUCUACCUUACUGAACCCAUUCACCAGAUGUUGCUUUCCUGGAAGGGAGAUCGGUCUCCUCGAUCGUUCCCUCAAGUGAUCGGUCACUCCUCGUCAACCUUGUUGAGACAUUUCCUCCAACUGUGAUCCGAAAUCCGGAUUGGAAAAUAGCAUAUCACGAUCAGUGGCACAGGGCACUGGUUGACUUCAGGUACCCUUUUCAUCCACUCCUUCAUCCGCUGAUUGUCGCUGUCGAUGCCCAGCUAUUUAGUUUGGAAAGUGUUACAACACAAGAUAACUCAUCCAACAAUUCUUCAACUACAGGUGUCGGUGUCAAAACCGGCGGAUCUCGGGUAGGGGGUCCGCGUCUAGGCUGGAUGGUAACAGGAGGCAAGGAACAUGAUGUUUUACCCAGGUUCGGGCCCUCUUGAUGGAGGUAAAACCAUACGUCCUGCUUGAUUAAUAUUGAUGAUAUGGGUAGUACAAGAGUAGAUCUACCACGAGAUCAAGGAGGCUAAACCCUAGAAGCUAGCCUAUGGUAUGAUUGUUGUAUGAUGAAGUUGUCCUAUGGACUAAAACCCUCCAGUUUAUAUAGACACCGGAGGGGGUUAGGGUUACACAAUGUCGGUUACAAUGGUAGGAGAUCUUGAAUAUCCGCAUCGCCAAGCUUGCCUUCCACGCCAAGGAAAGUCCCAUCCGGACACGGGACGAAGUCUUCAAUCUCAUAUCUUCACAGUCCUGGAGUCCGGCUGAAGGUAUAGUCCGGCUACCCGAACACCCCCUAAUCCAGGACUCCCUCAGUAGCCCCUGAACCAGGCUUCAACGACGACGAGUCUGGCGCGUAGAUUGUCUUCGGCAUUGCAAGGCGGGUUCCUCCUCCAAAUUCUUCAUAAAAGUUUGUAAACACCAAGAGUAGUGUCCGGCUCUGCAAAAUAAGUUUCCACGUAUUGCCACAGAGAGAAUAAUAUUAACACAAAUCUAAUCCGCUGAUGUAUUCCGUAGCAUGACAUCACACUACGGCCAAGCCUUUAUUCGAAUCGUUUUCACUUCUCCACCUCAGCGUGUUUUGCGAGGCGGUUUCCUUGGCACGUCUUGUCAAAGCAGAGAUCGUGUCCCCUUUAUUUACGGGAUUCUCGUCAAUAGGAUGUGGGUAACCCAACCGCGCCAUUUAUCACGGUGCUUGGGACGCAAGCGAGUUUUACUAGGCUAGUGAGGACGCAUAGUCGCAUCCGCCCAUAUAAGGGGAUAAGGAUCCACUUUUUACCUACGCCUUCUUCCUCCUUUGCCUAUCCAUCUUCUGCGCACCCGAGCUCCAGCGCCCAAGCCCGCACUUCCUACCUCAACCUUCUCCAACAAUGUCCGGAGCGGGAGGCAAGUGGAUGGUCUCCUCCGUCACGGAGGGCCAUGUCAAAAAGCUAAGGAAGGCCGGAUACUUGUCCAAAGACAUCACGCACCGGCUUCCUGAGGAGGGGCAGCUUCUCCCCACCCCAAGGCCCCAUGAGAGGGUAGUAUUUCUUCCCCACUUCCUCCGCGGACUGGGUUUUCCUCUCCACCCAUUUGUCCGCGGGCUCAUGUUCUACUAUGGCAUAGAUUUCCAUGAUCUGGCCCCGAACUUCAUCCUCAAUAUCUCGGCGUUUAUCGUCGUGUGCGAGGCUUUCCUCUGCAUCCGCCCCCAUUUAGGCCUCUGGCUCAAGACCUUCAACGUCAAGCCAAAGGUGGUGCGCGGCAACCAGGCGGAGUGUGGAGGUGCCAUGGUGGGAAAAAUAGCCAACAUCCUAUGGCUCGAGGGCUCCUUUGUGGAGACCUUGAAGGGAUGGCAGUCAGGGUGGUUUUACAUCACCGAGCCACGCAAUCCGAAGUGGAUCGUAGCCCCUGAAUUCCAAUCCGGACCCCCUAUGCGGCUCACGUCCUGGAAGGAGACAGGCUUGUCGCGGGGCGACAAAGAAGAGGUGACCGGAUUGCAAAAAUGCAUCCAGUCCCUGGUGAACAAGCAGCUCAAGCUUGUCAACAUAGUCCAGGUCAUGCUCGUCCGCCGGAUCCUUCCGUGUCAAGAACGGGACUUCAAUUUGCGGGAGUUUAACCUGGCGCAGCACCGAACUCUGAGCAGGCUCUUCGACACGAUGUACGAAGAUGUCUGGAAGGGGCUAACCAAAGGCGCCGAGGCUCCCGCAUCCGCCUCCGAAGACCGCGGAUUCAGCUCGCAGCGUCCUGCUUUGACAGGAUUGGCAGGCGAAGUCCGGACUGAUUAACUGUCCGGCUCCCUUGCCCGAAGACCCAGCCCCUGCUCUCCUAGUGAAGCUGCUGGUUCCGGCACCUUAUGUGGUGCCGGAGAAGAAGGCCAAGAAGAAGAAGGCCACGGGGACUCGAAAGAGUUCCCGGCAUAUGGUGGUGUCGGACUCGUCGUCCGACGAGUCCAAGACGCACUCCUCCCGUGAAGACAAGGAGGAGGAAGAAUAAACCUCUUCCCCUCCAGCGGGGGGACGAAAGAAGAGGAAGGCCGCCCCAGUAGGGGAGGCCGAAGGGUCCACGAAGAGGAAAACCCCUCGCCGGACUACGCCCCCGACGCCGACGAGGACGAAGAGGAGUGGCCGGACAGGGCCAAGCAUCCGGCGAAAUCGUAAGUGUUCGGAUACCAGAGUCACUCAUGAUAUUCCUUUUGUUGCACAGCUUUCCCUAAUGUCGAAUAUAAUCAUGCAGCCCGCCCAAGGACGGGCUCGACGAGUCGUCGAGCGGCUCCCUGGAUUCAUCGGACGUGAAUUAAGUUCCGCCCGCUGCCUCCCCCUGUGCUGCGGAUUACGCCAAAGUGGCGUCGCAACAAGCUCCGGGGCAAGAGGAGGUGGUCCAGGAGGAGCCGCGAGGCGACCUCCCAGACUCCAGGAGUAAAGGGGACAAGACCCCCCAGGGCUCCAAGUCCGGCUUUAAGCCGGACACCGCGCUGGAAGCAUCAACGGUUCCGGACCGCGGCAGGCGAACUCCUGCCAAGAGGAGCAAGCCUAUUGAGCUGGCAUCCUCCAUCCAACCGGAGGUGCCGUACAAUCUGCUGGAGGUGCUUAAGGGCGCCUCCAUCGACGAGGAGCACCGUACCAUCAUGAGUACGGUGGUCCAGAAGGUUCGGUCCGCCAAAAGCGGACUGACUGAAGUUUGUGCUAGCCUUCUAACAGGCUUCGAGGUAAGUAAAAAUAUGUAAAAAUAUUACCGCAUAGACAGUAGCCCCUGAUGCUCUGUUUGGCGUUUGGAAAGAAAAGCCGAAUAGAGGAUCUAUUAAAUAUCGCAGGAGUCUAACUAAAAAGGAGUCAAUAUACGUAUGCAGGCUUCGCCGCUGGCCACCGCCGCACUGACUGCGGAGGUGGGUGCCCUGAAGCAGGGCCUCGAGCGGACCGAGCAAGAGCUCGGCCUUGCCAAACGGCAGCUCGAGGAGAAAGAAGGUAAGAGAUACCUUAUAGAAAAAAUGCCUAUAAGAAGACGCAAUUGCAAAAAAUGACAGGAGUAUACUGCUUAUUGUAGGGGCCACAACUGAGGUGGCGACCCUCAAGCAGGCGCUGUCCGAGGCCGAGAACAAAGCGGCCAUGGAGCGCACCGAGCGGGAGAAGUUUGAGGCACAGGUCGGCGAGGUGCAGUGAGAGCUUCAGGCUCUCACGAAAAAACAUGAGAGUUUGGAGCUAGACUCGAAGACACAAGCGUCCGAGCUUGCUGCGGCCCUUAAAACUGCCAAAUCUGCCAAGGCCGAAGCCCAGAAGGCCCUCCAGGAAUUGGAUGCGGUGAAAAAGAUAGUGGCGGGUAAGGAAUUCUCUAUGCAAAGCAGACAUAUAAAAGUAAACUACUUGUUACUUACCCGAAUCCGGAGCUCUCCAGGGGCAUUCGCAGAUCUUCCUCGCAGCGUAUCUGAUGCCGCCGCAUUCUACCGAGCCGAGGAAGGCAGCUCGACGAAGAAGGUGUUCUGGUCUCAGUAUGCUGAGGCCGGACACCCUGUGCCCUUGAGCGACCAGCUGAAGCAGCUGGUCGAGCUCCACAAGGCGGACGAACAGGCCCUGAAGGGCUACAUAGUUCGGCUGUGGCCUGAAGAGGCCCUGCCUGGGAGCUACUUCGGACUGGUGCGGCGGCUGGUGGAGGCUUAUCCAAGGCUCGAGGUCAUCAAGCGCUCCGUCUGCAUCGAAGGUGCCCGUAGGGCCGUUGCCCGUGCAAAGGUGCACUGGGGUAAGCUGGACGGUGAGAAGCUUGUGAGGGACGGGCCGCCGCCGGGGAAGGAGCAUCGCAAGCCCGAGAACUAUUACAAGGAUGUUCUGGCUGGUGCCCGCCUUAUGGCGGAUGAAUGUACCAAGGAUGUAAUUUUUGAAUGAACUUGCUCGUGUUAUCCUGUGCGCUGAAAACUUGUUCAUAUGUGCUAAGCAAUGCUUGUUCAAUUUAAAAUAUUACUUUCUGUGUAGCCGUUUAUCAAAAAAUUGAGAGAUGGCCAGUCGUCGGCUUCUGCCCCCAUGCCACUAGUGCUGGGGUGUUCGGGAUAAACCUAAGCGCUCUUUUUCCCAUGAUUGGGUCCCUCGAGGGAGGCGAUCAGCACAACGAACAAGGCAAUCGGACUAUAAUGCUUGAACACUCUCACUUAGCCAUAGAACUCUAUAAUUUUAAAUUUCGGCGAAGCCCCUAGUAUUCGGAAGACCGAGUUCGGGGCGCUAUCCACGCCUUGGCCGGACAAAGCCGGUUCCUCGCUCGAAGCGGCAUAAGUCUUUAAGGACUCGAAAAACCUCUCGAACAGCGACCGGUCUCUCGCUUCAUCAUGACAGUCAGUUUUAGCUUUCUCUACUGAGGUGCUCAGCCCAGCUCAACUGGGGCACAAUCGCAGUAGUUCUCCUAGUGCUACCUUAGCCGAUAUAGCGGAACGUAAGGCACCAAAACAUAGGAGCCGGGCAAACCCAACCAUUGACCCGAAUCAUGAUUCAGAGCCGAUGCAUAUAGUGCUAUAAGUUCGGGGUGCCGCACUUGUGAAAGUGUACGGACUUCUCACGCCAUAUAGAUGGGUACUGAAGCCCCUGGCGUAUUUUGCUGUACCACAGUGUACGGAUGCGACAUGUUAUUAAUAAACAUAUAUAAAAAGAGGAUAAUGCAAAAAAUAGACAAAAAGCUAUGCAUUGUUUAUAGAAAGGCUGCUACGAAAGCGGAACGAUACAAAUAGUGCGAUAAGCAAAAGAAAUUGGACUAUUUAACAUGUCCCGGCCAGGGGCAGGCCACAGAAUUAUAUUAAAAAACAGGUAUACUGCUCGCAAUAGAGACCACCUGGGAGUUCCAUAAUGCGGCGUGGCUUGUCUGCUUUCCUGGAUCUUGCAUCGUUUGUGCGGCAGUUGAAUUGCCGAACGGGUCGUCCGAAGUAUGGAGUCCUGAGAGUAAGAGAAAAAAGGGAAUCCGGCAGCCCCUGGUGCGGUUUAAGCCGUUUUUCAGGCGUGCCGUGAUAGUGCCCCUUCCCCUGUGCCCAUGGUAUUUCAAGAGCGUAGUUAUGUACGCGAAGCGCUGGUUUCGCUAUAUAGCGAGGGCUAGGAUUGGGGCCGCAUUGCUACGCUAGCUCAGAACGUGCUAGGCGGUCUUGUUGUAGGGUACUCCGGGCACGCUUGACAGUGUCCGGCUUUUUGAAGGCCGAACUGGAGAACUGCCUAGAGAGGCUGCUUUGUACUUCUGCUACGAGCGCUGCCAUGUGCUCCUCCGUUCGGAGGGAGCGUUCAGUGUUCCCAUUGACCAUGAUUACUCCUCUAGGGCCUGGCAUCUUGAGCUUGAGGUAUGCAUAGUGCGGUACCGCGUUGAAUUUUGCGAAUGCGGUUCGCCCGAGCAGUGCGUGAUAGCCACUACGGAACGGGACUAUGUCGAAGAUUAACUCCUCGCUUCGGAAGUUAUCCGGAGAUCCGAAGACCACUUCCAGUGUAACUGAGCCUGUACAGUUGGCUUCUACACCUGGUAUGACGCCUUUAAAGGUUGUUUUGGUGAGCUUGAUCCUCGAGGGAUCUAUGCCCAUUUUUCGCACUGUAUCCUGGUAAAGCAGGUUCAGGCUGCUGCCCUGUCCAUGAGGACUCUUGUGAGAUGAAAUCCGUCAAUGAUUGGGUCUAGAACCAGUGCGGCAAAGCCGCCGUGAUGGAUGCUAGUGGGGUGGUCCCUUCGAUCAAAGGUGAUCGGGCAGGAGGACCAUGGGUUGAACUUUGGGGCGACUGGCUCCAUCGCAUAUACGUCCCGUAACGCACGCUUCCGCUCCCUCUUGGGGAUGUGGGUUGCGUAUAUCAUGUUCACCGUCCGCACUUGCGGGGGAAAUCCCUUCUGUCCACUGUUGUUCGGCGGCUUGGGCUCCUCCUCGUCGUCGCUAUGCAGCCCCUUGUCUUUGUUUUCGGCUCUUAACUUGCAUGCCUGCUUGAACACCCAACAAUCCCUGUUGGUGUCAUUGGUUGCCUUUUCAGGGGUACCAUGUAUCUGGCACAAGCGGUCGAGUAUUCGGUCCAAACUGGACGGGCCCUGAGUAUUUCUUUUGAAUGGCUUUUUCCGUUGACUGGAUUUGUAGCCUCGGAAUCCGGCAUUAACUGCCGUAUCCUCGUUGCUGUCGUUGUUAACGCGGCGCUUUUGUUUGUUCCGACGCGACCUGUCACUUUUGUCCUUGGUAUUCGAAUUACCACGGUUCUUGGUUAAGUUGUUGCUGCGAGCUAGCCAGCUGUCUUCUCCCGCGCAAAAGCGGGUCAUGAGUGUCGUGAGGGCUGCCAUAGAUUUCGGCUUUUCCUGUCCCAGGUGCCGGGCAAGCCACUCAUCACGGAUAUUAUGCUUGAAGGCCGCUAAGGCCUCUGCGUCCGGAAAGUGGACUAUCUGGUUUUUCUUUGUUAGGAACCGUGUCCAGAAUUGCCUGGCCGAUUCCUCUGGCUGUGAAUUAUGUGGCUUAGGUCAUCGGCGUCCAGUGGUCGCACAUAAGUGCCCUGGAAGUUAUCAAGGAAUGCGGCUUCCAGGUCCUCCCAAGAACCGAUUGAGUCUGCUGGCAAGCUGUUGAGCUAAUGCCGGGCCGGUCCCUUAAGUUUGAGUGGGAGGUAUUUGAUGGCAUGUAGAUCAUCACCGCGGGCCAUGUGGAUAUGAAGGAGAUAAUCCUCGAUCCAUACCGCAAGAUCUGUUUUUCCUCAAGAUGGCAACGGGGCCCCGAAACCCGCGUCCCCGCGGGUUUUUACCCUAUUAGGGGACGGGGAUGGGCGUCUUUUCAUCCCCACGGGGCUGUUGUUGGGCACAUUAUACAACCCGACACGUUUCAUGGGUUUGCACCCGUUUCGGUAGUCCCCGAACCCGAAACCCGGCAAAAUACAUUUUUUACCAACCAGUGCUCCUGCGCAGCCCAACCCAAAACUACCGAGCCCCCCCCCCACCCCACAGCGUCGAAGGCCAAACAGCCAGUAUCGCCCGUUCCUUUCCCCCUCGCUUGAGCCCUCAUCUCUCUCUCCCACAUAAUACCUAACCCUAAACCUAGGACCCCAGCCGCCACCUGGCUCGAUCCCCUCUCGCAAGAUCCGCCGACCAUGAUCUGCGCCGGCGACCCUCCUCCCUCCACGUCUUCUCCCCUGCCGCCGGUCUGAUCUGGAGAAAGGGCGUUUCCACCGGUGACGAACUCAAAGGUGGCCUCUUCACGUCCCAAGUCGGGUUGUUUUUUGUUGAAAUUUGCUCUAGUUAUGCUGCUGAAAUAUGCUUAUUUUGCUGUUGAAAUGUUAUUCUUUGUCGCCACUAUGUUUGUUUAAAUAUUUUGAUUUUCUCGUGGGUUCCCCCCGCGUUCCCCGAAACCCGAUGGGUUUAGGGGACGGGCGGAAAACUAGCCCCGCGCACGGUGAUGGGGACGGGGACGGGUUUGCGAUUUUCUCGUGGGGAUGGGUUUGGGAAGGCAAAACCCGAUGGGUUUCGUCCCCGUUGCCAUCUGGAGUUGUGCCAUCGUACGAUUCGAUGUUUAAGGGUUUGAAGCCCUCAGGGAUUUUAUGAUCCAUUACUUCAUCUGUGAAGCAUAGUGGGUGUGCGGCGCCUUUGUAUUGGGCUAUAUCAUGACGCAGCUCGAAGGAGCUUUGUCUGUUGAGUUCGGCCCGGCCGGAUUUAUUGCAUCCGGAGUGACGAUCACCGUCACGUGCCAUGGGGCGCCUGCGCGAUCCAUAGAUCGAUCUUGUUUUCCUUGCCUUGUCCUCCAGUAUGUCGCGCAGGUCGGGCGCAUUUUCCCAUGCCUUAGUAUGCUUGACGCAGCAUCGGGGCAUGGCUUGAGUGGAGGGCCAAGAGGCCUCUCUGUCGCGGCCACGAGUUGGCCGGUCGGCCGUGUCAUGCGCUAGUGAUGUAGGUGCUUCCUCCUCUAGUCGGGGUAGCAGCCUGCGCUUUGGAUAACUCUUGGAGGGGCGUUCGAGUUCAUACUCUUUGGCUGCAAGGACUUCAGUCCAUCUGUCAGCUAGCAAAUCCUGAUCAGCUCUAAGCUGUUGCUGCUUUUUCUUGAGGCUGCUUGCCAUGGCCAUAAGCCUCCGUUUAAAACGCUCUUGUUCGGCGGGAUCCUCUGGCACGACGAACUCGUCGUCUUCGAGGCUUGCCUCGUCUUCGGACGGAGGCGUAUAAUUAUCGUCCUCAACCUCUUGGUCCGCCACCCUCUCAUGAGGGCUGGCUUCUCUGUCCUCCUGUGCUGAAUCUUGCUGGAGGGGGUGUUCUUCGGUGCUAUCUGGAGUAGUAUUAUUUCCCGUGCCGGAAUCACCGUUUUUGCUUUGGCGGGAUUUAGAGCGUCACCGCUGACGCCGACACUUGGGCUGUUUCUUAGAGGUAUCGUCCCCCGUUGUUUCAUCGCCAUCUCCAUCCUUUGGGGUGUCCACCAUAUAUAUGUCAUAUGAUGAGGUGGCCUUCCAGCGCCCUACAGGUGCUGGUUCUUGUUCGUCUCCUGCAUCGUCGUCCAUGCCGUCGAUGUCUUCGGAGUCGAAGUCAAGCAUGUCAGUUAAGUCGUCGACAGUGGCUACGAAGUGGGUGGUGGGUGGGUUUUGAAUUUCUUCAUCGUCCGUAUCCCAACCUUGCUGACCGUAGUCCGGCCAGGGCUCUCCUGAUAAAGAGAGACUUUAGGGAAUUCAGGAUGUCGCCGAAGGGCGAGUGCUGAAAGAUGUCCGCAGCAGUGAACUCCAUUAUCGGCGCCCAAUCAGAUUCGAUCGGCAGGGGCGCGGGGGGCUCGGAGUUCGGAGAGGAAUCUGGCUCCUCAGAGUCACGGGCCAUGCGGGGUGCAGGGCUGGAGUUCGGCUCGAUCACCUCUGAGAUUGCAGCCCCUGAGGCAGCGUCCAACCGCUGAUCCUCGAUCAGUGUAGUAGGCUCCGAAUCAAUGGUCGGAACCGGUGCGUGUGCGGCCUCCAAAGCGUUGUUCGGCGGCAGAGCUAUAUCAUGCCCAUCGAGACAGUGCGGUGCGCUUGGCUGUGGCUCGAAUCCGUCGAAGAUCAAGUCCCCGCGGAUGUCAGCCAUGUAGUUUAGGCUUCCAAACCUGACCUGAUGGCCAGCGGCGUAGCUUUCGAUCUGCUCAAGGUGGCCAAGCGAAUUGGCCCGUAGUGCGAAGCCGCCGAAGACGAAGAUCUGUCCGGGGAGAAAAGUCUCACCCUGGACUGCAUUGUUGUUGAUGAUCGAAGGAGCCAUCGGGCCUAAAAGCGACGACACAUAGGAACUCUCAAUGAAAGCACCAAUGUCGGUGUCAAAACCGGCGGAUCUCGGGUAGGGGGUCCCGAACUGUGCGUCUAGGCUGGAUGGUAACAGGAGGCAAGGAACACGAUGUUUUACCCAGGUUCGGGCCCUCUUGAUGGAGGUAAAACUCUACGUCCUGCUUGAUUAAUAUUGAUGAUAUGGGUAGUACAAGAGUAGAUCUACCACGAGAUCAAGGAGGCUAAACCCUAGAAGCUAGCCUAUGGUAUGAUUGUUGUAUGAUGAAGUUGUCCUAUGGACUAAAACCCUCCGGUUUAUAUAGACACCGGAGGGGGUUAGGGUUACACAAAGUCGGUUACAAUGGUAGGAGAUCUUGAAUAUCCGCAUCACCAAGCUUGCCUUCCACGCCAAGGAAAGUCCCAUCCGGACAUGGGACGAAGUCUUCAAUCUCGUAUCUUCACAGUCCUGGAGUCCAGCUGAGGGUAUAGUCCGGCUACCCGAACACCCCCUAAUCCAGGACUCCCUCAACAGGCAUUGGGUAUUUUAUUAGACGAAUCCAUCUUAUUUCCUUAUUUCUCUGUUUUGGUAGCAGGAGAAGUAGUUUGUUCAUCCCGGACUUCAAAGUAGUCUCCCCCGUUGACCUUCUUUUUUAGAUAGAAUCCUCAAUGAGUGAGCUUCUGGUCCAAAGAUGAAAUCCUUAGUAAUAGUUGGUUGUAUUCGCCCUUUUUUGGAAUAAUAGCCUCCUUUCGUACAUGCUAUUCAAGGUCUAUUGGCUUUAUUUCUUAUGUGGUACUUCGACCGCGAAGCCUCGCUUAUGCGCCGAGAAAGAUCGUAGAUAGGAAAGAUCUGUUAUGCACCAACGACGGCCCGACUUAAAUCGAAAUGAAUGGAAGAUGCCUCUGGAACUUUUUGGUUCUUUUUUGGGGGCGAUAUGGGCAGCUUCAACUCAAGUGAGGAGCAAGCUUACCUCGGGCAGGUAGAUUGAUCGGCUUACACACAUUUGCUCACUUAGGCUGUCCCCCCUCAGCUCACCCUAACCCCGGGUACGUCGUCUCCAAGGCUUCACACAAAAUCUUCACUGACAACAUAUGCAUGCUUUCGUAGGGUCAGGCAGAACCGUUGUUACCCGCCAAUGCGGAAGGAUGCCGCCGAAAAGAAUGGAACGCCGCUUUGCUCUGCUGGAUGCGUCGGAUCCCAUAUAAGAAGCUUGCUCUUUACCCGAUCAUUCAAACAUUUUGUGGGCGGCGCGCCUGCUCUAUUGUUGCAUAGCGCGAUACAAAGUUCCUGGUAGAGAACUUCUUUGAGUCAUCCUAUUUUUCUGUUCAUAUGAAGGAAAUUAAUAUGCGAUUUUUAAAAUAGGGGAAUCCAAAUGAAACCCUUUUUUUGCUCAGUCUAUCUGGAAUGCUUUUGUAUAAUUAGGAAUUAAUUAUAAAUAGGUAUUCCAUUUCUGAGGGUGUGCACUUACCGGCAGGAGUCAAUCUCCAAGAAGUAAGCACACAUCUAUUUUUUGUAGACGAGAGAGUGAGCCUUCUAAACAGUAUCUACUGUGAUCCUAGUCCUGAGUGAAAAAGAUACCGCGAGCACGAUCUUUUUCAAUAAAAUCAUCGCGCAAUAAAUCAACAAAACCUAAAGUCAUUUCGCCGCUGACAAGAGCUGUUUUGGCCAUGGUGAUCCUCCUCUCAAUACCCAUUCCUGCGAAUUCCCAAUCCAAUCCUUCCCACAAGAGGUUUUUCUUAACACCAAUGAAUUCUAUUAAUGCUAGAGGAAAACGCCUGCUAUUCCAGGCUCUAGUGCUCAGUCAUAAACCUAUUGCCCGCUCCGCUUUCCCAUUCCUAUUGCUUUCGGUAUCUGAAUCUUCCUGAAUUCAAGUAGAGAAUACCAGGGCUUUCUUCUUCUUUUCAUUCCUGCUAUUCCAGGCUCUAGUGCUCAGUCAUAAACCUAUUGCCCGCUCCGCUUUCCCAUUCCUAUUGCUCCUUGCUCUUGAGAAUUUUUUUUCCGUUGAACAUAGACCCAAUUUUUCCUUUUUUGAUUUCUUAGAAUCUUUUUUUUGUCUUUCUGGCGGUAUCAAACAGCCACCUAAUAUCUUAUCCGCCUCUUCAGGUCGUACCGAACCGCUUGCAGAAUCAAAUCCAGUUCCACAAGAUCCUAUAUCAGCUAUACAUCCUCCUUGCAUUUAUGUGCUGGUAGUGUGGAAGAGGAGAUUCGAGCCUCAUAAGUGAAUACGGAAAUCCAUCUGAACUGGUAUCCAUCCCCAAGAAUCUAAUAAACUAGAAUUGAGUCAGUGGAAAAAAGGAGAGAGAGGAAAGUGUUAAAUGGAGAGAGUCGACUAAUCAGAGACUUUUAGGAUCUCAUACUUGCCAAUUCCAAGGCUGAUCAGCAAGGGAAUUGGCAGGAACCAACCUUAGUUGCCCCUCGUGGAAAUGAAAAACACUAGAUACUUUUUCUAGAAAUAUGGACUAAUGGAAGUUUAACCCCUAAGGAAGCACUUUAUAAGGCUUCUCGUAAUUUGAUUGAUUUAUUUCUUCCUUUUCUACACGCGGAGGAAGAGGGUGGAAAGCUCCUACUAAGAUUAGAAAUUCCCCGAUAAAGCUACUAGUGUCGGGUAAACUCAUAUUGGCUAAAGUGAAACGUUUUGAUCAUCUCAUCAAAACGAAUGUUCCAACUCCGAGAUGCUUGCACCAGCCCAUAAAUCGAGCGUUAGAGCUUGCACACCUUGUCAGCAUUCUUAGGAUCGACAAAACCUUCCGGCUGCAUCAUAUACAAUUCUUCCUUAAGGAAACCAUUAAGUAAUGCCGUUUUGACGUCCAUUUGCCAUAUCUCAUAAUCAUAGAAUGCGGCAAUUGCUAACAUGAUUCAGACGGACUUCAGCUUCGCUACGGGUGAGAAAGUCUCAUCGUAGUCAACCCCUUGAACUUGUCGAUAACCCCUAGCGACAAGCCGAGCUUUAUAGAUGGUUACAUUACCAUCCGUGUCUAUCUUCUUCUUAAAGAUCCAUUUAUUUUCUAUGGCUCGCCGAUCAUCGGGCAAGUCAGUCAAAGUCCACACUUCGUUUUCAUACAUGGAUCCUAUCUCGGAUUUCAUGGCUUCCAGCCAUUUGUCGGAAUCUGGGCCCGCCAUCGCUUCUUCAUAGUUCGAAGGUUCACUGUUGUCUAACAACAUGAUUUCCAAGACAUGGUUGUCGUACCACUCUGGUGUGGAACGUGUCCUCGUGGACCUAUGAAGUUCAGUAGCAACUUGAUCUGAAGUUUCAUGAUCAUCAUCAUUAACUUCCUCUCUAGUCGGUGCAGGCACCUCAGGAACAUUUUCUUGAGCUGCGCCACUUACCGGUUCAAGAGGUAAUACCUCAUCAAGUUUUACUUUCCUCCCACUUAUUUCUUUAGAGAGAAACUCUUUCUCUAGAAAGGACCCAUUCUUGGCAACAAAGAUCUUGCCUUCGGAUCUGAGGUAGAGGGUAUACCCAAUAGUUUCUUUAGGAUAUCCUAUGAAGACGCAUUUUUCCGAUUUGGGUUCGAGCUUUUUAGGUUGAAGUUUCUUGACAUAAGCAUCGCAUCCCCAAACUUUUAGAAAUGACAGCUUAGGUUUCUUCACAAACCAUAAUUCAUACGGUGUCGUCUCAACGGAUUUCGAUGGAGCCCUAUUUAAAGUGAAUGCGGCAGUCUCUAAAGCAUAGCCCCAAAAUGAUAGUGGUAGAUCGGUAAGAGACAUCAUAGAUCGCACCAUAUCCAAUAGAGUGCGAAUACGACAUUCGGACACACCAUUACGCUGAGGUGUUCCAGGCGGCGUGAGUUGUGAAACUAUUCCACAUUUUCUUAAGUGUGUGCCAAAUUCGUGACUCAAGUAUUCUCCCCCAUGAUCUGAUCGCAAGAACUUGAUUUUCCUGUCACGUUGAUUCUCAACCUCACUCUAAAAUUCCUUGAACUUUUCAAAGGUCUCAGACUUGUGUUUCAUUAAGUAGACAUACCCAUAUCUACUCAAGUCAUCAGUGAGGGUGAGAACAUAACGAUAGCCACCGCGAGCCUCAACACUCAUUGGACCGCACACAUCAGUAUGUAUGAUUUCCAAUAAGUUGGUUGCUCGCUCCAUUGUUCCUGAGAACGGAGUCUUGGUCAUUUUACCCAUGAGGCAUGGUUCGCACGUGUCAAAUGAUUCGUAAUCAAGAGACUCCAAAAGUCCAUCGGCAUGGAGCUUCUUCAUGCGUUUGACACCUAUGUGACCAAGGCGGCAGUGCCACAAGUAUGUGGGACUAUCAUUAUCAACAUUACAUCUUUUGGUAUUCACACAAUGAAUAUGUGUAACACUACGCUCGAGAUUCAUUAAGAAUAAACCAUUCACCAGCGAACCAUGACCAUCAAACAUAUCUCUCAUAUAAAUAGAACAACCAUUAUUCUCGGAUUUAAAUGAGUAACCAUCUCGAAUUAAACGAGAUCCUGAUACAAUGUUCAUGCUCAAAGCUGGCACUAAAUAACAAUUAUUGAGGUUUAAAACUUAUUCCGUAGGUAAAUGUAGAGGCAGUGUGCCGACGGCGAUCACAUCAACCUUGGAACCAUUCCCGACGCGCAUCGUCACCUCGUCCUUCACCAGUCUCCGCUUAUUCCGCAGCUCCUGCUUUGAGUUACAAAUGUGAGCAACGGCACCGGUAUCAAAUACCCAGGAGCUACUACGAGUACUGGUAAGGUAAACAUCAAUUACAUGUAUAUCACAUAUACCUUUAGUGUUGUCGGCCUUCUUGUCCGCUAAGUAUUUGGGGCAGUUCCGCUUCCAGUGACCACUUCCCUUGCAAUAAAUACACUCAGUCUCGGGCUUGGGUCCAUUCUUUGGCUUCUUCCCGGCAGCUUGCUUACCGGGCGCGGCAACUCCCUUGCCGUCCUUCUUGAAGUUCUUCUUACCCUUGCCUUUCUUGAACUUAGUGGUUUUAUUCACCAUCAACACUUGAUGUUCCUUUUUGAUUUCCACCUCCGCUGAUUUCAGCAUUGAAUAUACCUCAGGAAUGGUCUUUUCCAUCCCCUGCAUAUUGAAGUUCAUCACAAAGCUCUUGUAGCUCGGUGGAAGCGACUAAAGGAUUCUGUCAAUGACCGCGUCAUCCGGGAGAUUAACUCCUAGCUGAGUCAAGCGGUUAUGCAACCCAGACAUUUUGAGUAUGUGCUCACUAGCAGAACUAUUUUCCUCCAUCUUACAGCUGAAGAACUUGUCAGAGACUUCAUAUCUCUCGACUCGGGCAUGAGCUUGGAAAACCAUUUUCAGCUCUUCGAACAUCUCAUAUGCUCCGUGUCUCUCAAAACGCUUUUGUAGCCCCAGUUCUAAGUUGUAAAGCAUGCCAAACUGAACGAGGGAGUAAUCAUCAGCAUGUGACUACCAAGCGUUCAUAACGUCUUGGUUCUCUGGGAUGGGUGCGUCACCUAGCGGUGCUUCUAGGACAUAAUCUUUCUUGGCAGCUAUGAGGAUGAUCCUCAGGUUCUGGACCCAGUCUGUAUAGUUGCUGCCAUCGUCUUUCAGCUUGGUUUUCUCUAGGAACGCGUUGAAGUUGAGGGCAAUAUUAGCGUGGGCCAUUUGAUCUACAAGAUAUAGUGUAAAGAUUUUAGACUAAGUUCAUGAUAAUUAAGUUCAUCUAAUCAAAUUAUUCAAUGAACUCCCACUUAGAUAGACAUCCCUCUAGUCAUCUAAGUGAAACAUGAUCCGAGUCAACUAGGCCGUGUCCGAUCAUCACAUGAGACGGACUAGCCAACAUCGGUGAACAUCUUCAUGUUGAUCGUAUCUUCUAUAUGACUCAUGCUCGACCUUUUGGUCUUCUGUGUUCCGAGGCCAUGUCUGUACAUGCUAGGCUCGUCAAGUUAACCUAAGUGUAUUGUGUGUGUAAAUCUGGCUUACACCCGUUGUAUUCCAACGUUAGAAUCUAUCACACCCGAUCAUCACGUGGUGCUUCGAAACAACGAACCUUCGCAACAGUGCACAGUUAGGGGGAACACUUUCUUGAAAUUAUUACGAGGGAUCAUCUUAUUUAAGCUAUCGUCGUUCUAAGCAAAUAAGAUGUAAAACAUGAUAAACAUCACAUGCAAUCAAAUAGUAACAUGAUAUGGCCAAUAUCAUUUGCUCCUUUUGAUCUCCAUCUUUGGGGCUUCAUGAUCAUCAUUAUCACCGGCAUGACACCAUGAUCUCCAUCAUUGUGUCUUCUUGAAGUUGUCUCGUCAUCUAUUACUUCUACUACUACGGCUACCGCUUUAGCAAUAAAGUAAAGUAAUUACAUGACAUUUAUGUUGACACGCAAGUCAUAAAUAAAUUAAGACAACUCCUAUGGCUCCUGCCGGUUGUCAUACUCAUCGACAUGCAAGUUGUGAUUCCUAUUACAAGAACAUGAUCAAUCUCAUACAUCACAUAUAUCAUUCAUCACAUCCUUUUGGCCAUAUCACAUCACACGGCACAUGCUGCAAAAACAAGUUAGACGUCCUAUAAUUGUUGUUGCAAGUUUUUACGUGGCUGCUAUAGGUUUCUAGCAAGAACAUUUCUUACCUACGCCAAAACCACAACGUGAUAUGCCAAUUUCUAUUUACCCUUCAUAAGGACCCUUUUCAUCGAAUCCUAUCGGAUUAAAGUGGGAGAGACAGACACCCGCCAGCCACCUUAUGCAACUAGUGCAUGUCAAUCGGUGGAACCAGUCUCACGUAAGCGUACGUGUAAGGUCGGUUCGGGCUGCUUCAUCCCAUGAUGCCGCCGAAUCAAGAUAAGACUAGUAACGGCAAGCAAAAUUACAAUAGCGACGCCCACAACUACUUUGUGUUCUACUCGUGCAUAGAAACUAAGCAUAGACCUAGCUCAUGAUGCCACUGUUGGGGAACGUAGCAGAAUUUUAAAAUUUUCUACGCAUCACCAAGAUCACUCUAUGGAGUCAUCUAGCAACGAGGGAUAGGGGAGUGCAUCUACAUACCCUUUUAGAUCACAUGCGGAAACAUUCAAGAGAACGGGGUUGAUGGAGUCGUACUCGUCGUGAUCCAAAUCACCGAUGACCUAGCGCCGAGCGGACGGCACCUCCGCGUUCAACACACGUACGGUUGGGAAGACGUCUCCUCCAACUUGAUCCAGCAAGGGGGAGGAGAGGUUGAUGAAGAUCCAGCAGCACGACGGCGUGGUGGUGGAAGCAACGGUGAUCUCGGCAGGGCUUCGCCAAGCACAGGGAGAGGAAGGAGUGUCACGGGAGGUAGAGGGAGAGGCCAGGGGCUAGGUGCGGCUGCCCUCCCUCCCCCCCCCCCACUAUAUAGGGUCCCUAGGGGCGCGCCGGCCCUAGCAGAUCCAAUCUCCAAGGGGGGGCGGCCAAGGGGGUGGCUUGCCCGCCAAGCCAAGUGGGGCACCCCCCACCCCUAGGGUUUCCAACCCUAGGCGCAGGGGGAGGCCCAAGGGGGGCUCACCAGCCCACUAGGGGCUGGUUCCCCUCCCACUUCAGCCCAUGGGGCCCUCUAGGAUAGGUGGCCCCACCCGGUGGGCCCCCGAGACCCUUCCGGUGGUCCCGGUACAAUACCGAGUACCCCCGAAACUUUCUCGAUGGCCGAAACUUGACUUCCUAUAUAUAAAUCUUCACCUCCGGACCAUUCCGGAACUCCUCGUGACGUACGGGAUCUCAUCCGGGACUCCGAACAACUUUCAGGUUACCAUAUACUAAUAUCUCAACAACCCUAGCGUCACCGAACCUUAAGUGUGUAGACCUUACGGGUUCGGGAGACACGCAGACAUGACCGAGACGACUCUCCGGUCAAUAACCAACAGCGGGAUCUGGAUACCCAUGUUGGCUCCCACAUGCUCCUCGAUGAUCUCAUCGGAUGAACCACAAUGUCGAGGAUUCAAUCAAUCCGUAUACAAUUCCCUUUGUCAAUUGGUACGUUACUUGCCCGAGACUCGAUCGUCGGUAUCCCAAUACCUCGUUCAAUCUCGUUACCGGCAAGUCACUUUACUCAUACCGUAAUGCAUGAUCCCGUGAUCAACCACUUGGUCACAUUGAGCUCAUUAUGAUGAUGCAUUACCGAGUGGGCCCAGAGAUACCUCUCCAUCAUACGGAGUGACAAAUCCCAGUCUCGAUUCGUGCCAACCCAACAGACACUUUCGGAGAUACCUGUAGUGUACCUUUAUAGUCACCCAGUUACGUUGUGACGUUUGGCACACCCAAAGCACUCCUACGGUAUCCGGGAGUUGCACAAUCUCAUGGUCUAAGGAAAUGAUACUUGACAUUCAGAAAAGCUAUAGCAAACGAACUACACGAUCUUUGAGUUAUGCUUAGGAUUGGGUCUUGUCCAUCACAUCAUUCUCCUAAUGUUGUGAUCCCGUUAUCAAUGACAUCCAAUGUCCAUAGUUAGGAAACCAUGACUAUCUUUUGAUCAACGAGCUAGUCAACUAGAGGCUCACUAGGGACGUGUUGUGGUCUAUGUAUUCACACAUGUAUUACAAUUUCCGGAUAACACAAUUAUAGCAUGAACAAUAGACAAUUAUCAUGAACAAAGAAAUAUAAUAAUAACUAUUUUAUUAUUGCCUCUAGGGCAUAUUUCCAACAAUCUAAAAUUCAUAGGGAAAAUGAUUGAGACUUCAAGACCUAUAUUUAGAUAUCAUAUUGAAACAUGUGCUCGGACAUGAUAAGAGAAUUGUCAGAGAGUGUAAAAACAUGAACAGAAAAGUGCCCAAAGAAAAAAAUGACAGUAUGUUCUACCAGUCUGUCGUUUACGACAGAUAACUAUAAACAAGAUAUUUCACUUCCAUGAUGGUCCUCAUUAUGAAACUCUUAUAAAAAUAUUAACAAUAGUUAUUAAUUAUGCCCUACGAAAACAAGCUAGCCAUCAAAUGCAAGGAUUCCAGUGCCAGGAGAGGGGAAGAUAGAGUUCCCUUGAAAUGGGCAACACCAUGAAAAUACCAAUCUACCUUUUUCUUCCUAUGAACUUACAUUUCUAAAUACCUAAAUCUUAAACUUUGAAGAUACAAUACCAAGAUCAGGCAAAAAUAUAGACCUCAUUUGUAAAAAAGCGAGAUAUCCGACGAAUAAGUUCCUCCCAAGCUUCUUCAGGUGUAUUAGGGAUAUUUGAUGUGGGCUGAAUACCAAGCUACAAUAGAAAAAACAAAUGAUUAUCGUAACUUGCCCAUAGCAUGAAGAACAUUGCACAUCAUGGAACUAUGUUAUAAAAAUGCCAAACAGCUAGCUAUGUUAUAAUUGCACACCUUCUUACUGAAGUUCCUGAUCAUUGCUUAUGAGAAUUAUCAGUAGAAAAGGACAACGAGACAUGGGCUAUAGUACACAACUUAUUCACCAAGGAUGGAUUCUUCAAACUGGGUUACUGACCUCAUAAGCCAAAUGUUGGUAUCUAAGACUAAGAUACAAGAUAAUAUUGCUGCCUCAACAUAAUGGGGCAUUAAUUCAUGCCAGAAAGAAACAUCUGAAUCUAGAGAAUUGCAACUAGUCCUUGUCCCCCUUUUCAGGUAAGACAGCAAGAGGGAGAGACACAGUACCGGCCCGAAUCAUGCACUACAGGUAAGACAGCCUAAUAAUGUUACAAACACACCCUAAAGCCCCAGCAGUAGAAAACUUGGCAACCUACAUGCAUAGGGAGGAAGCAGGACCCCAUGCCGCCACCAGCCCUAACCAGUUUACCUUUUUGAUGGCGAUUUGUGCGGCGGCCUGCUCGGCCUCCUUCUUCCUGGCGAAGGUCCCCGGGGUGGAGAUGCUGAGCACCCCGGGGAUGUCGAGCUGGCAGCGGUAGACGCACCUGGUGCUCUGUGGCAGCGCGAGGCCGGGCAGAUGCCGUCAACGGCCUCCCGCACCUCAUCCACCCUGUAGAUGGCCUUGGCGUCGUACUGCUGGUGGAUCACCGCCUUGGGCGUCAUUAUCGCCGUCGGCAUUGCGACGAGUCGUCUCGGCUUCGAUUGACCCCCACCACGGACUCACCGCCGCCACAGGCAGCCGUGCCCAAAUCCUCCACAGGCGGAAUCGGCCGAUCGAUGAGGGUGGAGAAGAAUGAAUUUGCGACCGAGGGGUGGGAAUGGAAUCAGAAGGGGAAGGACAUGUCACGAAUUAGUGGAGUUAAACCCCAACCGUGAAGAGGGGUCAAGGCCUGGAGGGGUUGGGUGAAAGGAGGCGCUUCCGUGCAGUGGGGUUUAUGGCAGAGAAGAUCAGUACUGCUCCUUCGUUUAUAGGUUAAGGGACUAAUGCGUUUGUGAGUGUACACAUGUCUAUAAGUCUAUGAGGAGUUUGAUAUUUACAGUGAAAGUCGACCCCUAAAAAUGAAUGUCUUCAACUGAAAACUUUGGCUUUCUGAAGACUUUGAAAGGGAAGAAUUUGGUGUGAUCCCAAGGACUUGAUAUUCAUGCGAGGAAUAUGAAGCAUGAAGGCUUUUGUUUUCGUAGUUUCAUUUUCUCUUUCUUGAGUCAUAGGAAACACCGUACUGUUAAAGGGGGUCGAGGUAAAACUAAGGAAAAGUUUCCAAGUGAUGCUCAUCUCAAAAUCCUACACCUACCAAUCCUUUUGAGUGAAGCCAUUGGAAAUCUCGUACAGUUUAGUCAAUUUCUCCAGUGACAGAGAUUAAGAUCUUCUGGUCUUUGAGGAAUUUGUUCCCACUGAGGAGUUAGGAAUUCACCAGUGCGGAUUGCCAACAAGUGAGGAACAUGAUAGCCCUGAGGAAUUUGGUAUUCAAAUAUCCGACCGUUGUUGUGCUACGCGCCAGCUGUCCCAAAAUAUAUACCCACCUAAUGGUCAUAUCAUUGAAGGGCAUUUAUGUCUUAUCUUGUCGGGCGGCUCCGUAGGCUAUAAAUAGCCGCCCCCACAACCACUAGUUGGUUGUCUGCUCCGAGAAACUGACACUUGUCAUUGGGAGCAUCCCAUCCUCUGAGGACUUUGAGCGAAAAUCAUCAAGUGAGGAAAAACCCAAACCCAAACACCUACAAACCCAAACUGAUUGAGUAUCACUGAAGAGAUUGUUCCUGUGUGGAACCGAUGCUUGUUACCUUUGAGGACUGUGCAUCCUCCAGACGGUUAGGCAUCAUGGUCUAGAGCAUCCAAGAGGAAAUUGUGGAUCACCGAGUGACCAAGUCUGUGAAGGUUUGGAAGUCACCUGAAGACUUACCACGAGUGAUUGGGCAAGGUCUGUGUGACCUUAGCUUAAGGAAUACGGUGAGGAUUGUGUGUCCUCGGGUUUAAAUACCUAGCCUCUCCAACCAGACGUACAACUGUCACAGCAGUUGGAACUGGUCUACCAAAUCACUGUCUUCACCAAGCUACUGGUUCUACUUCCUCAACCCUUUCAUUUCCUCAUUCUUGUGUUGAAGUACUUGAUCGUUACUAUUUGAAGACUUUGACUAAAUACUUUCACAAUUUCCUCAAUCCUAUUUGUUUAGACAAUUUUUCUUCAGCCUGCUUAUCCUGUGUUUACGCUACUUGUACUUUGUGCUUGUUUUUAUUUCAUCAUGAUGACUGUGCUACUGCUCUGCUAUGCUUGCAUCUGAGUACUUAUUCCGCUGCUAAGUAGUUUGUUGCUUAGGAAUUUCCUCACCCUGAAAUUCCUCAGUGACAAAUUUGUAAAAAAUGCCUAUUCACCCCCUCUAGUCGAUAUAACGCACUUUCAAUUGGUAUCAGAGCAAGGUACUCCCUUGUUAUGUGUGAUUUUGGUUUAACCACCUAGAGUUUUAGUUAUGUCGAUCGUAGGAAUGAAGAAAUUGACAUGCCCCAUAUUUAACAGUCAUGAUUAUCCCAAGUGGAAGGCCAUGAUGAAGAAGCACCUCAUGGCAAUGAAUAGUGAACUGUGGACCAUCACUGAGAUUGGUCUUACCAAUCUAUGCAAGAUGGCGGAGGCUGAUGAUAUUCGCAAGUACACUCUACUUAACCUCACGGCGAAGGACAUCAUCUGCUCCUGUUUGUCCCAAAAUCAGUUCAGGAAUAUUAUGCAUCUCAGCCAUGCAAAGCUUAUCUGGGACCGACUCUCUGAGGUCUAUGAAGGUCAUCGAACUCGUCAUGAUCCCUGGUUUGAGGAUUUCAAGGACUCGCUCAAGACGAUGACUUUCGAUCCAGAAUCACCAUCCUCUGCACCAUGCCUUAUGGCAAAAGGUGCCAAGGUAACUGAAUGCUACCUAUCUGAGUCUAGUGAUGAUGAAUCUGGUGAUGAAUUUGGACCCAGCUAUACCAAACUUGCUUCCCUUGCCACUAAACAACAAAGAGCUUUGGAAAAAGUUCAAAACAUGCUAGAUGAAAGCGAUGAUAUGUUGGGUGAAGAAAUGGAUCGCACUCAAACCUUGACUGGUAAUCUUUAGAGACUUCAGUCCAAGUUUGACAACCUUCAAAGUCAUCAUAACACUCUCUUAUCUGAUCAUGAGAAGCUUUCUUAUGAAUUUAUUCAAAGAAAGCAAGAUCUUGAAAAGCUAAGGGUGAGUUAUGAAGAUCUUUAGAAGGAACGUGAUUCAUUGCUUGUUCGACAGAUCAGUGCCGCUCAGGAUGAAUUCAUUCCACCAUGUUUGAAAUGCAUUGAACGUGAACCUGCUAAUUCUUCACCUGAAAGUUCAAAUGCUUCUAUUGCUGCAAAUUCUACAAUUGUCUCUGCUAUUACAAAUUCCUCAUCUGAGGAUGCUACUAGUAUCACUGACAAUGCAGGGCUGAAGGAAUUGUAUGUGGCAGGCAUGUACAAAAGCCUCAAAGGGCAUCAGGCUCUUUGUGAUGUGCUUAAAAAGCAGAUCCUCAACACGAAUCCUAGGAAGGAGGGUAUUGCCUUUGAGAGGAAACUCAAUGCUGAUGGGACCUAUUGGAAACCUGAGCAGUAUCCCAAAACCUCAUGGGUUGCGGCAAAGGGACCUCCCGUAGAUCCAUCCACUUUAUCUGGCUUUACAUAUGAAUCUUCAUAUUCUUCUGAUGAGUCAUUUGACUCCAACUAUAAACUAUUCAAAAAUCAGAAUGGUGAAGUAUUUGCUAGAUAUGUUGGCACUAACUACAGGAAUGGCCCCCCUAUGAAGAAAAUCUGGGUUCCCAAAAGGUGCCUUGAAACUCUUCAGGUGAAUGUCAUCAUGACACCACCUGUCAAGAAUAGGAACCCCAGAUCAAAUUCUUCAUAUGGACCAAAGUCUUCAUAUGGAUCCAAGUCCUCACACAGACCAACUUCCUCACGUGGAUCAAAAUCCUCAUAUGAACAUCAUCGUGCUAACACUUCUGUUUCGCAGGGAAAGACUAAGGGCUAUGAAUAUGUGCAUUAUUCUUCAAACCAUUAUGUUAAUAAGUCCUCAAAGAAUUUCUAUGCUUAUUCAUAUGCUUACUCUAACCCCUCUCCUGUGAAACGAAAUGGACUGGCUUCUAUGCCACCUUUCUCUUAUGGAGCUCGCAGAAUGAUGAACUCUUUGCCACCCCUCCAGAUGUGGGUGGUGAAGAAAAAGAACUAAUCUCUUAUCCAGGGUCAGGUCUCCAGACGAACUUAAACGUCUGAAGAAUUUGUUGGAGACCUGAAUAUGCUUGAAAGGACACAAGCUAAUCAUGAAGAAAUGAACUUUCAUUUCUCACAUCCUCAUACUGCUAUACCUAUUCUAUUGCUUGAUGAAAUUGAUCUGAUGAAUUUGAUGUCAUAUUCUUCACUGAUGAAGUAUAUGAGUUCGUAAGAUGCACUAAUUCAUCUGUAGGAUGAUCAACCAAACGCUACUGAGUGGGUCCUCGACAGUGGAUAUACAAAUCACAUGACUGGUGACAGGAACUUAUUGAUGGACACUGCCUUAUCUCCAUCGCAUCUGAAGCAUACACUACAAAAAAAGACACAUCCGUGACAUUUUGGGACGAACGAAAAAAAAUUCUGUUAUACAUAUGACACUUCUAUGAUGAUAAUUGUGACAAAACCCGGUAUCAUCAUAGAUGUGGUGGGCACCUACUUCUAUGACAAAAAAUCAUGACAGAAAAUGGGCUUUUCGUCCUGGGCGGGCCGGAGACGUAGCUGCAUGACAUUCUUUGGGCCGUCCAUGAUGGAAAAACCUGUGGUAGAAGCGAGGGGGAGGAAAAUUUCGGGGAGUUCCCAGUUACGGUGGGAGGUCGGGGGCCGAGCGAUGCGCGUUUCUCUCGUACAUGUACGCGCGUGUGUGCGAGGCGUUGGCUCUAACUGAACCCGAGCGAGGCGUUGGGCUCUAACUGAACCCGAGUGAUUGCACUACAGGCUACGCGUUACUGAACCCGAGCGAUCGAUCGAUGGCUGUUAACUGAACCCGAUCGAGCGAUUCCUUGGCUACUGCUGCUAACUGAAGCCGAUCUAUGGGAUGAGCGGUGAGCGUUGCGGGGGGGUUUGGAUGAACAGUGAGCGGUGGCGUUGCCUCUGGAUGAACAGGACCCCGUGGUGUGGUGGAGGGCUGGAUGAACAGUAAGCGGUGGCGUUGCCUCUGGAUGAACAGGACCCCUCCCGAUCAACAAGACCCCCGUUUCGACCGUAGGAGGUCCGUUUCCUCCGUUUUGCGGUAUGCCACACCCCUCCCGUUCAACAGGACCCCCGUUUCGACCGUAGGAGGCCUGUUUCCUUCGUUGUGCGGUACGCCAGGCCUCGUUUCCAUUGCCUCUUCCGUCCAAGCCCUCCCGAUGAACACGACCACGCAUUCUGUUCCCACCCAGCCGCGUUGCCUCCCUAUGAACACUACGCAUUCCGUUGCCUCCCCAUGAACAUGACGACGAUGUUGUUUCUCCGUUCUGACCCAGCCAUGUACACAAGCCCUCGCCGUACGUAUGCGCGAGUAGGCGUUCGAGACCCCGCCCUUAUGUACACAUACGUGGCCGUAUUUUCUUUCUUGCACCCUGGCCGCCUCUACUACGACACGUGCGCGCCUCUACAUCCACCAGUAUAUAUGUACGUACACGUUCGCAACCAGAAUGACAACGCCACGUACGCUUCGACCAGGUGGGUCCCGACUGUCACGCACUUCCUUGCCUGCGAAGAUGUAGCUGGUGGGUCCCAGCAGUCAGGGGCAAAUCGUUUUUUUUUGCCCGGACGCACUUCCUUGCGUGCGAAGAUGUAGCCGGUGGGUCCCAGCAGUCGGGGGGCUGGUGGGUCCCAGCAGUCAGGGGGGCGAAUCGUUUUGGUUUUUUUUGCNNNNNNNNNNNNNNNNNNNNNNNNNNNNNNNNNNNNNNNNNNNNNNNNNNNNNNNNNNNNNNNNNNNNNNNNNNNNNNNNNNNNNNNNNNNNNNNNNNNNNNNNNNNNNNNNNNNNNNNNNNNNNNNNNNNNNNNNNNNNNNNNNNNNNNNNNNNNNNNNNNNNNNNNNNNNNNNNNNNNNNNNNNNNNNNNNNNNNNNNNNNNNNNNNNNNNNNNNNNNNNNNNNNNNNNNNNNNNNNNNNNNNNNNNNNNNNNNNNNNNNNNNNNNNNNNNNNNNNNNNNNNNNNNNNNNNNNNNNNNNNNNNNNNNNNNNNNNNNNNNNNNNNNNNNNNNNUUUUUUUUGCUCGGACACACUUCCUUGCGUGCGAAGAUGUAGCUGGUGGGUCCCAGCAGUCAGGGGGGCGAAUCAUUUUUUUUUUUGCCCGGACGCACUUCCUUGCUUGCGAAGGUGUAGUUGGUGGGUCCCAGCAGUCAGGGGGGAAACGUUUUUUUCGCGAAAUACGGUGGCCCGUCCGGUGGGUCCCUGCUGUCAGGUGGAGGAAUCAUUAUUUUCCGCGUAAUAAGGAGGCACUUCCUUGCUGCCGGCGUGGACCCAGCUGUCAGCCUCUCCACGUACAGUCCACGUCCGAUGGAAGUCAUUCCUUGACCACGUUGACCACGCCACGCCGAGAGCACCAGGGCAGUGGACGACGGCAAGGCCUAGGAAGGGGACGACACGAAGGCAGGGAAGACUCAGCAGUUGUUUCCCACGCGGAGGGGAGUACGACUGUACGAGGGUUUACUGGUUCUUCUGCCGUCACCGGAGAAUAACAGCAGGUGUGGGUGAGUAGAGGGAUGGCUAGGCCAGCGAUGGGAGUACGGUCGGGCGGUGAGGCCUGCGCGGCAGCACAGCCGGCCGCGAGGAGGAAGGAGCAGGCAGUCCCAUCGGCGCUUGUUUGAGCGGCUAGAGCAAGAAGAGCAGAGAUUGAAGAAGCACGAUGGCCGUUGGAUGGACAUCCAACAGUCAGUGCUUGUGCGUCAACCCUUUUUUUAGGAAAGCUCAAAUCCGUGGAAAACAGCACACAGCCCAUCUGCCAUUAUUUCUAAUAAUUUACAGCCCAUUUGCUAAUUCUUAAGGUUUCUUUUGGAGCCCAUAUUCUUUUUGUUAGCAUUGGAGCCCAUAUUGUGGCAACGGUUAAAAUAUUAUAGGAAAUUUUGCAUAUUUCGGUGCGGUCCGAACUGUUUUAAUCCCGAAAUUUCGACUCACAUUCAAACUGAUUUUAAAAAUAAAUGUAUAUCAAUAUAAAAUCCAACAAAUUCUCCAUGCAUAAAAAUUAAUGUAAUUUAAAAUCUUGAAAUGAAAAAAAGGAUAUUUGAAACUAAUUGUCGAUUUGAUGUGUUUUAAAAAUGUACAACCCAUUUCUCAUUACUGAUGGACCAUUUUCUCGACCAGCCGAAUGAAAGCUCUCCUCGUCUUGAAAGAUUUGCAACCCAACAGGCCUGACAAAGCGACUUGGCAAAUCACAAAAAAACUGGGUUGUGGCCGUGGACCCAGCUGUCAGCCUCUCCACGUACAGUACUCUUCCGAUGGAAGUCGUUCCUUGACCAUGUUGACCACGCCGCGCGGGGAGCACCAUGGUGGUGGACGACGAUGAGGCCUAGGAAGGGGACGACGCGGCAGUGGAAGCCCGCGCGGAGAGGACUACGAGGGUUCACUGGUUCGGCUGCGGUGUGAGGCUGCCAUUGCCGCAGGGCCUGGCCAGUGGUGGGAAUAGUAGGGGACGGUGAGGCCUCUGCGGCAGCACAGCCGGCCAGGGGAGGCAGGAGCAUGCGGCAUGACCAGCGCUGCUUUGGGCGGCUAGAGCAAGAAGACCAGAGGUUGAAGAAGCACUACGGCCGUUGGAUGGACAUCAUACGGUCACUGGAGCUAGAAUCAUUCAUAUUGACUAAGUUGACAAAGCCCUCCAUCCCCGUCAACUUAGUAGUCCCACAAGUCAGCCUCCCAGCAAGGUGGGUCCCAACUAGCCGGGGGAGUAUUCAUUUUUUUGUGCGUAAUAAGGAGGCACUUCCGGUGGGUCCGAGCUGACAGCGGGGGGAACGUUUUUUUCGCGAAAUACGGUGGCCCAUCCGGUGGGUCCUAGCAGUCAGGGGGAAACGAUUUUUUUCGCAAGAUACUGGUGGCCCGUCCGGUGGGUCCCUGCUGUCAGGUGGUGGAAUAAUUAUUUUCCGCGUAAUAAGGAGGCACUUCCUUAUGGCUGCCGUGGACCCAGCUGUCAGCCUCUGCACGUACAAUACUCUUCCGAUGGAAGUCGGUCGUUGACCACGUUGACCACGCCACGUCAAGAGCACCAGGGCGGUGGACGACGGCGAGGACUAGGAAGGGGACGACUCGGAGCCGGGGAAGACGCAGAAGUGGAUGCCCACGCGAAGAGGAGUACGAGGGUUCACUAGUUCGGCUGCGGUGUGAGGCUGUUGUCGCCGCAGAUUAACAGGGAGUGUGGGUGAGUAGAGGGAUGGCCUGGCCAGCGGUGGAAGUAGUAGGGGCGAUGAGGCCUCCGCGGCAUCACAGCCGGCCACGGGAGGCAGGAGCACGCGGCACGCCGGCGCUGGUUUGGGAGGCUGGAGCAAGAAGACCAGAGGUUGAAGAAGCACUACGGCCGUUGGAUGAACAUCGUACUGUAACAGGAGCUAGAAUCGUUCAUAUUGACUAAGUUGACAAAGCCCUCCGUCCCCGUCAACUUGGUAGGCCCACAAGUCAGCCUCCCACUAUGCUGGGUUCCAGCUGGCAGGGGGAAUAUUCAUUUUUUUGUGCGUAAUAAGGAGGCACUUCCUUGCAUGCGAAGAUAGCUGGUGGGUCCGACAUGUCAGCGGGGGGCACUUUAUUUCGCAAAAUACAGAGGCCCUUCCGGUGGGUCCCAGAUGUCAGGUGGAGGAAUCAUUAUUUUGCACGUAAUAAGGAGGCAUUUCCUUGUGUGCGGCCGUGGACCCAGCUGUUAGCCUCUCCACGCACAGUCUACUUUCGAUGGUGUCGUUCGUUGACCACGUUGACCACGCUGCGCCGAGCGCAUCCAAGGUGGUGGACGACAGCGAGGCCCCGGACAGCAACGAGCCAGAGAUGGGAAGACGCAGGAGUAGAGUCGCAGACGGAGAGGUGUAUGAGGGUUAACUGGUUCUAGUGCGAUGUGGUUCGGCAGUCGGUGGAGAAGAACAGGAGAUGUGGAGGGGUGGAGGGAUGGCCUGGCCAACGGUGGAGUAUCGCUUCAUAGCGAAGCGUGCUAAGCAGAGCUGCUAGCAGCAGGAGGUGGGAGGUGGUCCCAGCGGCGCUGGAGGAAGAAGACGAGAGAUUGAAGAUGGAUGCCUGUCGUUGGAUGUAAAUCCAACGGCUAACAUGUCAGAAUCAUUUGUUGACUAAAUUGACAACGACUUGCAUUGGCUUCGACCUAUUGGCCCACAUUUCAGCCUCCAAAAAUGUGGCACGUAUUCAACCCAUUUUUUCAGAAUUUACAGUCUUUUUUUUGCGCGGUAGAAUUUACAGUCAAUUUGAUCUUUUUUUGAAUUACAGCCAUUAGCUGGGCUGGGUGAACAAAUAAUGUAGCGUCCAUGCGGCCCGUUUAUUUUAUUUCCUAAAAAAUUACAUGCCAUUUGCACAUUCUUGAAAUACACAAUUUUGUUGGGCUGAUUCUAAUUAUAAUGUUGGGUUGGGCCAGCAAUGUUAUCAAAAAAUAAAAAGGGGUUGAGCAUUUUGUUAUAAAUAUAUUUAAAUAAUAAGUGAUAUUAUUACAUUCAUCCUUAAAUCUUAUCAAGCUUUGUACACAAUCACUAGGAUUUUUGUGCCAAAACAAUCCAGGAUUUUAUUUGUUAAGAAAUUAUUUUUAUAAGUUAAUAAGAUGUGGGAUAUUGUUUUCUUACAUAUGUAAGUAUCUGUUAAAUAUAUGAUGACAAUAAAAAUAAUAUAUAAUAACAUAUGAAAUAUUUUUUUUAGAAAAACAGGGAGCAUCUCCCCGGUUCCAUUGCUGAGAACGAAACCACAACAUAUUCUGAUACAGCAGCUCAAAGAGCAGUUCGAAAGCAAAGGCAGAAAAGCUACAAACUAAGGGGGUGGAUGAACAAGUUCUCUGAAUAACACAAACCACCCGAGCGGUGCCAAAGGCAGAGCGGAUAGAGCAUUCAAAUGACACAAGGAGGGUCCAGCGAAGCCUUCAUGGUCUUCAGCCGAGGGGCCGUGUCAGCCUGCGGCGACCAGUAAGCAAGUGGAGAGACCGGGUUGGAAGGCGUAGCAUGGUGGAUGUCCCUCUUUUUCGGCAUCAGGUGCCCAUCAUCUUCAUCAGAGAUCUUGAGACGAGCCCACGGGUUCAGCCCCAGAGCAGGUCGAGCCUUGUUCAGCCACAAGUGAUCGCCAACGGUUUCUGGAGGGAUCUUGUUAGGGUUUCCACGAAGCUCAUCAACUUGUCCUUGUCCGAUCCAGAGGAGAGAAUCGCCCAGUUUCUCAUCAUGUUCCUGAUCAACCUCAAGACCUGUGGAAUGGAAAUCCAGGAGGUGUUACUGAAAAUCAUAGCAUUUCUAUAUUUCCAGAGGUACCAAAGGACAGCUGAGCUAACAGUGUUUAAAACUGAGCACUUUUUGGUAGCAAUCCAGAAUCUGGCGACAGAUUCGGAGGAUGAGCCAAUCUGACUAGAGAAAUAUUCCUCAAUGUGGGCCCGGAGAUGUUUAGCAACUAUAUAUUUAAAAAAUAGGUGAGAACAAGACUCUUGUUCCAAGCAGUAAACAUAAUCAAGGGGUUUGAUGAUGUGUCUCUUCCUAAGGUUAUCCCUAGUCAUCAAUUUGUUUUUGGAGAGAAGCCAGAGAAAUACAUGAAUUUUAGGGGAACUCUCAAUUUCCAGACAGCAGGGAUAAACACGGGUUGAACCCCUCUAAAGUUGAUAACAUGAUAGAGGGAGCUGGAGGAAUACUUCCCCUUAUUGUCCAGCUGCCAAAUUAGGGCAUCCGGCUCGGCAGUAAAGGUAAUGCUUUUGUUAAAGAGAGUUUUAGGCAUUGACCGUCCCAAACUUCAUUGACCCUUUUGUUAAGCUCAUUGCGGACAGAGUAAAUAGGCCAAAAUUAGACUGCUAGGGGGAUGUGCCAAACCAACUAUCUUCCCAGAACCUGGUUCUGCUCCCAUCCCCUAUGUUCCAUCUGUAGCCAAAUUUCACAGCAUGCAUAAUAGAUUUCAAUCCUUUCCAGAAUCUAGAGGUCUUAGGGUUGGAGGAAGGGACAAAAAUAUUAGGUUUAUUUCCUAGGUAUUUAUGGGCAAUAAGAAGCUUCCAGGGUUUCAGGUCUUCCUCAUAGAAUCUUUUAAUCCAAGACCCUAGAAGACAGAUGUUAAUUUCUUGGAGGUUAGGUAUGCCUAGGCCUCCAAAAUCUUUUUUCAUAGAGACUAGGGCCCAAUUAGCAAGGUGUAGCUUCCCAUUUCCCUCAAAAUCAUUCCACAAGCAAUGAGACAUCUGAAAAUUAAUGAGGUUCACUGCCCAUUUAGGGAACUUGGAGAAGGAGAGGAGAUACACUGGAAUGCUAGCCAAACAAACUUGUAUGAGGAUCAAUCUACCUCUGUAAGAAAGAAGUUUGCCCCUCCACCCAGCAAUCCUUUUAAUGAUUUUAUCCAGAAGGGGUUGGAUAUCAUCUCUCCUCAGUUUAUCAUAGUGGAGAGGAAUACCUAGGUACUUAAUGGGAAAGUUACAUUUAUAACAGACUAGAAUAGAGAGGAAGUCAGCUAACUCCUGAUCAUCCAUGUUGAUAGGGAUGAGAUCACUUUUAGAGUAGUUGAUUCUCAUGCGUGAGACUUGUUCAAAUCAGGUUAGAACUGUUUUCAGAUUGCUAGCAUGUGUGAGUGAUUGUCUAAGAAAAGGAUGGUAUCAUCUGCAUAUUGAAGGCAGAUGAUGCCACCAGGGCAGACCUCAGAACACAAGCACUACUGGCCGUUGGAUAUCAUCUAGAUUCCACCAGAUUUCGCCACAUGUAUAAUCUAGAAGACUCCAUGGUUGAACUUAAGCAUAAUGCACAAACAUCAAAACACAAGCACUUCUUAUUUGUUCUAGAAUCUUCCGUAUCAGAAUUGCCCAAAUGUUUUUCUACAUAAUUUUCCAUUAUUUGUUUUUACUUUAUGUCUUACGACGCACAAUUCCAUGAAUCUUAAAAUAGAUUAGCUUUCUUAUAAAAACUAGAUGAUUUUGAAUGAAAUGAACUAUAAGAAUUAAAUGAACAUCUACAUCAUGCAUACAUGACUCAAAGCUUGCAUGCUAUAAUGUGGUAUUUAUUCAUAAUUUGGUUGCCAAAUCUCAUGCGUGCAAUGCACGUGUACCUUACUCUAGUCUAAAUGGUGUUUGUGUGUGUGUUGUGCGUGUUGAGGUGCAAAUUGUCUUUUUUUGAGGUACACGUUAAGCUUUUUCUUCCUAAAUUUCAAGCCGCGCCUUGUUAUGCCAAAAAAUCAAGCUAGCGUCUCUGUCUAUCAUGCUGCGAAACUCCCGCCUCUUCAACCCGCGCCUUGUUAGCCCAAAAUAUUUAAGAUAUAUCUUUGUCUCGUUGUGCUCCGACAACUACCUCCAUGUCAACCCGCGCCUUACUAUUCCGAAAUUACAACGCGCGCGAAAACUCCCACCUCCUGUGAAAUCCAGACACGCGAAAUGCCCGUGGUACCCCUGAACCGAAAGAACCGCCUCAAAUCGGUGGGGGUACUUUCGUAACUUACCCCACAUUUUGGACAAGCACGUCUCUAAGCCAUGGUUCCCCACUGCCAUCCCAUCUGCCCACCCAUUCGUAUACCGAGGCCGCGAAAACCCGCGACGAAAUCCCACACCGUGCUUCGUCCGCCACCCAGCUGGAGCCUCUUCCCCGACGACGUCGUCCACAGCAACACCUCGACGUCCCUCAUCCACCGUACCGGAUGAGGAUCCAUCAUCGAUCUCAUCGUCCCGCUGGUUCAGCCACCUCGUCCUCCACCUCCAAGGAGCUGCCCCGACGUUCCCCUCGUCUUUUGCGCCACCUCCAUUCCCACACCGCCGUCUUCUCCUGCACCACCGGAAGAGCAUCAUCAUCACCGUUUCCUCGGAUGAAGUUGCGGCCUAAUCGGCACCACCAAAGAGGCUGUACACUAAUCACCGCAUUUUCUUCUUGAUUCGAUCUCACGGUGCUGUCGGCGCUCGGUCCCGAGCCGACACGGCACGGCUCCAUCCACGGCGGCGUCGCCGGCCACUUCCUCCACGGUCUCGCUCCCUCGGCGGCGACGUCCACAUCAGUAGGACCUGUUGCUGCUUUAGCUCUCGCUCGCGCUGCUGCUCUGCUCUUGCUCUCGGUCCCCUGCCUGGUCUGCUUUUGCUAUUGCUCUUGCUCGCAUUGCUGCUCUCGCUCUUGCUCUUGCUUGCGAUGCUGCUCCGAUUUAGCUACACUUCAGUCGACUGAAUCGACUUUUGGGUCAGUCGAUUUUCAGGUGGUGGGGGGGCUCGCCGGGGUGAAGGAAGAACCAGCCGCAGCGGGAAGGGGGGCUCGCCGGAGAGAUACCCCACUAUCUAUCAUAGGGUUCAGGAUGGGGGAGGUGGUCGCCGGCGGUGGCUGGGCGUUGGCAGGGCGGUGGCGUGGGGAUCGCCGGAGAAAAAGCUCGACACGGGGUGGCCUAGAGGGAUGGCCGGGGCGGCGGCGGACUGGCGGUGGGGAGUGUUUUCGGGGCGGGCGGGGCAGUGCACCAACGGCCACGGGCGGUGGGGGCUGCUGUUUGGCCGGCUCAGGGGGAUGGAGGUUGAAAAUGAACCGCAUGCCCUUGAUUUGGUAUCCAAUGGCUGCAAAAUCGAUUGACCAGAGAUGAAAAAGUUAGUCGACCGACGUGUAGCCUCACCUUGCUACUGUGUUCAGUUUCGACAGCAAAAUUCAGUUUUGAUAGCAAAAUUGAGUUUUGAUAGUUAAGUUCAGUUUCGACAGUUAAGUUCAGUUUCGACAGUUAAGUUUAGAGAUGAGCGGCUGAUGUAUUUUACAUCUAGCACUUUGUGGUUAUGUAUUUUACGUCAUGUAUUGGAGAUGCUAUUAGAAUUCCACUCAGGUUAACGUUGUUCGUUGUCUCUCUUGUCCUGCUUCAGCCUCGGCGUCGUACAACUCACCGAAGCUACUCCAAUGACGAAACCCUCCAUCACAGUGGAGCAGUACCUCGGGCCCCAUCUCCAGACGCCUAAGAUCUUCUUCCCCUCCUCCGACAGCCAAGUCAGCCGAAGCAUCCUCACCGGCCAACCCAAUCAUGCUGAGAUCGACAUGGCUUCGCCAAAGAGGUUCUACACUUGUUGCAUCUCUUUUUUUACUCUACAUGUUAUAUAUAUUGUCCACUGAGCACACGGAUUUGUUCCUUUAGUGUCUCCUUGAAAGAAAAAACGUAGGAAUUUUAAUUUUCACUUGUCCUCCUUUUCAAAUUCCUAUUCAUGAAGCACAAGACUAAGAGAUAGUAGCAUAAUAGCAUUAUAACCAUAUAUUUUCUUGUGGUUUGACUUAAUGUCACCAUGCUUCUUUGCAUCAUGUGAUCUUCCAAUUGUUGUGAACCAAACACCCAGAUUGGCAGAAAUCCUAUGUUUUUAAAUUCUCUGUUUUGCACGUGCAUUCCUAUCCUAUUCCUGUCUAUUUUCUAUCCCUGCAUUGUUGGAAUCCUCCAAUUCAAACUAGCCCUUACAGAAUUACUUCUCUUACAGAUAGUUGUCAAAGAAAACCUUGCGUGGUUUGUCUCGCUCCUGCUGCACCGUCAUCCACCCCAGCUCAGCUGCUCCAACGACAGAAGGGUCCAGCACAUCAGGGAUCCAACCUCCAGACUGUCUUUUGCCGCCUCAGAUCUUCUUCCCCGCCGCUGGCAGCCAUGAAAACUGCACUACCAUCAUCAACCGAGCAUAUGACCUCGAGGACUACAUGGGUCCGCAAGAGAGGUCUCACUCUUUCGUGUCUGCUUACGUUAUGCAUCGCUUAAUAUUACAUGCUACUUUAUCGUCCUGUUCACCGAUUAGACUCUGAGUCAGCUCCAAACUAAUGGUCAAACUUGAGUUUUUAAAUGGUUGUGGGGUACAUAUCGGGGCCGCUAUCAAUAGUAUCUAUCUACUAUCUGGUUAAUCUACGGUGUCUACUAUGAGUUUCAUGUUGGGUGGGAAACAAAUAGUAAAUAAGCCAUUAUCUGUAUUUUUUAACUGAAGCCAUUAUCUGCCUGCUAUUAUUGGUUUUGGAUCUAUCCACGGGUUGCUACCAUCACUCUGGAUUUCUGCAUGCACUCCUUACAUAAUCUCACUAUGUUUUAUUCCUAUGCAUGACAGUUAUUGUAAACAAUGGAACUGAACAUGUAGAGCAAAAGAGACGAGCCUUGCGUGGCAAUAAAAUUUCAUGCAGAUGUCGCUCCAUGGUAGGCGCAAAGGCAGCCCCCCCCCCUCCACGCAUUUCAGAUUGUAAUUGAGAGGAAGAUAUCUGUUCUGAGGGGGAUUCAGAAGGAGAAGACAACUCCUAUUUACCCCCUGAGGUCUUCGCUCUAACUUGGCAUGCUGAUGUUGGUUAUAUCAUGCAUAUGGUGUCUUGCAUUGCUUACUUUAUACAUCAAAUAUGCAUCUGCUUAGUUUAGACAUCCUUUGUGUGAAUGCCAUCUGUUUAGUUUAUUCAUUGUUUAUGUGAAUUAUGCAGCGCCAUCUUGUUUAGCCAGGCAUCAUAUAUGUGAAUUUUGCAAUGCCAUCCUGCUUAGCCAGUCAUCUUAUAUGUAAAUUAUAUCAGGCCAUCCUUUUUUUGGUUACAUAUUACAUUUGUUAAAAAUGUUAUUAUAUUCAACUGCUCUUCGUGUGCAUCAGCCAUUUGACACGGUGAUGGCAAAUUCUGGAGUGAAAACUAGGUCUUCAGAGCAGACUAUGCUAUCUGACGAAGCGCAUAUCUCGCUGGUUACGGAUAGCUCCUCAGAGGAGGAUUCAGAGAUAGAUGACCAGUCCUAUCCCCCCCCGAGGUGUAUGCUCUAACUUGGCAGGGUUAUGUUGCUCAUAUCGUGCGUAUGGUGUCUCGCAUUGCUAUGUCAUUUGAUUAGUUUAGACAUGCUUUGUGUGAAUGCCACCUGUUCAGUGUCUAAUUACCAUAUAUGUGAAUUAUGCAUUGCCAUCUUGUUGCAAGACAUUAUAUAUGUGAAUUAUACAAUGCUAUCUUGUUGCAAAGGCAUUAUAUAUGUGAAUUAUGCAAUGUCAUGCUGUUUAGCCAAUCAUCAUGUAUGUGAAUUAUAUCAUGCUAUCAUUUUUUUGUAUUACGUGUUCCAUUUGUCGACAACGUUUGUAUAUUCAACUACUCUUCCUGUGCAUCAGCCAUUUGAAGCGGUGAUGGAAGUAUCUGGAGUGAAAACAAGGUAUUCAGAGCAGACAAUGCUACCUGCUGAAGCAGACAUCUUGCUGGUUACAAAGAGCUCCUCAGAGGAGGAUUCAGAGACUGAUGACCAGUCCUAUUUUCCCCCUGAGGUCUAUGCUCAAACUUGGCAGGGUUAUAUUACCCAUGUCAUGCAUGUUGUCUUGCAUUGCUUAGUUUUUACAUCAUAUAUGGAUUGCCAUCUGCUUACUUGCUUACUAUAUAAAUCAUAUAUUUGAAUUAUAUCAUGCCAUCAUGUUUACAUAGUACAUACACAUCAUCUAUCUGAAUUAUGGCAUGGCAACCAAUUUAAUAAAGACAUCAUAUAGUUAUAUCAUCUCAUCCUGUUUAGUGUUUACAGUCAUCAUAUUUUGAAUUAUGGCAUUCUAUCCGUGAAUGUAUGUGAAUUAUGGCAUGCCAACCUAUUUAAUAAACGCAUUAUAUAGUUAUGUCAUGUCAUCCUAUUUACAUAGUCUCAUAUUUUGAACUAUGUCUUUCCAUCUUUUUUAGUUAGCCAUCAUAAUGUGAAAUUGUGUCAUGCUAUCCUGUUUAGUUAGCCAUCAUAUAUAUGAAAUUGUGUCAUGCUAUCCUGUUUGGUUAGACAACAUAAAUAUGAAUUAUUUCAUGCCCUCUUUUAUUCCCCACUAUCCAUUGCACCUGUCUAUCAUACAAUGUCUAUACUUUCAAUUACUUUUCUUGUUUAUCAGCCAUUUGAAUUGGAGAGCGUGAUGGCAGUAUCUAAGGGAGUAACAACACGGUCUUCAGAAAAGAUAGUGCUACCAGUUGAUGCAGCUAGAACCACGGUUGUACUUGCCCAAGGACCAGAUCCACCGCACAUAACCCAGACUCUCGCAGAUUGUACCCCUACCCAGUUGGACAGAGAACCAGCUACACCCCUUCUAACCCCAACCCCGGCAGAUAGUAACCCAGUUCCAGUUGACACAGCACCGUCUCCACCACAAAGCACUCAAACACGAGCAGUUAGUAAGGGAACUGCAGUGCCCAAAGCACGAGGACCACCACUCCGAAUCCCAACUCAACGCUUAAAGGAGAAGAAGAUUUGUUCUCAGGUCAGGUUCUGUAGCUAUGGUUCAUACUCCUUUGCUCUUGCAUGACUGUAUUUACUCAUACCAACUAUUUUCAAAUUUGAAGGAUGGAAUUGAAACUCCAAUGGCACAACAGGUAUGUUUUAAACUUGUUUCUUUAACUGGUUUACUGUUGUAACCUGCUCUAUGUUGAUUUCAGUUUCAAUUGAAUAAACAGUUAUGUUCUCAUGUCAUGCACAUUACAAGUGUUGUUAUUGAUCUAUAGUUACCCACACUUAUAUUCUGUCUAUUCUGCUUUGUCUUGAACAAAUAUUAUUUGAACUGUGUCUCUAUCUUGAUUUGGCAACAAAAACUAGAAUGAUAUAGACCAUAAAGUGACCAUGGUACAUAGAUAUAUGUUUGUUUCAUGCUGUUAUCAUGUCCACUUUACUACUGAACUCAUUUACCAAAAUGAGUUUCAUAUACAACAUGGUAAACAUGUGAUGUGUCUGCUUGUUUCUCUUUUAGAAUGCGGACAAAAUAUUGGAGAACAGUACCGCGUUAUCCAAUGGUAAAGGAACUAAUGCAGAUAAGGUUCAAGAUAGUGAGACAUCCCUGUUGGUCUCCAAGAAAGCUGAUAAAAACUAUCUUGACGACAGUGAGGGAACCCAAAAGUCCUGUCUUGAUGUAGUGUUCGAGUUACUGGCCACUACUGCUGGCACAAGCUCUUCGAACUCGCUGCCUGAAUCAGUUCGUCUUCUUGAGUCUCAACUUCAAGUUGAAAGACAUCGAUCAGAUGUGCUGCGAUAGGAAGCUGAAGGACUGAGGAAGUCCCUGCAGAAUUCAGAUGCAUAUUUUCUGGUGCAACAGCAAGCGCUGGAGGAUUUAAGCGCCAAACAAGAGAAAGUUAAUAAGCUUGCUAAGCAUCUUGCCAGCAUUAUGGGUACCCAGGAUAUUGUUUCUUGAGAUCUUCUGAAGUGGUUUCAGUUCUGGAUUUGUUUUGCUGCGGCGUUUAUUUGCACUGGUCGCCAACUUUGACAACCAGUGUAUAUGAUAUGCUGCUUUGUUCCCUAUAUUUGCACUUGUGGCGAACUUUGAUACCCAAUGGAUGUAAUAUGUGUAAUAGCCAUGAUAGCCUAGCGUUAGUUGCUUGCGUAUUUAUUUCCUUGUUGUCUUGUUUAUUUGUUUGCUUGUAGUCAUUGCAGUUCUUUUUCCGAGAUUAGCUAGUGGCUGCAAUAACCUAUUUUUUAAAACUAGGCCACAAUAACCAUAGGCUAAUACUUACUGUAGUGACACUGGGCCUCCUACUGGCCGUAGAAACAGUGGGCCUUCUACGGGCCGUAGAAACAAUGGGCCUUCUACGGACCGUAGAAACAAUGGGCCUUCUGCGGGCCGUAUUAUCAAUGGGCCUUAUACGGGUCGUAUAAUCGAUUGGCCAAACAUGGGCCAAACAGACCGCAUUAUGGCCAUAAACAGGCUAGAGUUGGAAUCGUCCGUUCAUGGGCCAACCAUAACGAGCCAUCGUUAAUAGAUCGUAUUUGAUGAUGCUAUGAAAUCGGCCCAACGUAUUAACGGACCACAAACGGACCGACUGUAACCACGGGCUGAAUUUGGCCCACAAGCAGAAAAUGACAAUAACGGGCCGUAAGUAAAAAAAUGCUGGAAAUGAGCCCAAGAAUAAAUGGGCUCUGAGAAGGCCGAAAGAUAACAUGGGCUAGAAACGGCCCAAUGGAAUAACGGGCCGUUAAUGGGUAUAAAGUGAUACGUUGUUCAUUACGGGCUAGUUUCACCAUGGGCCGUUAAUGGGUGUAAAGUGAUACACUGUUCAUUACGGGCCAGUUUCACCACGGGUCGUUAGUAGGCCAAGAGUUACAUAGGGCCUCAUAUGGGCCGAAAGAUGUCAUGGGCCAGAAGUGAAAACGGGCUGGAAUCAUAUUGGAUGGCCCAGAUGACGCUACUGGGCCUAAUUCGGAUAGGGCGUAACGGGCCUUGGGUUAGCAGGCUGUAAAUGGGCUAUAUUCGAACAGGCCGUUAACAGGCUUUCCAUGGGCCGGCCCGCCAGCUUUUGACCAGGUCAAACGGGCCGGCCUUUUCACAGGAAUGGGCCUCUGUUGGGCCGUGCCAUGUGUCGACGUAUCAUAGGCGCCUAUCUGACCCACUGAUGAGCUGACACGUGUUUCAUCCGGCCAAUAAGAAUUUUACACGUGUAAAUUUCCCAUUGGUCGGGGCUGUUAACGGGUUAUCGGAUCCAAAACCCGACCCGAUAGCUUAACGGCGUUCCGUUACGGUGGAUGCCACGUGUCGGUCACCCUUGAUGAAAGCACUUCUGUGAUGCGUGAUUUAUCGUCAUGAAAAUGGACACUUCCGUGAUGAUAAUUUUGGUAAUGUCAUGGAACACUUCUACGACAGCACAGGUAUGACUAUCUUGAUUCUGUCAUAAAUUUGUCAUGGAUGUAUAUGCAUGACAAAAAAAAGCGACCUACUGUGACAAACAUGUAUCCUCACGGAAGUGUAUUUUUUUUGUAGUGGGCGCCAACUGUCGUGGACUUAACAUGGCAGAUGCCCUAGCAAAAGGACUUAAGUGUGGAGCCAUUACAGCUAGGUUAGCUUGAAGGGGUUAAAUGGGACAAAUAACACGGAGAGUUUACCCAGGUUCGGCCCCUCUCAACAUGGUAAAAGUCUACUCCUACUUUAGGUUGUACUAGCACAUAUGCCCGUGCGUUGCAACGGGAAAAAUUGAUAUUUUGUGCAAGCAUAAUGUCUCGUAGCACCGGAUUCACUAUGAAGAACAUGCUGCAAUGCAGUAACCUUUUAUAAAAUGAACAUAAAAAAUAGGAUGCAAUUUAUCCGCGUCCAUAUUUUCUUUACGGGCAUAAUCUCCCACUAAUUUUGUUGAAGUAUAAUUCUUUCUUUAAUUACCAUUACGUCAUCACCUGUUUUAGUCGAAUCGAAUCUCUUCUUUUCUAAUUUAGUAGCCCCACCACAAUGAAGCCUAUGGAUCCUUCCUUUUAGUUAUCCUACUUUUUACCUUAGAUCCUUCCUUUAAUUAGCCCAUCUAUUUGAAAGCCCACAAUCGUUCUUUAAUUAUUCCACCGAUUUACUCACAAUCCUUUCUUUAAUUAGCCACAUCCAUUUAAACAUCCUAUUUAAGCUCAUAAUCCUUCCUAAGGCCGCUUCUUUAACGGUCUCUUGGUUGAUUCCUAAGGCCGCUUGUAUAUUUACUGGUGGGAACCAUUGUAAAAGAGCGAUGCGAGAUUAGUAAACGUGAAAGACGGAUAACUCGUUGGUUGUUACUCAAAGAGCCAGACAUGAGGUACUGCGUUCAAUUUCCAUGAUGUUGAUUUAUUUUGACCCAAUUAUUUGUCGCAGUCUCUAUGAAAGCCCGUAGAAGGCCCAUCAACAUACGAGUACCUGGCCCAAAUGGCUUACCAUGUGUACGAGUGAACCGUACGAAACUUUAGCUUGCGCUCAUACCAAACGAAAAUCAAUGAAAAGGACCAAACCAAGAAUACAUAUUCCCUUUAAUAAAUCAAUGAAAAUGACCAAACCAAAUUAAGAAUACCUAUUCCCUUUAAUAGUAGGUAUAGAUUGCUUGGGUUUCGAUUACCAUGGAGCGAAUACGCUUGACCUAGUUCUCAAUGAGUUAUUUCUUGAGUUAACUCGUCGCCGGGUCACCUCUUUAUAUACAGGUUGAUGCUUGGCGGCUUAAAGAGUCCCGGCUGGCUCAUACACAAUGUGUCCGGCUUGAUAACUAACUAAACUUGCCUUACAAUACAAGUUAAACAUAUGGCGGCUCACACCCGUGGGCCUCAAGUCGUCCCCGGGUCUUGGGCCUUCAAUAAGCUUGCUCUAUGAACCGCCGUCUUCAUAUCUUCUUGGGCCUCUUCAUCUUAAGCCGCCAGUGGCAUGACCCGGCCCCUCCUGGGCGGGUCAUACCCAGUAGUUAUAUCCCCAACAAGGCCCAUAGGCCCACAGGCCCGGCCGGGUUCGCAAAUUCUCGUAAAACUCCCGUCGUCACGCUGCAGAAGGCACGCCAUUGGCGCCACCACCACGAAUCCGAGCUGCUCUUCCUCCAUGCCGCGCAGAGGACGUCGAAGCCACGCCAAUGGUCGUCCCUCUAGGACCCAAAUGGGCCUGGAAGGGGCCGGGGGCACGCUGCUGGCCACCGCACGUCACCUCUCCCCCCCCCCCUCCCCACCACCAAGGGGCAGCAUCACCACCUCGCCCGCCGCCAGCGACCGCCGCCUAGCCGAACAGCACCGCCGCCGUCCCCUGCCCCGGGAAGGGGAGCCGUGCGCGGGGGGACAGGAGGUCCUGCCGCCGCCGACACCACCUGAACCAGCGCCGGGGGCGCCCGCCUACAGCGGCGGGGAGGAGCUGGAGGGCAGGUACGGCCGAGAGGGAGAGCAGGGGGUGCGCCGCCCCGACCACCUCCCGGGAAGGCGAUGCAGGGGCGGGACCAGAAGGGGGGAGGAGGAGGGGGCGCGGGAGGGGCCGGCAAGGAAACCCUAGCGGAGAGCCUCCGUCCUUGUAAAAAAAAGCUCUUAUAUUAUGAUAUGGAGGGAGUAGUAUCCUCAACGAUUGGCAGUCCGCGUCGGGACUGUUGAGAAAUAAAAACAUGUGAUAAAUUGUAUGGGAGGGAUGCCUCCCAGGAGGUGUCUGUUGGGAAAGAGGUGUCUCCCCAACACACUCCUUCACCAUGUAUAUAAGUGUGUCUCCCACAUUGCAAUGGAAUGAGUGGAUCAUUUGGACUCUUCAUGUGUCUCUUUUACUUUCACUCUAUAACACGUUAUCAGCACUUCGCUCUCCUUUGAGAGAAAAAGGCCAUCCAAGACGGCAGAACAUCAGCAGCGCUUGCCUAUAGGAUCCAGCGCAUCGUCAUCACUAUGGAUGGAUACAAAUCGAUCCACGUCUUCUCGCCGGUCUUGCGGCUGGCGCACGACGCGGCUGCUCGGUGCGGCCCGCUACUGGCGCAAAGCGGCGGUCACGGCCUCAGCAUCGCUCCUUCCAGCGUGAACACAGACCUUCAAAAUUGAUCGCUGAUGGACGCCAUACGUGCUCGGCAAAGACAGCCAUGCAUCCGCAUGCAUGCAUCCAUAAAGGGCAAUCGAUCAGGAAACGCUAAUUUUGUCUUCUUAUGUUUAAGAUCAGCAAUCUAAUGAUGGUGUUUUCAUGAAUAGCCUGCGCGAACUCUUCACUGAAUCGGCAGACACAGGAAGGAGGGAUCAACCUCGAGUGCAUGGCGCGGUGAUGCCCCCGUCAGCGGCGCUCGGCCCAGGCCGGCAUCCACACAAGAAACCGAUUCAGGACCAUGUGUCUAGAAACCGAUCGGUCUUGAUGGCAGUUUCCCCACGGGCGUUCGCGGAGGCAGCGUGACGCCUGAGGCCCGACGAUGUUGUCCCUGGCGCGCGCGGCCAUCGGAUCCGGCGAGUUGCUUGACGAGGAGCACGGCGCACGAAGUGAGCGGGGCCUCGUCCAUGCACAGGCCCUUUGCGGCCAGCGGCGGUUACCAAUGGCUAACACUCAUGCACGCACGGGAUUAGGAAUUGCACAUUCUCUCCGUGGCCAUCAUGCAAGCACCAAAAGAAUUGAACUAAUUGCUACAGGAUAAGGCCCUUCCUAGGAUCGAUCCUGGCGUGGUGGCAUUCGGCCACGGCUACUUGCGGAUCGGCGGCGGCCUUGCGGAAAGGAGGCGCAAGGCGAGACGACGGCUCCCCAUCGACCAGGCGAAUCUUGACGCGCACUUCUGCGUGAGACGAAGCAGCGGCCUAGCGCGACUCUCCAUGUGGCAUCGGCGAUGACAGGCCAGUGCGAGGCGACGCUAAACAGCAACCACGCUAUCAGGAGCGAUUGGUUGCAUGGUAGCCAAACUUUUCUCUAAGAAAGAUCAGGGGAAACAUGUCUCGUUCAUUUGUUCUCGUUUUGAUUAAACAAAUAUGCUAAUCAAUUCUGUUUGAGAAAAAAAAAGCAACAUAUGGACCGAAGCCAACAACCAAGGCCACUAUGGCGCUCCGGCGCUCGGCGACAUCAAACUGGCGAUAGCCUCGUCGAGGACGCAUGAACAGCCGUGGCAUAGUUCUUCCUCAGCGGCGCUCGAUGCCGUCCACAGUGGUACCAUGGCUUCAGAGUAAAUAUACAUGGUACACUUGCUGGAUUGCAUAAUAAUUGAUUAUGCAUUAUUUUACAUCAUGCAAAAUCAUCGUUACUAUUCAUCACCCAGGGUGCAUAAUAAGUUAUUCUUCACCCGAGUUAAUCUUACGACCGCUUCAUAAACAAAUUACGUUUGGAAUACAAAUAGUUACAUUCAUAUUGAUUCACUACAUAAAAUUUGGUAUAAGAAAAUAAAAAAAUAGGUUAUAAGACCAAAAAUACCACAUUUUUAUGUAUGUUUUUACGUUCGUAACUUUACAUAACAUAAAAUAUUUUUUACGGCGAGUAUAUGUUUUUUUACGUUCUCUUUUUACGUAUGAAAUAUGAUAAAAUUUAUGAAACCUAAAAAUACGAUGCAUUGACGUCAAAGUAGAGAGGGGGUGAAGAAUAACUAUUCCUCACCCAGGGUGACGAAUAGCGCGNNNNNNNNNNNNNNNNNNNNNNNNNNNNNNNNNNNNNNNNNNNNNNNNNNNNNNNNNNNNNNNNNNNNNNNNNNNNNNNNNNNNNNNNNNNNNNNNNNNNNNNNNNNNNNNNNNNNNNNNNNNNNNNNNNNNNNNNNNNNNNNNNNNNNNNNNNNNUAUUACAUGAGUAAUAUGGUUGCAAAGCAAUAAGUUAAUUUCAUUAUUCACAUAGAAUAUGAAACUUGCUUGCAAAUUUUAGGAAACAUAAGGUAGUGAAGUGUAUGACACUGCCUAACUAUGUCAAAUUAACAUUUGUCACAAGGAAUCGACAAAUGGUAUCUACUGCUUAAUUGUAGAUUAUAUAAUGUUAUUGUAAGGUCUAUAUUAUGCCAUUCGCACAUAAUGACCACCUUCAGUUUUGCACACAAUUUAUGGAUUGCAUUAUGGCGACGAAUUAAUUUCGUUCACAACUGCGAGAUCUACACUACCAUGUGGUGAUUACCUUCAAUGUGUUUUUAAUUAACACAAGGUUGUGAGAAGUUCCAUAAAAGUGAGAUCUACACUACUUAGUGAUUAUCUAUGUGUUUUUAAAAGAAAAAUGAAGGCAGAAAACUUAUGACAUAGCCAUUAUGAGGCCUACAUCGUGGUGACUACCUUCAUGAUGUUUUUCCAAAUACUUGGAAACUUCAUAGCAUUUGUCAUUGGUUGUGACUAUAGUGUCACAUACUCCAUCAGGAGAUGAAUCCAAGGCAUUGGUGACUAUGCUGCAUAUUAUGCUAAGAAGAGAAUUAUGCAAAACACUUGCAUAUUUUGGUGAUUACCUUUCAUGCAUACACAACUUAUGAGACAUCAUCAUAGCUAUGAAUUAAGUUUAUGCACAGUUGAGAGGUUUACGCCAUUUUAUGGUGAUUACCUUCAUGUGUUAUAAAUAACAUAAGGUUGUGGAGGCUAUGAUCAAUGGGAACUGUCCAUAAGAGUGAGGCACCACUAGGUGGUCGACUACCUCUAUAUGUUUUAAGAAAAUUAAAUGGUUGUUCCUUUUGAGGUGACUACCUUUACUUGGAAGAUCCACACCACACUAUGGUGUUCUUCUGGAAGGCUUGCCCUAUGGGUCACUAAGAAUCACCAUCACCAUGAUUAUUCUUAGCCAUAACACUUUCAUCCUACUUAAUUUACUGAAGGUAAAUUAAUGCAUGAGAAUUUCAUGCAACAUAUGGCUGACUUUUUUGGAAAGGGAAUGCGAUGGGAUUACAUUUGGUGGGAGUAACUAUUUAAGAUGGGUCAUGGACAUUAAAGAUUUUGUCAACCUGGAGCCUUGUUGCCACAGAAACUCCACUUGCAGAAAAUGUCAUGGCUAUUUAUAAAUAGCUAAAAUGUGCAUAUUUGCAUUUAUGUGACAUCGCAAUGACUCGGUUUUUAAACUGAGUAUGUAAUGGAUAAUGAAUAUCCAUUUUCCCUCUAAGGCUUAGGCGAGAUAUAUUGUUAUAAGCAUCACACGAAUGAUUAUUCAUUCGUAUUAAGGACUUCAAGUCUGUUGAGGCUUAUUAUUCUGUUGUCUAUAAAUCAACACUAAGUUGAGAUUAUGUGAUAAGGCGGCUUCAGAUACAUAUCUGACUAUAAGUCCUUAUUGCACUUUACGUUCUCCUAGGAUGGUAAACAGAAAUAUCAUCUUUGUUUCAGGUUGCAAUGCCUGAAAUUCAUGCUAGUACUGUUAGUACUAAGCAAUAGUGGUUAGAGAACAACGAGGAGUUGAAUGUAAAGUGAAGAGAAAAAAUGACAAGCAGACAUUGAGUGUAUAUCUCAAAAGGGAAUGGAUCAUUUAAUUUAAAUGAUCAUAAUGGCAACUUUCAAGUUUGUCAAAAUGGUGGUUGUAUGAAAUGUUGUACUAAUGAUAACCAAUUGCUCAUGUAUUGGAUUCAUACCACCGGCUCACUGGAGGCAAAUGAUUUUAAUGGGAUAAGUUUAAAGUUCUACUUCAAAAGGAAAAUAACCAGAAAAUAUCCCGGCAUGGUAAAGGAGAAUCGACUCCUCUACAUUGAUGAUAUGCUUGUGGAAUGAUAUUCCCAAGAUAUUUUGGAGAUCUCGUGUAGUCUCCUAGUUAUCCCUAAAUAUCAUUAGUCUAUAAUUGUACUACUACAUAUAGUAUAAAUUGCAACAUCUUGUCCCUCGGACAUGAUAGUUUAGAUAAUUGAGUGUAUGAAUCAGUUUAUACUCAAUCUUGUUGUAUACACAAUAAUUUCUCCUCCUUUAUCAUCAUGGUAUUGACGAUUAGAGAAAUUAUUGACAAUUCUGUUGGCCACAACUUAACAAGUUGCAAUAUUCCCAACAAUCAUGAGAUUGUUUUGUGGGACUGCAUGUGACAUUGGGGAAUUAAUUUUAAGGCACUCUCACCUUAAAAUUUGAAAUGAGCCAGCCAAUAUUCUUGAUUGCAUUCAAGAAUAUGUUCGGAUUAUUCAAUCACUAUCUGGGUUAUGUUGGUACUUCAUGGUGUUAAUAGACGCAGCUAAAAGAUGGUCUUAGAUGUGUAUCAUUCACACAAACCAUGUGUUUACUGAAUUAAUUGCUCAAAUUGACGAAUUUAGAGCAAAUUAUCCUAACGAGGGAUAAUUCCACUGGAAUGCAAAUGUCGUUGAAAUUGAUUCACAAGCAUUCAAUGGUUAUAUUCAGUAUAUAGUACAUAACCAGAAUGGUUUGGCUUGAUCUCUUAUGAAAGAGAUUCAAUAUUGCUUGGCCAAUGUUGCAGAAUUGUGAUUUACCAACAUUUUGUUGAUGGUAACAUGCGGUCUCACACUCCGCAUAUUUGGUCUAAAUAAAAUCAACUGAUAUUGCACCCCCUUGCAGUUUGUACGUGGAAAUAAGUGAAGUAUUUCCCAUCUGCGGUAAUUCGGUUGUAUACCGAUAUCAUCACCCCAGCGUAUAUCAUGGGCCUUCACAUAUGUUUGGGAUCUAUGUGAGAAAUAACUUUGGUAUGAUUGUUAAUCCAUCGAAUACCUUAACCCGUACAAGGGAGUUAUUUGCAGCCCAUACGCUGAUUGCUUUUGCAAUAAGAACAUUUUCUGGCAUUAGGGAGAGAUGAGUACCACAAAGAAUGCCAGGAAAUGGAUAACAAAUGUCAUAGACAUUUUGUCCACGUACUUAAGAAUCUGAACUGCAGAUUCAAGUUAUGAGAAAUUUGCAGCAUAUUGCAAAUAAUCUGCCAAGUAUAUUUACUGAUGACAAAGGUGUCACUAUGGUCAAGUACCAGAACAAGUGAAGGUACCUAAUAAACCACUCGUCUCCCUAGAUGAGACCAAGAGGGGGAGAAUUGUGGUCACAUGAGAUUAAGUUCUCAUAAGUUUUAGCGGAAACAAAGGAGAUUGACCCCUUGAUCAGUAAAUAUGAUUCAACCUCGGGUUGAAUGACACUUAAGGGAUGCGCGGCAUCCAAAGUCCAACACAUAUGUGCACACAUUUUUAGGUGUUGGGAAAUCGAAACACCUUGACUUCGUUAUUGUGGGAAAUCACAAGGAGUUAAGAGGCAUAGUAAGAAUUCCACAAUGAUAUUGAUUCAUGAGAAUCGUAUAUGAGAAAGUCUACAUAUGUCGACAUAAAAUUCUUCUUGAGAAUUGCUAGAAUCCUUUUGGGCCCUGAACCAAAAUCCAUGAAAAGUGUUGUCUGCACUUAUAUUGGUUCAAAUGAAAGGAAGCAAUUAAGGAAGAGUGGCACUCGCUCAUCAAAAGAGCGGUAUUUACCGUUGUAAAACCUGCUCCUCAUAAGUAUCUUCCAGAGGGAAGAGAAGUAAAUUUUCGUUUGGAAACGAAAAUAAAUGAGGUGGUGAGAAAGCGAGGCUUGUAGCACAAGGGUUUUUCGCAGAGACCCGACAUCAGUUACGAUGUAGCAUACCUUUUUGGUAUAAGUGGAAUUAUGUUUCAAUACUGAAUGUUAAUGGCAGUACAGAUCCAUACGGUUGAUGUAUGUAAUGUCUACAUACUACCAUGGGUCAAUUAGUUUGGAUGUAUAUAUUGAAGUCAUUGAAUGACUUAAUAUUCUGAAUCCAGAGGUAAAUCGCAACAUGCAUGUGUGGAACUUCUGAAGUCAUUCUAUGACUUGAAGUAGUCGGAGAAUUGUGUGGUGCAACCGACUAAGUGAGUUAUUCCUUGACAAGGAUUACUCUCAUACUAAUGAUUGUUGACGUGUAUUCAUGAAGAAAUCCUUAAUCGGAUUUUACAUCACCUUAAUUUGUGGUGUUGAUGAUCUUAUAAUCAAAGUCUAUAUAAGACAUGAAAUACACACAAUCAUGUCAAGACGGAUAUUUGGGUUAAACCAAAUUAUGCUAAGUUUACGACUUGAGCAUAUCCCCCUAAGAUACCAGUCUUCAUAUAUCCGAAAGUAUUAGAGAAGUUCAAUAUGGAUAUAUUAUAUCAAAAACACAUAUGGUCAUAUUAUACCUAAUAUGGGAUACAGAUCCUUGAGACAUAGGGGAGAUGGUGAAGUGAUAGUUGGACACAAAGUGCCAUAUCUAAAUACCAUCAAAAUACUCAUAUAUCUUGCGAAAUAUGUCAGACCUGACACUACAGUUUUUGGCAAUUUAUUGAGAGUGUAAUUCCCCGAAAGAUAUAAGGUUUGUGUAAGGAAUAUACUCAGAUAUAUCCAGGGCACACAUGGUCUUGAUCAAUUUCAUCCGGAAAAUCAAGAUGAGACCAUGGUAUGAUAUAUUGAUAGUGGCAAAUUAUUUGAUCCCACAAUGCCAUAUCAUAGACUAGGUUUGCUGGAAGAGGAUUUUGAGGGAAGUCUUCAGAAUAGACUCUAAACGAGUCCUUCGAGUAAUCAUUCUACUUUAUUUGAAGCAUCACAAAAUGUGGAUGACUUACAUAGAAUGAUUAGCCACAUGUGAACAUGUGGAGAUUAUCAUUAUCUACCAAGAUAAUGUCACUUGUAUUGCUUAUGGGUUAUAUUUAUCCUUGUGAAUUACAGGAAUGUAAGAGGAUAAUAUGCAAACAGAUUAUUGUGAUAUACACAAUAUCUUUAUCAAUGUUUACAUUCCAGAACUAGGUUCGUGAAAUUGGUAUGAGAUAUUCUUGAGGUUUGCAAAAUUCAGGGGGAGUAAAAUCCCAAGUUAUAACCCAUUGGUGAUCCUCCCAUUGAUGAUCCUCAAAUCACUCAUAUUGUACUCUUUUUUCCUUUAUGAGUUUUCCAUGGUUUCUCAUAUAAGGGUUUUAACGAGACAAUAUAUAAAUGCAAGUGCGGAUAUAUGCCAUAUUGGUUUCUCUUUAUAUUUUUUUCACUGGGUUUUAAAGGAGUUUUCGAUGACAUAUUAUUAUAAGAUUUCUUCUCAAUUUUUCCCACAGGGUUUUUGAAGGAGUUUUCAAUUUGCAAUAUACAUAUGACGAAUUGAUCAAGGAGGAGUGUUGAGAAAUAAAAACAUGUGAUAAAUUAUAUGGGAGGGAUGCCUCCCAGGAAGUGUCUGUUGGGGAAGAAGUGUCUCCCCAACACACCCCUUCACCAUGUAUAUAAGUGUGUCUCCUACAUUGCAAUGGAAUGAGUGGAUCAUUUAGACUCUUCAUGUGUCUCUUUUACGUGUCUCUUUUACUUUCACUCUGUAACAGGGACGAUUCCACAAUCAAGGCUUCGCCCCUGUCGGUACAACGGCCACGGCCGGCCGUCGUCGCCCGGUGUUUUGUCCUAGGCUGCCCCUCACCAUCAUCACUCACUCGGGUGUACCUCGGCAGACCGAAGCGUUGACGCCGGCCUGCCGGCCUUGUACACAGUACGUGCGGCGAUGCAUGCCCUGUUUGUUGCUUUGCCGUGCCGUCGCCGUCGCCGCUGUCCACGUACGAUGAAAUCCUGACGCACGCCGUGUACAUCGGUGAUCGGUCGCGAAGAGGCGAUAAUUGGCGCUGGCGUGUGUGUCCCGUUGCUCUGCCGUGGAAGCCAGGGAGACCGGAGGAGAGAGCAGCAGGGCCGUUCCGUCCGCCGGCGCACGCGUCGAGCAUCGAAAACGUGGUCGCGUGGAGGCUGCGAUCUGUGAAGCCCGCUUCAUAUGGGCUUCACAGAUCGCGCGCGUGGGAGUAAUGCAGAGACGGUUUGGUAACUUCGGUCGGGUUCGGGGCGGGCCUGGGGACCGUGCGAGUGCGCCGGAAGAGGAGAGCAGCGCGGGACGGAUGGUGCGCAACUUCAACUCGAAACCAUCCGUCCGUCCAUCGCAGGAAAACGACGCAGCAGCUCGGCGGCCAGACGAGGCAAGCGGAUUGAAGGGGACGGCAGCGAGCACAAGGACUUGAUCGCAAAUCGCGGAUGGUUUCGCCGGAACCUGUCGACGACGACGACAAGCGCUUUCGACACCACCCGCCCACAGACCCCGGAGCAUAAACAAGGGAAGAAAAGGAAAACGACGCACCAAAACCAAAACAGUGCUUAACUAGGGAAAAGAAUUCUAUGAGACACGUAAGACCCAUCCUGAUGGAUGACAUGUGGCAUUCACAAAUCUCAAAACAUCCCCCCACCCCACACCUAAAUCAAGGGCGAGAUUAGAUGCUUUGUGAUUUGUGAAUGCCACGUAUCAUCCAUCAAGACGGGUUUCACCUGCUAACCGUGAGAUCUGGUCUCAUAUAAUUUUUUUUCCCUUACCUUAACUAGUGGCCACAGUCCACAGAGACGAGCGAACCCAUAAAAGGACGAAGCCAAUUGCAUUGGAUCAAGUCGACGAAGGCGACAUCAAGCAACUUUUUGUACAAAAGCACGGAGAACAUUAGAGACGCGCACCACACAAAAGCAUAGUAGCUAGUACAACAUCAUUAUCAUUAGCAUCACCCGUGAGCACGUAUCUAGGACGGUAAACCCAGGAUGCCAGUAUCUUCUUAGCCCUGGGUCCACAUUAUCUUAUUCAGUUCCGGCCAAGGGCGACAUACCUCGUCCACCAGGGCAUGAUAGCGGCACGGCGGCACACCUAGGCCUGGGCCCCAAGAUCCAUAGGCUUGGCCGCCUCCGGCUGGCUCUCCCCGGCGGUCUGGGCGUCAGAUUCCACAGGCUUGGCAUCCGGCGAGCUCUCCUCCCCGGUCUGCGCAUCAGGUCCCACAGCCUUGGCAUCGGGCGAACGCUCCUCGGAGGAGGUCUGGGCAUCCAGUCCCAUAGGCUUGGCAUCGGACGAGCGCUCCUCGGAGGAGGUCUGGGCAUCCAGUCCCAUAGGCUUGGCAUCGGACGAGCGCUCCUCGGAGGUCUGGGCAUCAAGUCCCGUCGGCUUGGCAUCCGGCGAGCGCUCCCCGGCCGAGUUCGUCCCGAACGCCUU